rnacentral:lncRNA from 1 species
AAAGGACUAAUCACCUUAGGAUUUUUUAUAACCCUAAAUUAAUCCUUCAUCUAUAUUUUCUUGAUGGAUCACUAUUAGAGUGCUACAAACACCAAGUAACUUACAUUUGAUCCGUGCAAUUGAAGGAGCGUCAAGUGAUAUAAAGAAUUGGAACUUGAAAGACCAAAUUAAAAGUUUAUUUGUUUUUAUCCGGAUAAUUUUAAACCUUACUCAAUUAAUAAUAUCGUAUAAAGAUGAUUCUUGAAAUUAUAAAAAAAAUUAAAUACAAUUUAUAACAUACUUCCGCGUGCGUAUAAUUAUAUUUUAUGCACUAACAAUGCAAAAUAUAUAAAGAUGACUAUAAAUAUGUGCUCAAAAUAAUAGUUGCAUUUUUAAUCAUAUAAACAAAUAUAGCCUUAACAUUUAAAUCAUUAUUCCAAUAACUAUCUAUAGCUUUACGCAUCCAGUCCAACUUAUGGCGAACAUUAUACAUAAUUAUCAUCCGUGCCAAAUUAUCAUAUAAUCUACAUAUAUAUACCCAUGCAAAUUCAUUAAAUAGAUUAUAUGAUAUUAAUUACGACAUAUAAUUCGGCCAACAAAAACACAUAAACCAAACUGCGAAGCAGUAAUAGAUUCUCAAAAUCAUAUACGCUGGACAUAUAUAAAUUGACUUAAUAUAUGAAUUUACAAAUUAAUACAGCUACAAUCUGACAAUUUCAUUGUCAUGAAUGGGCCAGAAAGCUUGUUGUUUAAUUUGGUUAUUUUGCUUUUGUUAGCCAAAAAGUAUGCAUGUAAAUUACUAAGCCAAAUUGCUAGACAUCAUCACGUGAUUACAUUAACCAAAUCGAUACACAUGGACGGAUUACAUGAAUUCAUAUCAUAACAAUCAAAGUGACUUUUUGAUUGGUAAUGCCAAAUUUCAAACAGCAGUACGGUGGAAGUUAAACAGUAAUGUCAUGAUGGGUUCGGCAAAAUUAUUUAACGUCCGUACGUUUAAGCGAUAUAAUCGUAUCAUAGGAGAAAUAAAUUAAUUGGAUCCCUCCGCAGAGUCGGUCUUGGGUUUUCUAAGGCUCAGAGCAAAUUUUUUCAAGUGUGUCUUUUUAUAUAAAUUAAAUAAAAAUAAAAAAAUUAUCAACUAAUUAUUUUUUAUUAAAAUUAUAAAAAAUUACAAAAGAUAAGGAAGAACACUUUAAAAUGUCAUCGAAACAAAGAAUUAUCACAUGUACCUACAAAAUAAAAAUAUCAAUGAAAUCGGUAAAACUAAUGAAAUACACAUUGUAGUUGGCAAGUUUUACUGAUUACACAAUUGAACUUUUAAUUUUUUUAAAUUACCACACUAAACUAAUUAUUAUUUUAAAAUUGAGUUAUUCCGUUAAAAAAAAUAAACGGACGUUAAUUUUUUAUCUACAAAACUAAUGAAUUACCCACUGUAGUUGGCACGUAUUACUGAUUACACUAUUGAACUUUUAAUUUUUCAGAUUAUCCCAUUAAACUAAUUAAAAAAUGAUUAUUUUAAAUAUUUUUAAAAAUAAUUAUUAUUUUCAGUAAAAAAUAUUAGAAACUUUAAUUUUUUUUUCCAUAAAAUGAGUAAAGUUUCAUAAAAUAUAGAUUUAAAAAAAUUAAAGUUUUAUGAAACCUUAUUGAUUUUUAAAUUAUUUUUUUCCUUUUGAAAAUAAAGUUUAUUUUUUUGAAUCUAUAUUUUAUAAAAUUUUACUCAUUUUUUUAAAAUAUGAAGAAUUUUCUAAUUUUUUUCUUAAAAAUAAUAUUUAUUUAUAAAAAUUAUUAAUUUCUUUUUUGAAAAACUUGAAUUAGUUUUUCUAUUUAUCUUUUACUGUUUUUUUAUUUUAAUUUUAAUUUUUAGUUUUUUUAAAAAAAUCUAAUAUUAAGAAUGGGUCAUUCUGUUAAAAAAUUAAGUAGACAUUAAUUUAAUUUAAAAUCACUUUAAUUUUUUUGAAUCUAUAUUUUAUAAAACUCUACUCAUUUUAUGAAGAAAAAAAAAUUCUAAUAUUUUUUACUUAAAAUAAUAAUUAUUUUUAAAAAUAUUUAAAAUAAUUAUUUUUAAUUAGUUUGAUGGGGUAAUUUGAAAAAUUAAAAGUUCAAUGGUAUAAUUAGUAAAAUGUGCCAACUACAGUGGGGUAAUUCAUUAGUUUUGUAGAUAAAAAAUAAACGUCCGUUUAUUUUUUUUAACGGAAUGACCCAAUUUUAAAAUAAUAAUUAAUUUAGUGGUGUAAUUUAAAAAAUUAAAAGUUCAAUGGUGUAAUUAGUAAAACCUACCAACUACAGUGAGUAUUUCUUUAGUUUUGCCCAAUAAAAUUUAAACCACAAAACAUCAUUUAAAAUAUUUUCUUGUUAUACUUUUAGAUGCAAAAUCAUCAAUUAUACUAUCAUAUUUAAUGUUUUCUAACAUAUCAUUUUUAAUGUAUAAUAUCGCUAAUCUUUUUAUUAUUUUAUUUUUUCUAUACACAUAAAUAUAUAGCUUAUAAAAAAAUAAAAAAAUAUGGGCCCCUCAACUGUGGGCCCUGGGCGGUUGCCCUGUUGGCCCUUGCCCAGGGCCGGCUCUGUCCCUCAAUAAAUUAUUUUUAUAUAUAAAAAAAUUAACUUUAUUUGGUGAAGUUCUGAUACUAAUUAUAAUUAUUAAUUUGUAAUAAUUCAUUUUAUCCGUAUACAUAAAUAGGAGAAGAACACGUAGAAUUAGACCUGACAAUUUAAUUUAUAAACUGAUGAGUCAACUUAUAUUAAUUAUAAUUAUUUGGCUUGGUUAAUUAUUUUAAAUUCUAUGAUUUGAUUUAAAUUUGAACCUAUAUUUAAAAAAUAAAAAAAAAACAGACCCAAACUAAUUAACUAAUUUUGACCUUUUUUUUUUUCCAUUAUCUUGACCUACUUGAUUUCUUCGUAUGUAAAGGUAUUCCAGAAUUCGCAAGGUAUUGGAAUAUGUAAAUAAAUGAGGUUCAAGGGAUGUGAAUUCAAAUAUGUCUGUCAUGCAAUAUACUGAAUCGUCUUGUUUUGAUUUCUUUUCUUUUCAUGUACAGUCUGUGUCUAUCAAGGUGGUUAUUGCUACUUUGAUUGAACGGAAUUAUACUUAUUUUAUGUUUAAUUAAAAAAAAUUGUUAAUUUAAAAAUAAUAAUAUAAUAAUAAAAUUAUUAUGGCAUUAUGUCAUUAUAUACUAGGAUCAAUAAAAAUAUUACUUUUCUCAUUCCAAAAUUAGAUAUAUAUUUUGAUUUUUUCGAGUUAAUUCGCGAAAUUUUAAAAUUCAAAAUUGAUAUGAAUUUACUUAGUUUUAAUACAAAUAAAUAUAACAAUUGUAAAUUAAUUAUAAAGUACUAUUAAUUAUCAUCUUUGUUGUUUUUAAAACUUAAACGAAAUUAUAUAUCAAUUUGGAGUUUUCGGAUUUUCCUAAUUGAUUUAAAAAAGUCAAAAUGUAUUUUUGAUUUUGGAACGAAGACAAUACUUUUUUUUCUAAAAAAAAUACAAAUUAGACUCUUUUUAAGAGUACAAGGUUGAAUGCAACUAUAAAAAUACUUAUACAAAAUAUUUGGUAAUUAAAAAAAAGACAAAAAAAGAAAAUGUUAUUUUGUGAUGAAUGGACUUUUCUAAAUAAAUGUGCUUUCUAAGUGUUGGGUCCUGACCUACUGGACCGAAUGGAUUGAGCCACUUAUUUGGUUAUUCUCUUGGGUCAUUAUUAUUGGGCCUUGUUAUUAGACUAAUUCAUUGGAUUAUCUUGAUUAGAUCUUACAAAGUCUUGGGUCGAAUUAUUGAACCGGCCCAUUAGAUAAUUUAAAUAUCUACAUCUUUGACUUGUAAUGAUGGAAAAAGAUAACGGUUGACCGAGAUCUCUGCCAUGCAUUAAUGUGGAUGAGAUUAUAGUCGGCCGGCGGUGGUGACCAGUGACAGUAUGUAGUGGGUGAGCUGCAUGCAGUCGGAUGAGACCGUCAGAGUCAGUGGAUAGACGUCAGAUAGCAGUAAAAGGCACGGUUAACCGGGCAGGAGAGUAUAACAUAGCAAAGAAGUCAUCCAAGUAAAGGUAACUGAUAAUUUUAUCUUUCUCAAUACACUAGAUAUUUUAUCCUCCAUUGUUAACCUUGUGAUCGCCUGUACUGACUCUCACGCCUGAGCUAUCCCCCGACGGUCGAAGCCGUCAAGCUUUUGGUAUUGAUCGUGUUUAUUGUGCAUGAUCAGGACGUCUUACGUGAUAGGGACGUGGCAGAAGAUCUUGGCGUUAACAUUGGCGCUAAAAGGAGGGGUGUGUUCUAGUGUUAUUGAGAUUUCAAUCACAAGUUCCCAUUUGUUCUACUUCGGAAGAUGGUGAGAAGUAGAGAUAAUACACCGGAGGGACAGCCGGAGGCUGUAAGUUCAUCCUUGCCUCGUGUUUCAGUUAAGAAUCGUCUGGGUCCUUCCAAAAGUGCUCAUGAGAGUACGGCUUCCAAGCAUGAUUCAGGGGGUUCUCGUUCGAGAGCCCAUGGUGAAGCCCGAAGAAGAUUGAACUUUGCUGCUGAUAAGGAGCGUGACCAUGGCCGAAAGCGGGUAGAAGGUUCACCGCCUAGGACACAUCAUCGAAGUGGUCGAGAUGAUAAAGCUGCCAAGUUGGCAAGGAUGGUAGAAGAAGCGGAUAAAGCUUUGGAUGUUCUUCUAAAGCAAAGAGAAGAUAUAGCCGAACAGAUGCUUCGGAUUGCAGAGUUGAGGGACGAGGCGUCUAGUCAUGUUCAAUCCGAGAGGCGUAGUAGGCCUAAGGAUGUACAGCAGCGAGACAGAAAAGAGCCGGAACAUUCUAUUCGUGUCUCUCGAGGAUAACCUCAGGAGCGAAGGAGAUCAAGGAGCAGAACCCCUGAGGUGUCAAAGAAAGCGUUUCUGGUUAUCGAUUCUCAAGGUCGUGAUGGAGGCAGACAAAGGAGCCGGUCAAGAGAGCAUAUACCUGAGAAUAGAAAGAGAGAGCACCAGCAUGAAUAUUCUCAUCGUGAUGACAUGGCCACGCGCCGAAGUAGAUCCAAAAGUCCAUCAAAGGCAGUGGGGUCUGAUAGAGGAGGUCGGUCCACUCAGAAGAAGAAAAUAUCUCCAGAGAAGGAAGUCUCCUCGAAACCGGAAUGUGUGGAUUUCUUGGUGAAGGAGUUGAAGGAGCAGACCUCAACGAUCUUCAAGCUAUCGGGUUAUUUCAGAAUGGGUUAGAUUUGGUGAAAUUGGAGAAGUUGGUGAAGAAGUUGAUGUUUCACCAUCCGAAGAGCUUAGCCGAAGCCUUUGAUAAAGCCGAAGGCUAUAUUGUAGUGGAGGAGGCUAUGAAUAGCCUGAAACGUCCUUCUUCGGACCGCAUGAAGGAGAUAGAUACUUCUAAGGCUGAGGGCGAUUAGAAGAAGGUUGGAGGGAAUAAUGAUCGGCCAGAGGGCAGCUCAAAGAAGUACAACAACACAUGGCGACAGGGAAGUAUCGCCCACCUGUUCCUACCCAGAAGGUGAACAAGGUUUACACUAAACUGAACAUGGAUAGGUCGGUGAUAUUGGAUCAGAUCAGGAACCAGCCGUUCUUUGAACCACCUCGUGAUAAUUUUAAGCCAGGACAGGGCAAUGCUCGAUAAUUUUGUGGCUAUCAUCAAGCUACAAGUCACGAUACAAAUGAAUGCUGUAAUCUGAAGGACUUUGUGGAGAGGAAGAUUCAGAGCGGUAUGUUAGUUCAGUAUGUGGCCAGAAGGGAUCAUCAGCAGGAACAACAGAAUGCAGAUCGGACUGUUCAAGUGGUUCAACUGGUUCCACCCAUACAACCUACUCCAAAUCAGCCACCAAGGCACGUCGUUGAUGUAAUAACCGGUGGGACGGCAGGAAAGUUGGUAGGGAAGAAGAGGAGAGGAUAUCUGGACUCGGUCAUGUCCGUGGCGGGUGUUCUCCCGAAGGUUGAUAGACCGUUUCCAGGGACAGUUAUAACUUUUAUUGAUGCAGAUUAUCCUUCGGAGCCCAUCGAACCCCAUGAAGGAGCACUGGUGAUCAUGGCACAAGUGGGUUCGGUAGACAUGAAACGGAUGAUGAUAGACAACGGGUCUUCCGUGGAUAUUCUGUAUGCCCAUGCUUAUCAGAGGAUGCAUCUUGAUGGGCGAAAGAUGGAAGUGGGUCAGGAGGCUCCUUUAUAUGGCUUCAGCAAUGAUCCGGUUAAAGUGGCAGGAACUAUUGAGCUACCAGUCAUCUUCGGUACCGCUCUACAACAGGUAGAAAUAACUUGUAAAUUCUAUGUUGUGCAUGUAGAUUCGGCCUACAACGCCAUAUUGGGACGACCUACUUUGACAGCUCUGCAAGCUGUGACUUCCAUUCCUCAUUUUAAGAUCAAGUUCCCAACAACACAUGGAGUUGGGGAGGUAGCGGGAGACUUGGAUCUGGCCAGACGAUGCUAUCAGAACGCUAUGAUAGCUUCGGGAGUAGGUGUCAGCAAGCAGAAGUAGACCAUGGCGAUAGAAAUCGAGCCAUUUACCGAAAGCAGUUCGGAGCCAUUUGUUAUGCCUGUAGGAGAAACGGAGGAGAUCGAGCUGGUUCUUGGGAAGAAGGACAAAACAAUGAAGAUAGGUUCGGGUCUGCCGGAACCCCUUCGGACAAACCUUAUGGAACUUCUUCGCUGUUAUGUGGAUAUUUUUGCAUGAGAGCCUCAGGACAUGUCGGGAGUCAGCCAAAAGAUUGCUGAGCACCGGUUGGACGUAGAUCCUUCAAAGAAGCCAAUUCAGCAGAAAAGGCGUAUUUUUGCACCUGAGCGUCAGAGGAUCAUUGAUGAAGAGAUUGCAAAGCUGAUAGCUGCUGACUUCAUCUUUGAAAUAGAUUACCCGAAGUGGAUGGCCAAUGUGGUGCUGGUGCAGAAGCAGAAUGGAAAGUGGCGAGUAUACAUCGACUACACAGACCUGAACAAAGCUUGCCCGAAGGACUUCUAUCCUCUACCUCACAUUGAUUAACUUAUCGAUGCGACUUCGGGGUAUGCACUACUAAGAUUUAUGGAUGCUUUUUCAGGUUAUCAUCAAAUUUCUAUGUGCAAAGAGGAUAUUCUGAAGACAACUUUCAUCAUGCAUCGUUCGAUGUACGCUUACAAGAAAAUGACAUUUGGCUUAAUCAAUGCUGGAGCCACUUAUCAAAGAAUAAUGACUUUGUCUUUCAAAAGCAGCUAGGAAGGAAUAUGGAGGUAUAUGUGGAUGACAUGAUAGUGAAAAGCAUGAUCGUUCAGAAGCACUUGGAUGAUCUUGAGGAAUGCUUUCAGACGGUUCGUCAUCACAAAUUAAGGCUUAAUCCCACCAAAUGCACUUUCAAACUCGGUGCAGGGAAAUUCUUAGGUUAUCUGGUCAGUCAGAGAGGCAUUGAGGCCAAUCCAGAGAAGAUCCAGGCUAUUCUGAACAUGAAGACUCCUCAGUCAUUCAAAGAUAUUCAGCGUCUGACAGGGAGGAUUGCAUCUUUGAGGAGGUUCAUGUCCAAGUCAGCAGAGAGGUGUUUGCCGUUCUUUAGCACGUUGAAAGGAUCGAAGAAUGCCAAGACGUUCCAAUGGAAUUCAGAAUAUGAAGAUGCUUUCCAAGGCAUAAAGACGCAUUUGUCUUCGGCACCUUUGCUGGUGAAGCCAGUUCCUGCUGAACCACUGUAUCUGUAUCUGGCAGCUAGUUCGUUGGCGGUGGGAGCAGUGCUGGUUCGAGAAGUUGGGGGGAAGUAGCAUCCAGUUUACUAUGUCAGUCAUGUUCUAAGGGAUGCUGAAACCAGGUACCCAAAUAUUGAAAAUUUUGCCUUUGCUUUGAUAAUAGCCAGUCGAAAGCUUAGGCAAUAUUUUCAAGGUCGAUUCUUGGUCGUUUACACGGAUCAACCGCUGAAGAAGGUGAUGAGCAAACCAGAAGUUUUGGGGAGAUUGGUUGCAUGGACAAUGAAAUUGUCCCAAUUUUUCAUCGAAUUUCAUCCCCGAACAGCUAUAAAGGGGAAAGCCUUGGCUGAUUUUAUGGUGGAGUGUUCAUUUUCCGAAGCUGAUGCAGAGUUGCCAAAGGCUGAAGUGUCCGACCGAGCAGUUGUAGUUCUUCAGCACAACCAGAGUUCGUGGACGCUGUAUGCAGAUGGAUCUUCAACUACGGAUGUCAGUGGAGCAGGGAUUAUCUUGACAAGUUCGGAGGGAUUCAAGGUGCAGCAGGCCAUCAGAUUUGGGUUCAGAGCAACGAACAACGAGGCAGAGUACGAAGCAGUGCUAGCGGGAGUUCGACUGGCGAAGAGUCUCGAAGUUCAGAAGUUGAUCAUCUAAAAUGACUCUCAGUUGGUCGUCAAGCUGGUUUCAGGGGAGUAUGAAGCUCGAGGUUCAAGGAUGAUCAAGUAUUUGGCCGAGUUGAAGGAUCGACUUCAAUAUUUUCUCUCCUAUGAGUUUCAGGGUGUAGAUCACAAUGACAAUUCUAUUUCCGAUGCAUUGUUGAAGUUGGAUACUACAGAUGCCAACAAUUUUGAUGGGUCAGUUUAUUUGGAGGUUCUGCAACAGCUGAGUAUUCAGCAUGAAGCCGUGAUGUGCAUUGAACGUUCUAACUGUUGGAUGACUCCCUAUAUAGAAUAUCUGGCAGAUGGCAUCCUUCCUUCGGAUCAGAUGCUAGCAAAGAAGAUCAAGUAUAAGAGCGCUAAUUUUGUUCUCAUUGAUGGAGAUCUUUAUCGAAGGGCUUUUUCAUCACCUUUGUUGAAGUGUCUAGUUCUAUCUGAAGCCGAAUAUGCUCUUCGAGAGGUUUACGAGGGCAUCUAUGGCGACCAUAUGGCUGCUAAGUCAUUAGCCUUCAAAGUACUUCGACAGGGAUUCUACUGGCCUACUAUCUUCAAGGAAGCUACAGAGUACGUGAAGAAGUAUGAAAAGUGUCAGCUCAAUAGCCCAAUCCCGCAUCAGCCACCAGAAGAGCUAUACUCGAUCUUAUCUCCUAUACCCUUUGCUGUCUGGGGGGGUAGAUAUACUGGGUCCAUUGUUGAAAGAUAAGGGUCGGGUCAGUUUUGUUAUAGUCGCUAUUAAUUAUAUGACCAAAUGGGUAGAAGCGAAGCCACUUAGGUUGAUAACGGAACAAGAGUGCUUGAAGUUCAUGGAGGAGUCAGUAGUGUUUCAUUUCGGAAUUCCUAAGGUGGUGAUAUCGGACAACGGAUGCCAAUUUGUGGGAUCGAAGUUUGAAGGAUUUCUGAAGGAGUUGGGAAUUCAACAUAGAAAGACUUCGGUGGCUCAUCCACAGUCGAACGGGCAGGUCGAGGUGACCAACAGAACGCUGCUGAAUGGGAUCAAGCGCAGACUGGAUGAAGCUAAGGGGAGAUGGCCUGAAGAGCUUCUCAGCGUGUUGUGGGCUUAUCGAACUACUCCGAGGACCACUACAGGGGAUUCACCUUUCAGACUGGCCUAUGGUACUGAUGCCUUAGUCCCAGUUGAAAUUGGAUCUCCAAGUCUUCGGGUUAGUUAGUUCAAGGAGAUCUACAAUGAUGAAGGACUGAAAGUCAACAUGGAUCUGUUGGAAGAAGUCAGAGAGACAGCUUUGAUCAGAUUGGUAACCUAUCAGCGAAGAGUGGCUAAACAUUACAAUAAGGGGGUAAAACUUCAUAGAUUUGAAGUGGGAGAUUUUGUCCUCGGGGAAGUCGAAGCUUCUACACCUCAGAACUUGGAAAAGCUGAUGCCGAACUGGGAAGGACCGUAUGAAGUAGUUGAAGUUCCGAAGCCAGGAACUUAUCGGUUAAGGGCAUUGGACGGAUCCGAGAUCAAGAACACUUGGCAUGCUGGUAGAGUUCAGAAGUAUUUUCAGUAAAGAUCGAGUCAGUAUCCCGGAAGUCUGUAAAUGUUGGAUCAUCAUCAAUAAAAUAUUCACUUUUUCACAAUUGAUCUUCUUCCUAUUGGUUCUAAAUUCACAAUGGUGUAAAGAGGACGGGGUGGACUCGCUGACCAUUCGAUGGUAGCCUUUUUGGCAGGUGUUCCUUAUAAAUUUGUCAGGCCCUUCGUGGUAGGCAAACUUCAUCGGUGUAAGAAGGACGAGGUGGACUCGCUGACGAUUCGAUGGUAGCCUUAUCGGCAAGAGUGUUCUCAUGGGUUUGUUAUACCCUACGUGGUAGACAAAUUCCAUAGUCCUUUUAUGAUUUGUUUUACACCCCGAGUGGUAAACAAAUGCACCGAAGUAAGGAGGUUCGGUUGGACUCGCUGACCAUUCGAUGGUAGCCCUAUUGUUAGGUGUGUCCUAUUGAAUUUGUUCUACCCCGAGUGGUAAAUAGAUGUCCUUAUAUACUUGUUUCACCCCGAGUGAUAAACAAGAUCCUGAUGGUGCAAGGAGGAUCAGCCGAAUUCACCUUAUGCCUAAUCUGUCUCACACUUCGGUAACGAUAAGUAUGCAUUAUUUUAUUUUGUUCAAGUGUUGAGUUCGGUUCAUUAUGUCCGGUAUAUGAUAUUCUUUAACUUAAUUGAUUAUAUGAUCUGUUUGCUUACCUGGUUCACAAAUUUAAGUUAAGUUCAAACGCAUCUUAUACAGUUUUGAAGUUGAUUGAUGCUGAAUUAUUGACAAGAAAUGAACUAUACUGAAGUCAUAAGGAGUAAAGUUAACUAUUCAUUAAUACUUAACCGAUUACAUCAAAAAGGAUGAAAAUUCUUUACAAGAUAAACUUAAAUCUAGGAAGAAGUGAUAAACUAUUUCAGGCAUCAUCCUCGCCUUCAGAAGAGUACAGAAGAGCUGGGUCUAGAUGGGCUACAAUCAACUUUUCCUUGCCCCGACCUCUGCAAACUUCAUAACCCUCAGAAUAUACCUUUAGAACUUCUGCAUUCAGCUCAUCGGACUUCCGAUAUUCUUCUUGGAUUUGUUUACGCAGUUCUUCGGUCAGAGGAGGGCUUAACUCCUCUAAUGCCUUUAGUUUAUCUUGAAGCUUGCGACGUCUGGCCAAGUGUCUUUCUUUAUCAUCUCGAGCCUUCUCCUGGAGUUCAUCAACUCGUUUGGCCAAACUCAGAUUGGUUGUAGCCAUUUUUUCAUUUUUUGUCUUCAGAACCUCGUUCUUUUCAACAAGAUUGAUGUUCAUAUUGGUCAGAUCUUGUUGGCUGGCCUUAGUUGUCUUCAGCUCUUCUGUGAACGAGUUCAGUUCUUCCUUGGACGAUUUAAGCUCUUCCUUGGUCUGAGUUAAAUCCUUUUGAAGGCAUUCAUUGUUGAAGAGAGAAAUAUCACAGUCAUGUCUUGCCUUCGCCAUCGCAGACUGUAAUAUUACAUUCUCUUUUCUAGCCGCUUCUUCUGCGGCUUCGGAUUCAAGAUGUUUAGGGCGUAAACGCCCAAAAAUAGCAUUGGCCUGUACAUGUUCAGAAUUAUUUAAUCAAUCUCAGAUAUCUAACCUAAGCAUGAAAAGGAGUAUGAAGAUUGGGGAAGAUCUUUACCUGCGCUAUAUAGCUCAUGCCUUCAUCAAGUAGAUCCCCGAUCGAGCUGUUGCCAAAUCGAUGAUCGUCGGUUUCCCGAACAAACGAAUUGAAGAGCUGGAAGGGAAAGUUGGCAUUAAAUCGGGGCCAUAGAGUUGGCGAUGCCAUUGCUUCAUUUUGGAACUCGUAGGAUGAAGGUCCUAGGGGAGUGGGUAUGGGUUGAUCACGAGGUGGUGAUGGAUCCAUAUAUACAUUCUCAGGAGAUGGAGAUCGAAUUGGAGUAGGUUCUCGAGGUGGUGAUGGAGCAGACGUUGAAUUUGGGUGACUAUCUGAGGGAUGUUUUCUCUUUCGAGACAAUGCUGGAACAGGUUCGACUUGCUCUUCAUCAUCAGAGACAUGUAUCUCCACAAGGACUACAGGAGUUGGAUUAGCUGAAGAUGAAGGCACUCGAAGUUCAUCGGUUGUCAGAGGGGUGACUUUGGUUCUUAAUUUUUUGACUCGAAGGAGUCGUUUCCGAUCGUCUACGGGUAGAUCGAGUAAACUCCCUCGGCCAGAGGUUGGAUUGGUAGUUGGUGCAGGUUCUGGGAUAGUUUCAAUUUCUGGGAUUGUUUCAGGUUCUAUUGGUGUUGGUUUGGAUCUAGGUUUUCGGAUACCUCUCUUUUUUCGGUGUGGUUGAAGGGAUUCUUCUAGGGGAAUGAGGUCAUCGGCUUCUGGCUCAUUUAUUUGAGGUUCAGAAGUAUGUGUUUCAAGGGUUGGAUUGUCUUCGGGUGCAGCUUCUAUCAGGGGAGUUUCAGCAGCUUCCGAAGAUUUUCCAGACAGAAAAUCUUUCAAGUCUUUCACAUCCGAGGAUGUUUGCUUAAUCAAAGACACUGCAAAAGUCAAAAAGUCAUAUGUCAGAAUCUACAUCACUUCAAAUUUCAAAUAAUUGCACAACAAAAUAAUUCAGAACUUACAUUUGUGUUCAUCCAACCAGGCUUGCUUAGUAAGAAGCAGGUAAUUCCAUUCCUUUGACGGGAAGUUCUCGAACAGUUCUAUCAUUUCACUCACAUGUUCCUCUGGGAUGUCACCAAAGUCGGCAGAAACUACGUCAUCAGUGGCCCAGUUCGGCAAGGAGGCAAUCUCUGGUCCCUUAAUGAAGAACCACCCUUUGUGUCAUCCUUUGUUGCUAGAUGGGGUGGAGACCAACGAGCGUCUGCCAAAUUUCUCUCCUAACUUCGGAGAUUGUUUACCCAUGACCUUAAACCCCUUUUCUCGGGAUUGGCUGACCUUGUAGAUAGUGAAGAAGAAAUCGAGAGUGGGCUCUACUCCAACUUCAUGACAGAAUGCGAUGAAGGCCAGAAUAUGGAUGUAGGAGUUCGGUACCAACUGGGCGAACCCAACGCCAAUAAACCCUAGGAGGGUUAUUAUGAAUACAUGAAGAGGGAAUCGAACCCCCUUCUCAAGGAUGGUCACAAGAAUGGUCGUCCAACCUUCUGGCCUUUGAUACAUUCUCUCGCCGGAUCUAGGGGCUCUUACCAUGUGGGUGUCCGGAAUAUGAUAUCGAGUUCGAAUCCUUUUCAGUUCAAUUUCAGUAACGGUUGAUGGAGUGUUAGCAUGAGCAUAGCGUUCUGUACUCCUAUAGAAUUCAGAGGGGGUAGGAGAGGUUUUUGGAGGUGGGUUCUUGCUUGGAUUUGCAGUUUUGGGGUUCGAACUCGAGGCUUCUUUGUUAGGGCUUGGGUUAGGCAGAACGGUGGUGAUUGGAGUCACAGAAGAGGUGAACCUUGCUCGAAAUCUUGAGAAGCCAUGGAUAUCGAGUUGCAGUAAGGAGAAGAGAGUUCGAAGGAGAAGACAAAGAACUCAAGGGUCAGAAAUUCAAAUUGACAGGUAAAACUAUCAAUUUAGGGGAAAUUAUCUUUUAUACUAACGGUUACACAGUACACGAGGGCAGCACAUUAAUUGACAGUCAUAAUCAUGAAUUUGGAGGGGUAGCGUCCAAGAGAAGUUUUGAUAUUUAACCGGUUUGGGUCUUUCAUUUGGGCUUUCGGUUUUAGUUCAUCUUCUUAUUUUAAUUCAUUUUCGUUUGGGCCUUAAUGAAUUUCGUUUUGGGGGUCUUUCAAUCCUAUUUGAUUCUUCAUAUCAUGGACCAUUUAUUUUUUUCUAUUAAACACCUUGUUUAAUAAAAAACUAGGGGGCAAUGUUGGGUCAUGAUAUUUCACCUACUGGGCCGAAUGGAUUGGGCCUACGUAUUUGGUUAUUCUCUUGGGUCAUUAUUAUUGGGCCUUGUUAUUAGACUAAUUCAUUGGAUUAUCUUGAUUGGGUCUUACAAAGUCUUGGGCCGAAUUAUUGAACCGACCCAUUAGAUAAUUUAAAUAUCUACAUCUUUGAGUUGCAAUGAUGGAAAAAGAUAACGGUUGGCCGAGAUCUCUGCCAUCCAUUAAUGUGGAUGGGAUUAUAGUCGGCCGACGGUGGUGAACAGUGAUAGUAUGUAGUGGGUGAGCUGCAUGCAGUCGGAUGAGACCGUUAGAUUCAGUGGAUAGACGUCAGAUAGCAGUAGAAGGCAUGGUUAACCGGGCAGGAGAGUAUAACAUAGCAAGGAAGUCAUCCAAGUAAAGGUAACUGAUAAUUUUAUCUUUCUCAAUACACUAGAUAUUUUAUCCUCCAUUGUUAGCCUUGUGAUCGCCUAUACUGACUCUUACGCCUGAGCUAUCCCCCGACGGUCGAAGCCGUCAAGAUUUUGGUGUUGAUCGUGUUUAUUGUGCAGGAUCAGGACGUCUUACGUUAUUGGGACAUAGCAGAAGAUCUUGGUAUUAACACUAAGUAUGUUUCGUACAUACGUUAAAACUAGUGCUAAGACACUUAUUCUCUUCUAUGAUAAUCAUGUGUUAGGUAUUUUUCUUUUCAUUGACGUUGAUGAAUUUCUGGUUUUGGAUUAAUUAAUUCUCAGGUUUAAUUGAUGCAUAAGUUUGAAAAAAGGUUAAUUUUGUCUAACAAAAACUUAAAAACAUCACAAGUAAUUAAAUUUUAGAGAGAGUGUGUGUAUAAAAGUUUUAGAGAGAGAAGUUAAAAGGAAGAUAUAAAAAAUAAAUUUAAAGUAAUUUAUUUAAUUGGACCAUAAUAAAUUAAUAAUGGUAAGCUUGAAAUUUGAAAUACGUGUUUACCUAUAUUUGACCCAUAACUAUAUAGUUUCAACCCACAUAAUUCAUAAUUAUAUAAUUCCAACCCACAUAAUCCAUAAUUAUAUAAUUUCAACCCACAUAAUUCAUAUUAAAAAUAAGUAAUAUGGUUUUAAUUCUUAAAUAGAAUCAUAACUAAAUUAUAUAAACCAAAAUUAACCCAUUACCAUACCUACGUAUAUAGAAAAUAAUAAUAUUGUGUAACUUAUUUGGAAUUCAUAAUGAGCUACCGCAACAGAAUUGAUCUUUCUGAAUGACCAAAUUACUACUCCCUUAAUGCCUUAAAUGUUGGCUUGAUGAGAAACCUUCAAUAGCCUUCCUAGUAUUAUGAAAAUUGGUAUGUGUAUAGAAUCAAGGGGGAUGACAUAGUUCUUUAUUUAUAAUAAUUCUGAUUAGCAAUCCUAGUGAAACUACUUAUCACAAUCUCAAAAUGUUAUUUAAAUAACUCAUACUGGUCAAUCUAUAACGCUCCCAAAAUAAGUAUACAUCAUCUAUUUUGAGUCGUCAAAUACAUGGUACAAAAUACAAAUACAAACUUAAUUAUAGAACAUGAGCUGAGAGUUUUUACACGAAUAUUGUCUUCUAGACAAUAUCUAAACUCAAAUGGAGUCCUCAUUAUAAUUAUUAUCACAUUAUUUCAUAGAAUAGUGAGUACUACUACAACACCAUCUCAAAUCAUUACUCCGUUCCCCGACAAGUCCCGGCUACGUUUUCAUUUCCUGAAGAGAACAAUGAAAGCAAAAGGGUGAGCUCAACUAGCCAGUAAGAAAUAUUAUGACUAAGUUAAUACAGAAUAAAUUAUCGUUAGCCUUCAACAGUGUUAAGCUGAUAAAAUACAAUAAACAUCAAGUUUAACUGCAGCGGAACAAGCAAUCCAUUAGAAGAGUAAAGUAGAGCAUGAUAUCUACUAUCUUCUAUGAUUUAAAAAGGUUAUCAUCAAUUUUAUCGUUGAGACUCAGCUUAAUAAAUAAUCCACAUCACUAAAUUAUCCAUGCACUACGGGCCAAUGAGGACUUUUACCACAUUAUAUGUAACAUUACGGUCAUGAUUAUACUGAAUAAUCCCUGGUCAUAAUCAUACUAAUCAACAGUACAUCUAUGCACUACGACCAAAGAUGACUUUCAUCACAAUAUAAGCAUGAGGAUGAUGACAAUGAUACAAGAAUUCAAUUAAAUAAAAGCAAAGAUAAAUUUUAAAGAUUUAUAAUUUAAUUUAUCCAGAAUUCAAUAGCGCCCAAAUUGUCAACAUGAUACUGCUUUGUGGAGUAAAUUAUUAUAUCAAAAAUAAUUUGGACAGAGAAGAAAUUAAUUUUUGUCAUGAAUAGUACCUGAGUGAAUAGUACCCCAUGAAUAGUACUUUAUAAAUAGUACUUCGGAAAUAGUACUUUAUGAAUAGUACCCCGUGAAUAGUAUUUUGUGAAUAGUACCUCGUGAAUAGUACUUUGUGAAUAGUGCCCUAUGAAUAGUACUUUGUGAAUAGUACCCCGUGAACAAUACUCCAACAUGAAAAGAUUAAAAAUUAUCAAAAAUGUUCAGAAAAAUAUCCUUCUGAAAUGAUACUAGAUGAAGCGCAAAUUUCAAGGAUAUUCUACUAAUUUCACGGAAUAUAGAAUCAAUACUUUAACAAAAUGAGUGUAGAAGUAGGUGUAAGACCCCAAAUUUUAUAAAUAAAAUUGAAUUUCCUCUAUUUAUUAUUUUGAAAUAAUAAGGUGUUAAUUUGAUAUAAUACUUUGGUUAUGGGUGAAAUGAACAAAUUUUGCAAAAUAAGCAAGUAGUUAUAAAAUAUUCAUUGUUGUCGGGGAAUAUUCGUUUGGUCGUGAAAUAUUCUUGUUGUCACGAAAUAUUCGUACGACGGCGCAGCCAUUUGUGGGCCCUAUAACGUAAAACGUUCAGAUGAAGACAAAUGAAUAUUUGGUUCAAGAUGUAUAUUGAUUGAUGUUUCAGGGAUAAAAUAUUGAUGAUGGACUUUAAAAUCAUAGAAGACAUUAGAUUUUAUUCUCUACUAAACUCUUCUAAUGAAUUGUUAUUUUCGCUGUGAAUAUUGAUCUAAAACUUGUUGUCCAUUAUAUUUUAUCUGAUUUGUUGAAGGCUAACGAUAAUUGUUGUUCAUUAUCUUAGUCAUAAUAUUCUUUACUGGGCUAGUUGAGCUCACCCUUUUCCUUUUUGUUCCAUUUUUUUCUCAGGAGGCGAGAAUAUAACGGGAACUAGUCGGGGUAUGGAAUGAUGGUUCUAGACAGUUAUUUUAGCAGUUCUCACUAUUUUUGUAAAAUAGUGUAUCAAUAAUUAUAAUGAGGACUUAUUUGAGUGUGGAUAUUGUCUAGAAGACAAUAUUUGUAUUUAAACUCACAGUAUAUGUGUUAUCAUAUUUUGCACGACAAUUGUAAUAAUAAAGUUGUAGUUGUUUUCUGUACCAUGUUUUUGGCGACCAAAGAUGGGUGAUGUAUACCUAUUUUGGGGGCGUCACAGUUGGUAUUAGAGCUUAGGGAUAUGGUCUCUGGCGGAGAUAGAACUAGGAGGGGAGAGACGAGUAAAUCCUUCGCUAGUGUGUCCUACCUAAGCUUAUUUGUUGGUUGGUCAGAAUAUAGGGGUAUUAUGUGGUAUGUUAUUUUCUUUAAUUAACCCUUGUUUUGUGGCAAUAUUUGAGAAUGGUAGCUGGAAAUGUUAACAACGGAGUAAAUGAGACCGUGGAGACACCUUUAAUCACCAACCAGGAGAACGUGCAACAGGACGACAAUGUUCCUCUUGUAAACAACACCACCGAUCAAAUGAUGAAUGAUGGAUGUUUAGAAGCUUUUUUGCAGUUCAUGCAAAAUCAGACGAGGGAGACUCGUGAACAAAAUACGGGUGAAAAUGAUAGCAACGCGCGGCUUGUCACAGCCAAGUAGUUCAAAGAGUUGGGACCACAAGAGUUUUUGGGAAAGCCAAAUCCGAUUAAGGCAAAAACGUGGGUUAAGAAAAUUUCAAGAUAUUUGAUGUCUUGGGAUUCAUAGAGGAAUAGAAGGUUCUAUUCUCCACCUUUAUGUUCCGUGGUUAGGCAGAUUACUGGUGGGAAUCUGUGAAGCAUACCCAGCCAGCCGCACUCAAUAUAUCUUGGGAAAUAUUUUAGAAACUGUUUAAUGACAAGUACUUUCCUGAAAGUAUUCGUCAUAUGAAGGAGGUAGAGUUUAUUAGACUGGAACAGAACAACAUGACUGUGUCCCAGUACGAGGCUAAUUUUGCGGAGUUAUCCAGGAUUGCACCUCAUUUGGUAGAGAAUGAGGAACGUAUGACGCGGAUGUUUUUAAGAGGGUUGAAACCCAAAAUUUAUCAGUACCUUAUUUCUCACAAAUUUUCUCUAUAUUCAGAUGUUGUUAACAAGGCUCAAUUAUUAGAGUGAGAUAAUGAGUAUGUUCAACCGAGGGCAGCAGUCAUCAGAGCAAUGAUAACCAGCGGGAAGGAAAAAAUACGGACAAAAGCGAUAACCACUCUGGUGGUAAUCAUGGCCAUGAUAGUAGAAGAAGCGAGUCGAGGGGAGAUUUCAAAAAGAGAAGGUACAACAAUGACAAUGUGAAGACGUCAGCAUCAACAUCAACUGUUUCUAGGGGAGGAGAACGACCACCGGUCGUAUGUUAUAAAUGCUGGAAAGAGGGACACAUCAGCCCAAACUGCCCACAACAAUUCAAGGUAUGUUAUAACUGUGGAAAGGAAGGUCAUAUAGCUCGAGAUUGUUCUAUAGAAAAACCAAGUCCAGCGAGGAUGGUGAUUCCAAAGGCUGUCCCGGACAAGUAAAAGUCAACGGUUCCUGAAAGAACGUUUGUCGUGACUGGCCAAAACGCGAGGAGCCCAAACGAGGUGAUCACGGGUAAGCUAAUUAUAAACUCUUGCGAAGUUAAUACCUUAUUAGAUACCAUUUCUACCCAUUCUUUUAUCUCUCUUUCUUGUGCUCAACGUUUGAACUUAACUCCGGAGAAAUUAGACUUUGACUUAUCUAUUGAGACUCCGUUAGGAGAAACUUUCAUUACACUCACUGUUUAUAAAUCUUUCUUGAUCCAAGUUAGCAUAAUCACAUUACCUGUUGAUCUUAUCUCUUUAAAGAUACUUGCAUUUGAUGUGAUUUUAGGAUUGAUUGGUUAAGAUCUCAUCAUGCUAAAAUUGAUUAUUUUCGUAAGGUUGUUAGUUUUCAUAUUCCUAACCAACCUGUUAUGCCAAUUCAAGCGACCAAACUGCUAAAUUUAAUCACUGUCAUAUCAAGCCAUAAAUCCAUUCGUUUAUUAAAAAAUGGAUGUCAAGCUUUCUUAGCCCAUGUCAUGGACUUGAACAAAAACACGUCAGAUUUGAAUAAUAUUUCUGUUGUUAGUGAAUUUCUUGACGUAUUUCCUGAAGAACUUCCUGGUCUACCCCCAGAACGUGAAGUUGAAUUCUUUAUUGACCUUGAACCUGGUACAAAACCCAUUUCUAAAACCCCAUAUAGAAUGGCUCCUAUUGAAUUUCAGGAGUUAAAGGUCUAACUACAGGAGUUGUUAGACAUCGGUUUCAUUCGUCCUAAUACAUCUCCUUGGGGUGCUUCUGUUUUAUUCAUAAAGAAGAAAGACGAGAGUAUGCGACUUUGUAUUGAUUACCGGGAAUUGAACCAUGUCACCAUCAAUAAUAGGUAUCCGCUAUCUCGCAUUGAUGACCUAUUCGACCAGUUGCAAGGAGCACAAUUCUUUUCAAAGAUCGAUCUUCGUUCUGGAUAUCAUCAGCUGAAGAUUAAAACUGAGGAUAUUCCGAAGACUGCCUUCAGAACUCGGUACGGGCAUUAUAAAUUCUUAGUCAUGUCUUUUGGAUUAACUAAUGCUUCUGCUGCUUUCAUGGAUAUGAUGAACCGUGUGUUCAAGGAAUAUUUGGAUUAGUUCGUUGUUAUCUUUAUUGAUGAUAUCCUCAUCUAUUCCAAAAGCCGUAAAGAUCAUGAGCACCAUUUGAAGCUGGUACUUCAAAGGUUUUGUGAAAAUAAGCUAUAUGCCAAGCUGAAGAAAUGCAACUUUUGGUUUGAGGAAGUAGCAUUCCUUGGGCAUGUGGUGUCAAAACAUGGAGUAUCUGUUGACCCGACGAAGAUUGAAGCAAUACAAAGUUGGGAACAACCGAAGUCGGUGACCGAAGUACGUAGCUUUCUGGGCUUAGCCGGUUAUUAUCUUAGAUUUAUGGAAGGAUUUUCUCGAAUUGCUACUCCGUUAACUCAGCUGACUCAGAAAGAUACAAAAUUCGUAUGGAGUGAGGAAUGCGAGAAGAGUUUCCAAGAGCUCAAGAGGAGACUCAUUUCGGCACUUGUUCUAUAAAUACCAUCUAGUUCGGAUGGAUUUGUUAUCUACAGUGAUGCUUCAGGCAAAGGGUUAGGAUGUAUUCUCAUGCAACAUGGGAAAGUUACAGCCUAUGCCUCGCAACAACUCAAAGAAUAUGAGAGGAAUUAUCCUACUCAUGAUCUGGAGUUGGCAGCAAUCGUUUUCUAGUUGAAAAUUUGGAGACACUACUUGUAUGGGGAGAAAGUGGAGAUUUAUACGGAUCAUAAAAACCUCAAAUAUUUUUUCACCCAAAAGGAACUCAACAUGCGACAACGACGUUGGCUCGAGCUAUUGAAAGAUUAUGACCAUACCAUUCAAUAUCAUCCUGGAAAAGUAAACGUGGUAGCUGACGUAUUGAGUAAAAGAUCGUUUACGGGUACGAGUGCGAUGUUUUUAACACAAAGACCCAUUUUGUAAGACUUACAAAGGAUGGGGAUAGAGUUAAAGGCUCCAAGUGCCCAUAUGAUGAUAUCAAACAUAUGAGUAGAACUGACUUUAAUCGAUAAAGUUAAAGCUGCUUAAGCCACAGACCCAGAGUUGAUGCUUAUGAAGAAGAAAGUACAAGAAGGUGUUAUUCUAGAAGCAAUAAUCGAUGAAGAAAGAAUACUUUGAGUCAACUCCAGACUUUUCAUUCUUAACGAUUCUGACUUAAAGCAUAGAAUCAUGAUGGAGGCACACAACACACCAUUUUCAAUCCAUCGUGGGAGUACCAAAAUGUAUCAUGAUCUUCGAUAUACAUUUUGGUGGAACAAUAUGAAGAGAGAUAUCGCGGAGUUUAUCUCGAGGUGUUUAACUUGUCAACAUGUAAAGGCGGAGCAUCAAGUGUCAAAGGGUCCAUUGCAACCACUUGAGAUUCUGAAAUAGAAGUGGGAACACAUUACCAUGGAUUUCGUAAUGGAUCUUCCCAAGGUUUCUCAAGGCAUAAAUGUGAUUUGGGUUAUUGUUGAUAGAUUAACCAAGUCUGCUCAUUUCUUGCCGAUACGGGAGACUUAUUCCCUUGAACGUCUUGCUCGUAUGUACGAGAAUGAGAUUGUGAGAUUGCAUGGCAUGACAGUAUCCAUAGUUUCGGAUCGUGACCCAAGAUUCACUUCAAGAUUUUGGGUUAGCUUGUAGAAAGCUAUGGGCACGGAUUUACGAUUCAGUUUGGCAUACCAUCCUCAAACGGACGGGCAAUCGGAAAGGACUAUUCAAACUCUUGAAGAUCUAUUAAGACUCUGUGUCCUAGAUUUAAAAGGAAGUUGGGAUAAAUACUUGUCAUUAGUGGAAUUCUCCUACAACAACAGUUAUCAAACAAGUAUAGACAUGGCUCCAUUUGAGGUGUUGUACGGACGAAAGUGUCGUUCUCCAGUAUGCUAGGACGAGGUGGGUGAAGCAAGGUUGUUGGGACCAGAAUUGGUACGCAUGACUACAGAAAAGAUCCAAACGAUUCGACAACGUAUACAAAUGACACAGGAUCGACAAAAGAGUUAUGCGGAUCUUCAUCGAAAGGACGUUGAAUUUAAUAUUAGGGAUCAUGUAUUGUUAUGUAUUGCUCCAUGGAAGGAAGUUACAAGAUUUGGGAAGAGAAGAAAGCUCAAUCCAUGAUUUGUUGGUCCAUUUGAGAUUCUUGACCGAAUAAGAAAUGUGGCCUAUAGACUCGUAUUACCUCCAAGCAUGUCUCGUGUUUAUAAUGUUUUUCACAUAUCUAUGCUUCAUAAAUAUGUGAAAGACCCAAACCACAUUAUUGAGUUAGAACCAGACGAGAUAGCCGAAGAUUUAACGUACGAGGAGGUACCUGUCAAGAUCUUAGAUAGGAAAGAGCAUGUCUUACGCACAAAGAUUAUACCAAAAGUCAAAGUUUUAUGGAGGAACCAUGCUAUUGAGGAAAUGACUUGGGAGUUGGAAUCAGAAAUGAAAGUGAGGUAACCUCACCUUUUCGAAACACCAGGUACAUACGUCAAUUUCGAGGACAAAAUUUUAUAAUGAGGGGAGGUUGUAAGACCCCAACUUUUAUAAAUAAAAUUGAAUUUUCUCUUUUCAUUAUUUUGAAAUAAUAAGGUGUUAAUUUGAUAUAAUUCUUUGGUUAUGAGUAAAAUGUGCAAAUUUUGUAAAAUAAGCAAGUGGUUAUAAAAUAUUCAUUGUUGUCGGGGAAUAUUCGUUUGGUUGUAGAAUAUUCUUGUUGUCGGGGAAUAUUCGUACGACGAUGAAUCCAUUUGUGGGCCCCAUAAUGGAAAACAGUCGGAUGAAGAAAACAACAAAUUUGAGUUUUUAUAAAUAAUGGCGUAGUUGUUACCAUUAACACUGUUGGAAUACCUGAUGGUUAAAGUACAGUAAUACGCGUGGUUGCACAGUAGCACACGGUAUUGCACAGUAUUUUUGGAUUAUUGAUUCUUACAUAAGAAGGCACUACUCAAUAAUUUUUACAGUAAUUACUGUUCAAUAUUUUAUUUUAUUGAUUCAUUAAUUAUUAAGUUGAUAUUUUAUAUUAUUGUUAAUUCAAUAAUUGUCACUGCAUAGUAUUUCCCAUUAUCAUAUCAAUAAUUUAUAUUAUUUGAAUAAUAUUAUUAGAUUUUAUUAUUGGCAAUGUCUAAGAAGUUCUAUCUAGGAAAGGGGUUUGGUCACCUAAUUGCGCGCCAGUAAGGAGAAAUCCUUAUCGGAAAGCCCCCUUCUUUCCUGGGAACGACCUGAUUGUCAUAAUUGUGAUUCUGUAAUAUUAUUUGUGAAUAAUUAAUUAUUGAUUUAUAUGAUAAGAAAAUAUUUAUUUUAUGUGGAUAUAAAUGAAGGAAUUAAUGCUGAGGUGUUUUAUCAGUAUUUUGUCAGAAUGAAGGUAUUAAAAAUCGUCCGUAUGUAAAUUUUGGUCAUUUUCUGCUUGGAAUUUGGAAAAAUUUUAUCCUACAAAGUUGUAGAGAAUUACAUUUCCUAUGGAAUGGACAUAAAAUUCGUAUUUUUCUAUGAAAAGGGCAAUUUAUUAUGAAUUAUUGAAGUUUUGGAAAUAAAUGUUUUUUAAUUAAAAAUAUGGGUGGGCCCUACUUUUGGUUGGUAUGAAAAUUCUGAAUUUGGUGGGCCCCACUGUGGUGUGCUGAUAUUUGAUCAAUUGUGGCGUGCGUGAAAAUUUUUGAUAAAAUAUUAUUUUAUUAAUUUAGUCUGCUUUGGCAUUCUAGCAUUUUCCUAUAACUAGGAUUCUUAGUUAGAAUUGAAAAUCACACCAGAAUCAGAAGUUUUCUUUCUCUAUAAUAUCGAGAGUAUUUUUGUGAGUAUUUAGAUACUUUGAGAGUUGCUAUUCAGUGCAAGUUCCUUCAGCAUUAUAUCUGAUAUUUCAGCUAGAAGUGCUAUUCUUUUGAGGUAAGGGAUAUUAUUUUCUUCGUAAAUGAUGUUAUUUCUUUCAAUAUCAUUAUACUGAAAUAUUAGUAUGAAUUUUAUUAUGAAAUUUUUACCUUUUCAUGUUGAGGUUACUAUUCACGAAUACGACACUAUUCACGUAUACGACAUUAUUUACAAAUACGAUACUAUUCACCAAAAAAUGAAAUUUUUUCUUCUUUGUCCCAGAUGGCUAUUAUGGUUACUAUCUUUGAUUGUAUCCAUGUUUUGAUCUUUAUUAUUGAAUUUUUCUCCACUAUGGUUUAUUAUGGAGUAUUUUUGAAUUUGGAUUAUCUAAAGUACGAAUCCCUAAUCUUUGUCCGUUAUUCUCAAUGGAUUCGUUCUUUAAAAUAUUUUUCAUCAUCCUCAGUCUUUAAUGGUGAUACUUGAUGAAUAUCUUUGGCCUGUAGUACAAAGAUGAAUGAUUACCUAAUGAAUAUAUUUGACCCAUAGUGCAAAGAUGGACAGGUGUUGAGAUGAACAUGACCAACUGUUGAUACAAAUGAAUAUCUUUGGCCCGUAAAACAAAGAUGAAUAUUUGGUUCAAGAUGUAUAUUGAUUGAUGUUACAGGGAUAAAAUAUUGAUGAUAAACUUUUAAAUCAUAGAAGACAUUAGAUUUUAUUCUCUACUAAACUCUUCUAAUGAAUUGUUAUUUCCGCUGCGAAUAUUGAUCUAAAACUUAUUGUCCAUUAUAUUUUAUCUGAUUUAUUGAAGGCUAACAAUAAUUUAUUGUUCAUUAUCUUAGUCAUAAUAUUCUUUACCGGGCUAGUUGAGCUCACUAUUUUCCUUUUUGUUUCAUUUUUCUUCUCAGGAGGCGAGAAUAUAGCGGGAACUAGUCGGGGUAUAGAAUGAUGGUUCUAGACAGUUGUUUUAGCAUUCCUCACUAUUUUUGUAAAAUAGUGAAUCAAUAAUUAUAAUGAGGACUUAUUUGAGUGUGGAUAUUAUCUAGAAGACAAUAUUUUUAUUUAAACUCACAGUAUAUAUGUUAUCGUAUUUUGCACGACAAUUGUAAUAAUAAAGUUGUAGUUAUUUUCUAUACCAUAUUUUUGACGAUCCAAGAUGGGUGAUGUAUACCUAUUUUGGGGGCGUCACAGUAGGAAUACAAACCAAAUAAUAUUACUUACAUACUACAGAGUAUGGAAAAAAUAUUAUUUCAUACGAGUAUUGAACAAAAAUAUUAUCCCUUACCUUAGAAGAAGACUGUAUACUAGAAUAAUGAAGUAGCAGAAUACUCUUCUUCUUUCUCUCUAUAGUUUCUCUCUUUAUAAUUUCUCUUGUGAGUCUUAAUGAAUUGGUGAGAAUGAAAGAAGAAUGAGCUUCUAUUUAUAGGAAAACAUAGUUUCGAUAAUUGCACGUUUUGGGGCUCGAAUUAUUAUAGUAUAUUAUUACCUUCAUCUUUUCCUCCAUUUUAAAUUUAGUCCUACAAGUAUUAUCAAACUUGCACCACCUCCCCUAAUAGUACAUGAAUGUGAAUCAAUACUUCCAUUCAUGUGAAUAAAUAGUUAUAUGCAUGUAAACUAAUAGCAAUUAAUUGCUCAUUUAUCCGAUUAAUUACCCGAUUGGUCAAUUUAACCUCCAGAAAUCAAUUAUUAUCGAAAUAAAUGUUGAUUUCCACUAACACUAAUAAUCCCAACACAAUGGAAAUAUCAAUUUUAUCUUUAAUCAACGCAAACUUAUUCAUCUUUAAUAUUAUAACUCAUAGUAUCUAACAACCAGAUCAUUCCCAGGAAAGAGGGGGCUUUCCGAUAAAGAUUUCUCCCUAUUGGCGCACAAUUAGGUGACAAAACCCUUUUCCUCGACAGAACUUUCUAGACAUCGUCAAUAAUGCAAAUAAUAAUAUGAAUAACUUUUAUAUCUCAAUUAUUGAUUUAAUAAUAUAAAAUAUUAUGCAGAUGAUACUGUGACAAUAAUUGAAUCAAUAAUAUGAGAGAUAUUAUGCAGUAAUUAUUGUAGCAAUAAUUGAGUAUAACUGAGUGACUUCUCACGUAAGCAUUAAUAAUCAAAGAUAUUGUACAAUACCGUAUGCUACUAUGCAACCACGCGUAUUACUGUAAUUUUACCACCAGGUAUUUCAACAGUUAACGGUAAAAUUUUCGUCGUUAAUUUUAUAAAAAUAUAUUUCUGUCAUUUUCUAACUCCGACAAUACAUCCAUUAUAAGACCACAACUUUUAUAAAUAAAAUUGAAUUUCCUCUAUUCAUUAUUUUAAAAAAAUAAGAUGUUAAUUUGAUAUAAUGCUUUGGUUAUGGGUGAAAUGUGCAAAAAUUUCAAAAUAAGCAAGUGGUUAUAAAAUAUUCAUUGUUGUCGGGGAAUAUUCGUUUGGUCAUGGAAUAUUCUUGUUGUCGGGGAAUAUUCGUUUGGUCAUGGAAUAUUCUUGUUGUCGGGGAAUAUUCGUACAACGGCGCAGCCAUUUGUGGGCCCCAUAACACAAAAACGGUCGGAUGAAGAAAAUGACAAGUUUGAGUUUUUAUAAAUUACGGGGUAGUUGUUACCGUUAACACUGUUGGAAUACCUGAUGGUUAAAGUACAGUAAUACGCGUGGUUGCACAGUAGCACAUGGUAUUGCACAGUAUUUUUGGAUUAUUGAUUCUUACGUAAGAAGGCACUACUCAAUAAUUGUUACAUUAAUCAUUGUUCAAUAUUUUAUUUUAUUGAUUCAAUAAUUGCUGCGUUGAUAUUUUAUAUUAUUGUUGUUUCAAUAAUUACCACUGCACAAUAUUUCCCAUUAUCAGAUCAAUAAUUCAUAUUAUUUGAAUAAUAUUAUUAGAUAACCUUAUUGGCAAUGUCUAAGGAAGUUCUGUCUAGAAAAGGGAUUUGGUCACCUAAUUGCGCGCCAGUAAGGAGAAAUCCUUAUCGGAAACCCCCUCUUUUCUGGAAACGACCUGGUUGUCAUUAUUGUGAUUCUGUAAUAUUAUUUGUGAAUAAUUAAUUAUUGAUUUAUAUGAUAAGGAAAUAUUUAUUUUAUGUGGUUAUAAAUGAAGGAAUUAAUGUUGAGGUAUUUUAUCAGUAUUUUGUCAGAAUGGAGGUAUUAACAAUCAUCUGUAUGUGGAUUUCAGUCAUUUUCUGUUUAGAAUUUGAAAAAACUUUCUUCUACAAAGUUGUAGAGAAUUAAAUUUCUUAUGGAAUGGACAUAAAAUUUAUAUUUUUCUGAUAAAGGGCUAUUUAUUAUGAAUUAAGUGGAAUGAAGAUAUCAAAUUGAUUUAGUUUUCGAAUUAAAUUUGAAUUCUUUUAUUUUUUUUUUCAAAAAACAUAUGUUAAUGGUGGGUGAGCAAAGGUUGGCUUUAAAAAGUCUUGUUUCAAAGUAGGUGGGCUACAAAUAAUGUGCGUAUGUAAAUUUUAUCAGUAAUGGUGGGCUGACAUUUCCCUAUAAAUAGGGUGCUUAGUUAGAAAUGAAAUCACACCAUAAUCAGAAGUUUUAUCUCUAUAAUAUCAAACGUAUUUUUGUGAUUAUUUAGAUAAUUUGAGAGUUGCUAUUCAGUGCAAGUUUUUUUCAACAUUAUAUCUGAUAUUCCAAUCAGAAGUACUGUUCUUUUGAGGUAAGGGAUUUUUUUUUUUUUUCAUAAAUGAUAUUAUUUCUUUCAAUAUCAUUAUACCAAAAUAUUGGUAUGAAUUCUUGUGGAAAUUUUACCUUUUCAUGUCUAGGCUACUAUUCACGUAUACGACACUAUUUACGUAUACGACACUAUUCACGAAUACGGUACUAUUCACAAGUACUAUUCACGAAGUAUGAUUUUUCUUGUGAAAUUUCUACCUUUUGGUGUCAGGGUUACUAUUCACGUACAACACUAUUCACGUAUACGACACUAUUCACGAAUAUGGCACUAUUUACUGAAAAAAUUAAAAUUUUUUUCUUUGUCCAAGUUGUCUAUUAUGGUUACUAUCUUUGAUUGUAUCCAUGUUUUGAUCUUCAUUCUUGAAUUUUGCUCCACAAUUAAUUAUUAUGGAGUAUUUUUGAACUUGGAUAAAGUAAAGUACGAAUCCCUAAUAUUUGAUCUUUUAUCUCACUGGAUUCGUUUUCUUUAAGAUAUUUUUCAUCAUCCUCAGUCCUAAAUGGUGAUAUAACUGAAUAUCUUUGGCCUGUAGUGCAUAGAUGAAUGAUUACCUGAUGAAUAUUUUUGGCGCGUAUUGCAAAGAUGGACAGGUGUUGAGAUGAACAUGACCAACUGAUGAAUAUCUUUGGCCUGUAGUGCAAAGAUGAAUAUUUGAUUCAAGAUGUAUAUUGUGACGCCCCCAAAAUAGGUAUACAUCACCUAUCUUGAGUCGCCAGAUACAUGGUACAUAAAUCAAAUACAAACUUAAUUAUACAACAGUCGUGUAAAAUACGACAAAACAUAGCUGAGAGUUUAAACAAGAAUAUUGUCAUCUAGAUAAUAUCCAUACUCAAUGGUGUCCUCAUUGCAAUUAUUAUCACAUUAUUCUGUAGAAUAGUGAAGACUACUAAAGCCAUUUAUCCUGGACCAUCACUCCAUUCCCCGACUCGUCCCAGCUAUAUUCUCAUUUCCUGAAGAGAACAAUGAAAGAAAGGGUGAGCUCAACUAGCCCAGUAAGAAAUAUUAUGACUAAGAUAAUGCAGAAUAAAUUAUCCUUAGCCUUCAACAGUAUAACAACUGAUAGAAUACAAUAGACAACAAGUUUUAGAUCAACAACUGCAGCGGAAAUAAGCAAUCCAUUAGAAGAGUCAAGUAGAGCAUAAAAUCUACUAUCUUCUAUGAUUUAAAAAGUUUUUCAUCAACUUUAUCGCUGAGACUCAGCUUAAUAAAUAAAAUCGAAUCAUCCCUGCACCACGGCCAAGGAUAUUCAUGUAAUCAUCAAUGGUCAUGAUUAUACCGAAUAAUCCCUGGUCAUAAUCAUACCAACAACUGUCCAUCAAUGAACUACAGGCCAAUGAGGACUUUUACCACAUCAUUCGUCACAUUACGGUCAUGAUUAUACCGAAUAAUCCCUGGUCAUAAUCAUACCAAGUCCAUCUAUGCACGUAAGCCAAAGAUGACUUUCAUCACAAUAUAAGCAUGAGGAUGAUGACAAUGACAUAAUAAUUCAAUAAAACAAGUUCAAGGAUAAAUUUUAAAGAUUUAUAAUUUAAUUUAUCCAGAAAUCAAUAACGCCCAAAUUGUCAACAUGAUACUGCUUUGUAGAGUAAAAUUCAAGAAUAAUAUUCAUGUACAAAAAAUAAUUUGGACAGAAAAGAAAUAUAUUUUUCGGGUGAAUAGUAUCCCGUGAAUAAUACUUUGGGAAUAGUACCUCAUGAAUAGUACCUCGACACGAAAAGUGUCCCGAAUACCCGAGUGAAUGAUACUAGAGUGAAUAGUAAUUGGGUUAAUAGUAACCCGCGUGAAUAGUAACUCGUGAAUAGUACUCCGGCACGAAAAGUACCUCGAAUAUCCGAGUGAAUAAUACCAGAGUUAAUAAUAACUGGGUGAAUAGUAACCCGUGAAUAGUAACUCAUAAAAAAAAUACCAAAGAAAAUGAUAUUCCAUGACGAGUACAAAAGAAAUGAUAUCUCAGACGAGUAUAAUAGAAUAUACGAAACUGCAAAUGGAUUUUCACCCGCCAUGCGGUAAUCCACGUAGACAGAUCAUUUCCACAAUUUAAUAAAGAAUGAAUACAAAGGAUCAUUCACUAUGCAUGCGGUAAUCCACAUAGAUAGAUUAUUCCAACAGAAUAAUAAAGAAUGGAAUAACAAAAGAAUUCACCAGGCAUGCGAUAGACCACACAGAUAGGUUAUUCCCAACAGAAUAAUAAAGAAUGGAACCAGGUCAUGCGUAAUCCGCACAGACAGGAUAUUCCAACAGAAUAAUAAAAAAUAGAAUAACAAUAGAAUUCACCAGGCAUGCGAUAGACCGCACAGACAGGUUAUUCCAACAGAAUAAUAAAGAAUAGAAUAACAGAAGAAUUACACCAUGUAUGUGGUACUUCGUAUAGACAGAUUAUUCCAACAACAUAAUAAAGAAUGGAAUAACAACCCUUAUGAGUAUUGGAAGAAAAUAACUCUCUUCAUGAAUACGAAAGAAUAAUACCCCUUACCUCAAAAGAAGACUGGAUACUGGAAUAGUGAGGUAGCAGACUUCUCUUCUUCUUUCUCUCUAUAAUUUCUCUCUAUAAUAAUUGCUCUAUAACUUUAGUGAAUUUGUUAGAAAUAAUGAAGGAAUGAGCUUCUAUUUAUAGGAAAAUAUAGUUUCGAUAAUUGCAUAUUUUGGGGCUCGAAAUAUUACAGUAUAAUACCUUCCUCUUUUUCUUCAUUUUUAAUUUAGUCCUGCAAGUAUUAUCAAACAUGCACCACCUCUCCUAAUAGUAAAUCAUGUGAAUCAAUAGUAAAGGAUGUGACUCAAUAGUUCUAUACAUGUGAAAAAAUGAAUUACAGUAUAAUACCUCCAUCUAUACCUCCAUUUUUAACUUAGUCAUGCAAGUAUUAUCAAUCUUGCAUCAACUCCCCUAAUAGUAAAUGGAUUUGAAUAAAUAGUACACACAUGUGAAUAAAUAGUUAUAAUCAUGUUAAUCAAUAGCAAUUAAUUGCUCAUUUAUCUGGUUAAUUACCCGAUUGGUCAAUAUAACCUCCAGACAUCAAUUAUUAUCGAAAUAAAUGUCGAUUUUCACUAACACUAAUAAUUCCAACACAAUGGAACUAUCAAUUUUAUCUUUAAUCAACACGAACUUAUUCAUCAUUAAUAUUAUAAUUCACAAUAUUUAACAACCAGGUCGUUCUUAGGAAAGAGGGGACUUUCCAAUAAGGAUUUCUCCUUAUUGGCGCGCAAUUAGGUGACCAAACCUCUCCUUGACAGAACUUCUAGACAUUGUCAAUAUUGUAAAUAAUAAUAUGAAUAACUUUGUCAUCUCAAUUAUUAAUUUAAUAAUAUAACAUAUUAUACAAAUGAUACAGUGACAAUAAUUGAAUCAUUAAUAUGAGAGAUAUUAUGCAACAAUUACUGUAGCAAUAAUUGAGUAUAACUGAGUGACUUUUCACGUAAGCAUCAAUAAUCCAUACCGUGUGCUACUAUGCAACCACGCGUAUUACUGUACUUUUACUAUCGGGUAGUUCAACAGUUUGACGGUAAAACUUUCAUCGUUAUUUUUAUAAAAAGAUAAUUCUGUCAUUUUCUAACUACGACAAUACUUCCGUUGUGGGGUCCACCAAUGAUUGUGCCGUCGUACGGAUAUUCCCCGACAAAAAGAAUAUUCCCCAACCAAUCGAAUAUUAUAUAACAACUUGCAUACUUUGAAAAAUUUAUAAAUAUUACCAACAACUCUAACAUUAUAUCAAAUCCACACCAUAAUAUUCAAAAAAAUAUUUUGAGAAAUUUAAAUCUUUAUUCAUAAAAUUUGGGGUCUCAUAAUCUCCCCUCCUUAUGAAAUUUCGCCCUCAAAAAUUACGUACGUACCUGGUAUGCCGAUGAGGUGAGGAUACCUUGACUUCAUUUCAUAUUCCAACUCUUGAGGUAUAACCUUUGAGUGUUGAAUAUGAUCCUUCUUAUCCAAGAUUUUAACAAGUAUCUCAUUAUACGUUAAAUCCUCUGCUAUAUCGUCUAGUUUUAAUUUAAUAAUGUUGUUCGGGUCGUCCACAUAUUUACGUAACAUUGAUACGUGAAAAACGUUAUGAACACGCAACAUACUUGACGGUAAAACGAGUCUAUAGGCCACAGUUCCUACUCGAUCGAGGAUUUCAAAUGAGCCAAUAAAAUUGAGGGUUGAUAUUUCCUCUUUUCAUUGACUCUUGCGUCUAGAAUAACGCCUUCUUGAACCUUCUUCUUUAUUUUCAUCAGCUCCAGGUGUGUAGUUUGAGCGGCUUUAACUUUAUCGAUUAAAGUCGAUUCUACUCGUAUAUUCGUUAUCUUCACGUGGGUCCCUAGAGUCUUUAACUCUAUCUUCAUCAUUUGUAAGUUAUACGAAAUGGGUUUUUGUGUUAACAACAUCGCACUCGUAAACGCAUACGAUCUUCUACUCAACGCGUCAGCUACCACGUUCGCUCUUCCACGAUGAUAUUGAAUGGUAUAGUCGUAAUCUUCAACAGCUCGAGCCAACGUCCUUGGCGCAUGAUACGUUUAUUUUAGUUGAAGAAAUAUUUGAGGGUUUUAGAAAUGGGUUUUGUAUUGGGGUCAAUACAAAAUUCGAUUUCACGCUUUGGGGGUAGACCAAGAAGUCUUCAAGAAUACGUCAGGAAAUUUAUUACCUAUAGAAAUAUCAUUCAAAACUGUGACUCUCAUCCAAGACUUGGAUAGCACAUGAAAUGAAAGUUUCUACUAACGAAGUUUCAACCGAUAAGUCAAAGUCUAAUCUCUCAGGAGUUAAAUUUAAACGUUGAGCGCAAGAAAGAGAGAUAAAAUAAUGGGUGGAACCGAUAUCUAAUAAGGUAUAGACUUUGCAAGAAUUUAUAAUUAAAUAACCCAUGCUAACUUCGUUCGGGUUACUCGCUUUUUGAGAAGUCACGAAAAACACUCUUCUUAAAACUACUGACUUUGUUUUGUCCGUAUCCGCCUUUGGUGCCACCGUCCCCAGCUGAACUUGACUUUGGUGCAUGACAAAAUCGGGAUAGGUGACCUUCUUUUCCACAAUUAUAACAUGCUUUGGACUGCAUCACGCAGUUUAGACUGAUAUGUCCCUCCCGUCCGCAUUUAAACCAUACAAUUGGUGGUCGUUCUCCUUCCUUGAAAACCGGUGUUGGUGCUGCUGUCUUUCCAUCAUUGUUGAACCUUCUCUUCUUGAAAUUUCCACUCCUAUUAUCUUGGCCAUGGUUACCACCGAAGUGGUUACCAUUCUUGGCAUGAUAAUUUCCCCCACGAUGGUUAUCAUUGUUCCGAUGGCCGUUGCCACCGGUACGAUUAUUAUCGUGUUAUUGGUCGUUGCCUUUUGGUUGUGCUGACUCAUUAUCGCGCUCCAAUAACUAAACCCUAUUCACAACAUCUGAAUAUAAACAAAUUUUGUGAAAAAUGAGGUAUUGACGUAUAUCGGGUUUCAAACCUCUUAGAAACAUCCGCGUCAUUCUCUCCUCAUUCUCAACCAAGUGGGACGUAAACCAAGAAAACUCGGCAAACUUAGCUUCGUACUGCGCCAUGGUCAUGUUGUUUUUCUCAAGCUUGAUGAACUCUACCUCCUUCAUGUGACGAAUACUUUCAGGAAAGUACUUGUCGUUGAAUAUCUCUUGGAACUUCUCCCAAGACAUCUUGAGUGUGGCAGGUUGAGUACGCUUUACAGAUUCCCACCAAUAAUCUGCCUCUUCACGCAAUAUAAAGGUGGCAAAUGGAACCUUUUGCUCCUCGGAGCAUCCCAAGACAUCAAAUAUCUUGGUGAUCUUCAUUAUCCACGUCUCCGCCUUAAGUGAUUCUGGCUUUCCCAAAAACUCCGGCAGUCCCAGCUCCUUGAACUGCUUAGCAGUGACCAGCCGUGGGUUGCCAUUGUUUCCACCCGCAUUUUGAACAAGAGUCUCUCUCGCCUGAUGUUGCAUGAAUUACAUAAAGCCUCUGAACAUCUCAUCGUUCAUCAUCUGAUCGGUGUUGUUAUUUACCUGAGGAUUAUUGUCUUCUUGUUGCACAUUAUCCUGGGUAUUGAUCGUUGGUGACUCAACGGUCUCAUGUGCUUCAUUGCUUAUCUCAAUAUUUUCAGAUGCCAUUCUCAAACACUAUCAAAAAACAAGGGUUAAUUAACAUGUCACAUAUUAUCCCUAUACUCUGACCGACCAAUUAAAUACCAAAUAAACCUAGGUAGGCCAUACUAGCGAAGGAAUUCCCCGUCUCUCCCCUCCUAGUUCUUAUCUCACAUCUCAGCCAGGGAUCAUAUCCCUAAGCUUUGAUACCAACUGUGACGCCCCCAAAAUAGGUAUACAUCACCCAUCUUGAGUCGCCAGAUACAUGGUACAUAAAUCAAAUACAAACUUAAUUAUACAACAGUCGUGUAAAAUACGACAAAACAUAGCUAUGAGUUUAAACAAGAAUAUUGUCAUCUAGACAAUAUCCAUACUCAAUGGUGUCCUCAUUAUAAUUAUUAUCACAUUAUUUCAUAGAAUAGUGAGGACUACUAAAGCCAUUUAUCCUGGACCAUCACUACAUUCCCUGACUCGUCCCAGCUAUAUUCUAAUUUCCUGAAGAGAACAAUGAAAGAAAGGGUGAGCUCAACUAGCCCAGUAAGAAAUAUUAUGACUAAAAUAAUGCAGAAUAAAUUAUCCUUAGCCUUCGACAGUAUAACAACUGAUAGAAUACAAUAGACAACAAGUUUUAGAUCAACAACUGCAGCGAAAAUAAGCAAUCCAUUAGAAGAGUCAAGUAGAGCAUAAAAUCUACUAUCUUCUAUGAUUUAAAAAGNNNNNNNNNNNNNNNNNNNNNNNNNNNNNNNNNNNNNNNNNNNNNNNNNNNNNNNNNNNNNNNNNNNNNNNNNNNNNNNNNNNNNNNNNNNNNNNNNNNNNNNNNNNNNNNNNNNNNNNNNNNNNNNNNNNNNNNNNNNNNNNNNNNNNNNNNNNNNNNNNNNNNNNNNNNNNNNNNNNNNNNNNNNNNNNNNNNNNNNNNNNNNNNNNNNNNNNNNNNNNNNNNNNNNNNNNNNNNNNNNNNNNNNNNNNNNNNNNNNNNNNNNNNNNNNNNNNNNNNNNNNNNNNNNNNNNNNNNNNNNNNNNNNNNNNNNNNNNNNNNNNNNNNNNNNNNNNNNNNNNNNNNNNNNNNNNNNNNNNNNNNNNNNNNNNNNNNNNNNNNNNNNNNNNNNNNNNNNNNNNNNNNNNNNNNNNNNNNNNNNNNNNNNNNNNNNNNNNNNNNNNNNNNNNNNNNNNNNNNNNNNNNNNNNNNNNNNNNNNNNNNNNNNNNNNNNNNNNNNNNNNNNNNNNNNNNNNNNNNNNNNNNNNNNNNNNNNNNNNNNNNNNNNNNNNNNNNNNNNNNNNNNNNNNNNNNNNNNNNNNNNNNNNNNNNNNNNNNNNNNNNNNNNNNNNNNNNNNNNNNNNNNNNNNNNNNNNNNNNNNNNNNNNNNNNNNNNNNNNNNNNNNNNNNNNNNNNNNNNNNNNNNNNNNNNNNNNNNNNNNNNNNNNNNNNNNNNNNNNNNNNNNNNNNNNNNNNNNNNNNNNNNNNNNNNNNNNNNNNNNNNNNNNNNNNNNNNNNNNNNNNNNNNNNNNNNNNNNNNNNNNNNNNNNNNNNNNNNNNNNNNNNNNNNNNNNNNNNNNNNNNNNNNNNNNNNNNNNNNNNNNNNNNNNNNNNNNNNNNNNNNNNNNNNNNNNNNNNNNNNNNNNNNNNNNNNNNNNNNNNNNNNNNNNNNNNNNNNNNNNNNNNNNNNNNNNNNNNNNNNNNNNNNNNNNNNNNNNNNNNNNNNNNNNNNNNNNNNNNNNNNNNNNNNNNNNNNNNNNNNNNNNNNNNNNNNNNNNNNNNNNNNNNNNNNNNNNNNNNNNNNNNNNNNNNNNNNNNNNNNNNNNNNNNNNNNNNNNNNNNNNNNNNNNNNNNNNNNNNNNNNNNNNNNNNNNNNNNNNNNNNNNNNNNNNNNNNNNNNNNNNNNNNNNNNNNNNNNNNNNNNNNNNNNNNNNNNNNNNNNNNNNNNNNNNNNNNNNNNNNNNNNNNNNNNNNNNNNNNNNNNNNNNNNNNNNNNNNNNNNNNNNNNNNNNNNNNNNNNNNNNNNNNNNNNNNNNNNNNNNNNNNNNNNNNNNNNNNNNNNNNNNNNNNNNNNNNNNNNNNNNNNNNNNNNNNNNNNNNNNNNNNNNNNNNNNNNNNNNNNNNNNNNNNNNNNNNNNNNNNNNNNNNNNNNNNNNNNNNNNNNNNNNNNNNNNNNNNNNNNNNNNNNNNNNNNNNNNNNNNNNNNNNNNNNNNNNNNNNNNNNNNNNNNNNNNNNNNNNNNNNNNNNNNNNNNNNNNNNNNNNNNNNNNNNNNNNNNNNNNNNNNNNNNNNNNNNNNNNNNNNNNNNNNNNNNNNNNNNNNNNNNNNNNNNNNNNNNNNNNNNNNNNNNNNNNNNNNNNNNNNNNNNNNNNNNNNNNNNNNNNNNNNNNNNNNNNNNNNNNNNNNNNNNNNNNNNNNNNNNNNNNNNNNNNNNNNNNNNNNNNNNNNNNNNNNNNNNNNNNNNNNNNNNNNNNNNNNNNNNNNNNNNNNNNNNNNNNNNNNNNNNNNNNNNNNNNNNNNNNNNNNNNNNNNNNNNNNNNNNNNNNNNNNNNNNNNNNNNNNNNNNNNNNNNNNNNNNNNNNNNNNNNNNNNNNNNNNNNNNNNNNNNNNNNNNNNNNNNNNNNNNNNNNNNNNNNNNNNNNNNNNNNNNNNNNNNNNNNNNNNNNNNNNNNNNNNNNNNNNNNNNNNNNNNNNNNNNNNNNNNNNNNNNNNNNNNNNNNNNNNNNNNNNNNNNNNNNNNNNNNNNNNNNNNNNNNNNNNNNNNNNNNNNNNNNNNNNNNNNNNNNNNNNNNNNNNNNNNNNNNNNNNNNNNNNNNNNNNNNNNNNNNNNNNNNNNNNNNNNNNNNNNNNNNNNNNNNNNNNNNNNNNNNNNNNNNNNNNNNNNNNNNNNNNNNNNNNNNNNNNNNNNNNNNNNNNNNNNNNNNNNNNNNNNNNNNNNNNNNNNNNNNNNNNNNNNNNNNNNNNNNNNNNNNNNNNNNNNNNNNNNNNNNNNNNNNNNNNNNNNNNNNNNNNNNNNNNNNNNNNNNNNNNNNNNNNNNNNNNNNNNNNNNNNNNNNNNNNNNNNNNNNNNNNNNNNNNNNNNNNNNNNNNNNNNNNNNNNNNNNNNNNNNNNNNNNNNNNNNNNNNNNNNNNNNNNNNNNNNNNNNNNNNNNNNNNNNNNNNNNNNNNNNNNNNNNNNNNNNNNNNNNNNNNNNNNNNNNNNNNNNNNNNNNNNNNNNNNNNNNNNNNNNNNNNNNNNNNNNNNNNNNNNNNNNNNNNNNNNNNNNNNNNNNNNNNNNNNNNNNNNNNNNNNNNNNNNNNNNNNNNNNNNNNNNNNNNNNNNNNNNNNNNNNNNNNNNNNNNNNNNNNNNNNNNNNNNNNNNNNNNNNNNNNNNNNNNNNNNNNNNNNNNNNNNNNNNNNNNNNNNNNNNNNNNNNNNNNNNNNNNNNNNNNNNNNNNNNNNNNNNNNNNNNNNCGCUGCGAAUAUUGAUCUAAAACUUGUUGUCCAUUAUAUUUUAUCUGAUUUAUUUAAGGCUAACGAUAAUUUGUUGUACAUUAUCUUAGUCAUAAUAUUCUUUACUGGGCUAGUUGAGCUCACCCUUUUCCUUUUUGUUCCAUUUUUCUUCUCAGGAGGCGAGAAUAUAGCGGGAACUAGCCAGGGUGUGGAGUGAUGUUUCGAGACAGUUGUUUUAGCAGUCCUCACUAUUUUGUAAAAUAGUGCAUCAAUAAUUGUAAUGAUUACUUAUUUUUGAGUUUGGAUAUAUUCUAGAAGACAAUAUUUGUAUUUAAACUCACAUCAUAUGUGUUGUCGUAUUUUGCAUGACAAUUGUAAUAAUGAAGUUGUAGUUAUUUUCUGUACCAUAUUUUUGGUGACCCAAGAUGGGUGAUGUAUACCUAUUUUGGGGGCGUCACAUCCGUGGUGGGGUCCACCAAUGAUUGUGCCGUCGUACGAAUAUUUCCUGUUAAAACGAAUAUUCCCCGACCAAUCGAAUAUUUUAUAACAACUUUCUUACUUUGCAAAAUUUAUAAAUAUUACCCAUAACUAUAACAUUAUAUCAAACACCAUAAUAUUCAAAAAUAUAUUUCGAGAAAAAUUAAUCUUUAUUCAUAAAAGUUGGGGUCUUACACAAUCUAUAUUAGACUUAAUUAAAGUCCAUAUAUCACACUUAAUUAGACCAAUUAAUUAGCCUAAUUUAUAUAAAUAUUAUUAAUAUUCUUACAAGUUUAUCUAUGUAUUCAUCUAAAUUUAUUUAUUAUUAAUUAAAUUUAUUAAUAAUGUUUAUUUAUAUCUCUUCUUCUUCGAUAAGGGAUCGACAAGCCAUUACUUCUAUAACUACUCAAAGUCAGGGCGGUAGUUAGCUACCAGCAAUAACUUUAUAGGGUAAAAUGCAAAAUUAACCACUGAAGUUUAGCAAUUUUUGGAUAUUGAGUCCCUUUCUUUUGGUCAACAGAAAUUGAGCUCCUUUCUAUUCAAAAAUUUGAAAUUUGAGCCAUCAGGCGCCACGUGAGCGUUGACCUGCUGACAUGAGAAUUUUUCAAUUUUAUCCCAAAAAUAUGUCGCUCCACUAAUUCGAACUCAAAACACCCAGUUUGGAACUUUGAUCAUAUGACCACUGAAGUACCACGAGCUUAACUGUUAAUAUUUCGCAAGGAUUAAUCUUUAUAACAAAACAAUUCAUUUCCCACAAAAAAAUUAAAAGACAAAACAGAUCCUUAAUAUUAGCUAAGUCUCAUUUUGUCCUUUAUAUUGACUGGAACUUAUUGACGGAUCAACCUAAAAAUAGAAUACUGCAAAUCAAGGAUUUAUUGACAUCCCAUAUACAUAACAAGCACAAACACAAGCUCUUUGACAACAGUAAAUUGAUUUGAACUAAAACAAAAAAUAAUACAUUAAUCCCAAAGCUUCUUUAAUUAACCAGUUCUUGAAUAGCUCCCACACUUUGUGAAUCGCAAUUCUCUGAAUCUCUCUCCCUCGACGAAGUCGCCCCCUGUUGAACAAAAGCACGGCCGUUGUAAUUUCGACUGAUGAUGGAUUCUUCCGAUAUAGGCCUUUUCAGACCUAGCCCUCUUGAUCUAUCAAAUGAUCUACGAGAGCUCUCCAUUUACAUAGUAAAAAUUCGAUCAACCAAAAAACAUAAAUCAAAGCCCUAAUUUAAUCCCUACUUUAUUACAUAGUAAAAAAUUGAAAAAGAAAAAACUAGAUUUAUGGUAAUUAAAACUAACAAGGAUUUCAUACGAGACUUACAAAUCAGAUACCCUAAUCAUUGCCCUAAUUAUGUAUACACAAAAUCAAGAUUGAUACAAAAGUUCGAUCUUUGAAGACAAAUAUUGUGAAUUGAGGAGAGAGAUGAGAUAUGAUUGACAGAACUCCGAUAUUAGUCUUCAAAUCGAGCUGUCAGUUACUUUUUGACUCUGGUUUCAAAUUAAUUAAGUCUCAUUUCGUAAUCUUUCUCAUUUCGUAAUCUAAAUGAGACUUAGUUAAGUAGAGGUUUAGAAAAAGAGAAAGAUAAAGAGGGAAAUGAAACUUAGCUACUCUGAAGGAUCUGUUUUGUCUUUUAAUUUUUUUGGGAGAAAUGAAUUGUUUCGUUAUAAAGAUUAAUCCUUAUGAAAUAAUAAAAGUUAGGCCUGUAGUGCUUGGGUGGUCAUAUGAUCAAAGUUUGAAAUUGGGUAUUUUGAGUUCGAAUCAGUGAAGCGCUCACGUGGCGCCUGGGGGCUCAAAUUCCAAAUUUUUGAAUAGAAAGUGGCUUAAUUUACAUUAACCAAAAGAAAUGGACUUAAUACCCAAAAAUUUCUAAAGUUCAGUGGUCAAUUUUAUAUUUUACCCUAACUUUAUCAUUAUAGCAAACUAUUUCAUGUUGCUCGGAGGAAAAAAAAAAUAUUAGAAGGAAAAAGGUUUGGCCUAUUAGUACUCGGUAAGUUCUAAACAAACCAAACACAAUUAAUAAUUUUAUUUAUUUACUAAUAAUAGUUUAUAUAACUUAUACGUUAUUAAGGGCUCAAAUUUUAUGGGAGUAGUUAACAUAAAAUUAAUUUUGAUUAAUUGACUAAUAUAGUAUCAACACACAAAUUGAAAAAUAAUCUCUCCUUACGUGUCAACAUUAUAUUAAUUAAUUUAUCAUAAAAAUUUUCAUAAUAAUCAGAUCCAAAUUUUAUAUAUCAAAAAUAGUAUGUCGCGUUGGACCUCUAAAUACUACUACUUUACCCACAUUAAAAGUUAAUAAUCGAAAAAAUCUCUCUCUAUUGUCGUUUUAUUUAUCAUUAUCCAAACACUACUGCUCUACGCACAUUAAACGGUGCUGAGAAGAAACGUUGUCAUUGUCCUUUUUCUGCAUGUGUGAUUGAAGGUAAUUUGGGUCUUAUCAUUAUGUUAGAACUUAUGUUAUUAGCUGCUCAUGUUUAACUUGAGUUUUUUUUUUUUGGUAUUUUGCAAGUCUUGUGGUACUGUCCAAAGAGUAUGGAUUUUUUCCACUUUUAUAAUCAUGUUUUGGGUAUUAAUGAAUUUCAUUUUAUUGAUAAAAAAGAAAAAUAAAAUUUUUCUCUCAAAUUAGUCACAUGCGGAUCACAUUAUUGAAUUACAGAUUUAAACAUAAAUUUAUAAGCAAUAACUCUCUUGACUUUUUAAAAAUAUAUUUAAGUCAUUUUUUUUGUCCAUGUUAGUCUACGAAAAACUACUUAAUAGCUUUAAAAUUAAUAUAAAAAAAAAUUACAAUUAACUCCUACUUCUAUACCACGAAGACAAAGGCAACCAAGUGGAAUAGGCGGGUAAUUUAAUUAACCUAAUUGGCUUUAUAUGUUAAAGCUAAUUAGGUUCCACAAAAACAAUAUUGGAGUAGCAGCUAAUAGUGUGACAGGUGACCAUACAAUGGAUAUUUUUCAAUACGUUUCACUUUCAUGACAGAAAACUUUACGGAUUAAUUAACACACAAAAUAUAAAUAAAAAUAUUUUAUCAGUUUUUUCUUAUUAUAAUUAAAAAAGAACUGGAGACUAUAAAAGGGUAUGCAUGGAAGUCUAGAGAUCACAGAAAACACACACUUCAUUUCUUAAGAAAAAAGUUGUUGAAGUUUGAAGAGAUCAUGAGGGCAAUAUAUAUUAUCAGCAUCAUUAUAGUGAGCUUGAGCAUUUUCUCUUGUGGUGGGAAUGCUCGACUUCUUCCUGCUAAUAGAGAUUAUCCAUGGGCAAUGUUUGCCCUAAGGCUUCAAUGGCCAGCUGGAUUUUACGAGGUCAACAAUGACUGUGAUACAAAGUCUCUCCUCAACACAUUUACCAUUCACGGCCUUUAUCCCUAUAACGCGAAGGGGAUCCCAGUGUUAUAUUGUGACGGAACUGCCUUUGAUGUUAACUCUGUGAGUUCUCUCAGUCUGCAUUUAAUUUACUUCUUAAAAUCCUUGCUCUAUUGUCUAUUAAAUAUGUUUUUUUGUGGUAACAUUUAUAUAUAUCUUGAAGAGUUGGAUAUGUUUGUUUGAUAAAAAAAAUGAAAUUGUACAUGCAAUAUAUAUCCAUACAUACUCACAUAUGUUAAACUAAUUUCUCUCCUCCUUUAUUUUGAAAAUUAACAGGUAUCGGACUUUCAAGCAGAAAUGCAUCUUGCAUGGCCGAGUCAUGAAACUAAUACUGAGGACAAACAAUUCUGGGAACACGAGUGGAAUAAACAUGGAAGGUGCUCAGAAGCUUUGUUGAAGCAGACUGAUUAUUUUAGAACGGCGCUUGCUUUUAGAAAAGCAUUUGAUAUAAUUGGGCUACUAAACCAGGAAGGUAAACAUACCCAUUGAUAUAUAAUUAAAUAGUCUUUAAUUUGGUUCAUUAAUUGCUUCCUAAGGGAACUACGUACUUAAUUUAGAUUUUGUGGAUGAUUAAUUGAUAAUGUGAGUUUGAUGAGAUUACUAUUCAAAAAUGUGUAGGGAUUUACCCGAAUAACGACCUUUAUCGUCCUAAAAUGAUAAAAGAAGCAAUCAAAAAGCACUUGAAUGCUGUGCCAGAAAUCGAUUUCACCAAAAACGAAAACUCAGAAUAUGUGCUUACGGAUAUUAAUCUAUGUGUGAACCAACAAGCAACAAGGUUCGUAGAUUGCCCUACCGAUGACGCUACUGAUGACUACCGCCUCAAAUUCGUAAGACUACCUUCUAAAAUGAAAAUUGCGGAUCCGAGGACCAAUUCUAUAAUAUAGCACAAAUGGUACGGCUACAAAAUGGACUACUAUCUUGUUUAAUUAAUGCUUUUGGGAGUAUAUAUUAUCUAUGUAAAAUAGUUAUGAGUGCUAGGGUUGGCUAAUUAGUACUAUGAGGCCAACCUUUAGUAUCUCUUGAAUAAUGUCCAUGUAGCAAAAGUUUAUAGCACUCUGGCCUUGGUGUGUAUGGAUAAUUAUAAUAAAUGACUACUUUUAUCUGCAAAAAAAAAUAAAAUCCAAGUAUUUUCUUUUGUUUUUAUUUUUGAUAAGAAUUUAAUUUUAUGUAGUUUGAUGGCAUAGUUUAUCUAGGAAGCUGAUAUUUUCACAUGUUAAAAUGAUAUUUUCAAACGAGUCUCUCACAAUAUGGAUGUGGGACUUGCUCACUAUUCAUGUGAGAGGGAUUAUGUGAAAAUAUCAAAUUUUUAUGUGAAAAUAUUAGCUCCCUUUAUCUAUUAUAAUGGUGAAACAUGACUUUUUGAUAUUUUUCACAUGAAAAUCGUCGCUAUAGAUCCUUUAGUAGUGGUUUUUACUGUCGCUAUACAUCUCUAUAGCUACAUUUUUUAUAUAAAAAUAUCAAAAAAAUAUGUGGAAAUAUCAAGCAUGCAUGCAUCGUACCAGAAAACAUUUAAAGGGACACUUCAAAGGGAUUUCAGACAAAAAAUAAAACCAAAAAUAAAUGAUUUCAUCACAAUUUUGUUUUCAAGUAUUGUCGCAAAUCAGUGGUCACUAAAAAAAAAAAGGAAAAUAUAUUUGUCGCAAUCUAUAAAACAUGACUGAAAACAGGGGCGAAGCCACAGUUCAGGAUGUGUGGUCAAUUGAUUUCAUUGAAAAAUAUAUAUUUUAUAAUAUAUGAUAAAUUUAAAGAAUAUUUAAGUGUAAUAAAUAAAUUGACUUCAUUGAAAUUUUAUAACCUUUUUAAUAUACGGUGUUAAAUUGAAUUUUUUAUAACUUUCUCAAUUCUAUAUUAUUUCUACUCCUUGAUGUAUGCUUAUUUCUCUAAUAUUUUUAAAAUAAAUAAUAAUUUAAUUUAUAUUAUUUUUAUAUCAUAAGAAAUUUAAAUAUUUAUUAACAAAUUUAUGAUUAAAAAACGUAUUAGGGGUCAAUAAGGAGUUUUUUUGUGUGUGUGUGUGUGUGUGUGUGUAUAUAUAUAUACAUGUUGUUUCAUUUUAUGUCUUUAGGUUUAGUUUAUCAGGAUACUAGGUAGAUUAUUUCAUUUGGGUCUCUCUUGAGCCUUAAUUUUAGGUUGCCCUCUUUUAUAAAGAGGAUGAUUCGAUUUCAACUGCUGACAUCUGUACCAGUUGGUUCAUGGACAAGUUUCUUUUGAUAAGUUAGUAUCAUGGACAAAUAUAAAUAAUAAUUAACUGUUACAAUGAAAAUUAAACUUCAAUUAAGUCUAGGCCAUUCAUACAUUGAAAAAAGCUUCUUGAAUAGGUUAGAGAGUUUGUGAAAUAUUUUUUUAGUUUGCUUAACCCUUUGAAAAGCGGUUGUGGUAAGAACAAAUAUUGAUAAGUUAUUGAAACACCGCUUUUCAAAGGGUUAAGCAAACUAAAAAAAUAUUUCACAAACUCUCUAACCUAUUCAAGAAGCUUUUUUCAAUGUAUGAAUGGCCUAGACUUAAUUGAAGUUUAAUUUUCAUUAUAACAGUUAAUCAUUAUUUAUACUUGUCCAUGAUACUAACUUAUCAAAAGAAACUUGUCCAUAAACCAACUGGUACAGAUGUCAGCAGUUGAAACCGAAUCAUCCCCUUUAUAAAAGAGGGCAACCUAAAAUUAAGGCUCAAGAGAGACCCAAAUGAAAUAAUCUACCUAGUAUCCUGGUAAACUAAACCUAAAGACAUAAAAUGCAGUAACAUAUGUACAUGAAGGACAUAUUGAAACACUGCUUUUUUUUUCUUUUUUGAUAAGUUAUUAAAACACCGCUUUUCAAAGGGUAAGCAAACUUGAUACAGGAAGAGAAGUAACCCUUUGAGCAGCAGGAACCCAUCUGGGUGGAGGCGAAUCCAACAAUCAACUCAGAAUUACAAAAUCCUAUACAAUAAGAUUACACACAAACUCUAAAUUUCAUUCAUUUAGUUAGAAAAUUAGAAAAUACCUUGGGAGACGACGAACUUGCUUUCGAAUUCGUCCGGCGAACUUGCUUUCGAAUUCGUCCGACGAGAUGCUUGGAUUUGCGAUUGAGAAUGAGCCAGAUUUCGUCUGGCGAGAUGCUUGGAUUCGCGAUUGAGAAUGAGCAAGAUGGUCUCUGUCCUUUUUUUGACCCGAAAAGGAUCCGCGGCUAUUUUUUCCCAAAAGGUCUGUGUCUUUUCCUCGCCGUUGGAUGUAUCUCACGAUUAGUAUGAAAAGUUCGUAUUUUUGGCAACAUCCGGGCGCCCGGACCAGAUCGUUUCUGUAUAUGUAUGUAUGUAUAUAUAUAUAUAUAUAUAUAUAUAUAUAUAUAUAUAUAUAUGCGUUGUGAGAUCUGUGGUAUUGUGUUGCAUGGGGUAAUAUAAACUAUGCAAUAAGUGAUUUCUGUGUUUAAUAAAUAUAUUAUUAUAUAUUUGUUAUUUAUUGAAGAGGCAAGUUAUUUGAAGUAAAGAAGAUGGAUAAAAAUUUAUCGAUAUUAAAUAAUUUAUGUGAAAUUAUUUUAUCGUAGUAAGUUGGUGACAUUAAAUAUAUUUGAUAAUCACCAAUUUCUUUAGUAUAUGUAUGAGUAAGUAUCACGUCUAAGGCAGUGCAACCGUACCCUUUAAUGGUGGUUGUGUAGGAGCUGGGCUAACUGAUUCCUUCAGAGAGCGGAGAUAUAUACAAAUUAGUAACCGAUCUAACUUACUGUGAAAACAGUGUAGACGAGAAGGAAAGUAAUUUGUUGGUUAUUUGUGGGAAACCACUCAGUGUACUAUAUUGAAUACUAUUAAAGACUCGAUGUGUGUUAGGUUUAGACUUGUAUAUAUAUACGUUAUUGACGAGAGAAGAAAAUCGAUAUAUCUUUAGAUAAAUAUUGGUUAGAGAUUUAUUGAUUAAUAUUGAGAUAUGAUUAAAUGUAUAGAUUAAAGAAAUUGUGUUGAGACAAUUUAUAGAAAGGAAAGAGAAAUAAUUAUAGUAUAUUUCUAAUAAAGGAUAUUAAAAUAAAUUCUAGCAUUUGAUUAUUUUAAUAAUAAUGGGGAAUAUUAUUUUGAAAUUACCUUAUAGGUAAUGUGUGUGAUUAAGUAAUAUGGUAAAUAUAUUAAAACAUAUUUGCUAUAUAAGUUGAUGGAAACAAUUUAUCAUAAUAGGAAAUAAACUUAUUUUCUAUAUAUAGUGUGUACGUGUGUCGUGCAUGUAAAUAUUUUAAUAAUACAUAGAUAUUAUAUUAACAAUAAUAUCUUGAGAAAAUGAGUAAAUCGUUUUAUUAUGAUUAGUUCCUAUAUUUAGAGAAAACAUGAUAAAAUCAUCGUAUGUUAUGUUAUGGCGAAAUACAUAAUUUUGAUUGUAGUAAUGUAUUUCCAAGAAGGUUAAAGUUAAAAGAAAACUAAGUUAUUCUAAUAACUUGAGUUAUUAUAUUACCGCGAAUGUUAUAAAGAAUAUUUAAAUAUCUUCAUUCACGAUAUAUUUAUAUAUGUGAAUCUUGUGAUAUAAUAGUUCGAUGUAAAUUGAACAUAUUAUAAAUAGUAAGGUUCGUGGUAAAUGAAUAAGUAAUGAGAAUGAGGAUAAGCUUAAUGUAAGCUUGUGAGAUAUGCCUAGUGUGGUAAAGUGAUGGAAUAAACAUUCAUUAAAUAAUUUAAUGAAUGAAUAAUUGAAGGAAUUAAAUUGUAUGUGCAAUGAUUAUAUAUUAUAUAGUAACUACAUCUAUAUGAUAUGAAAUGAAGUGUGACACUUCAAUGGUAACUAUAUAAUAUAUGAAGUAUUUGAAUACAUAUGUAUAAAGACUAGUAUGCUAGCAUUAUGUACAAGUGAGAUAAUAAAUGUAAUAUGGUACAAUAGACCACUUCCAUGACCAUAUUAUAAGAUGUAAUGUUAAGAAUAAUAUUAUUUUGUGAGAUUAUUUUAUUAUAAGCUUGUGGACUAUUAAUUACUAAGUUCACAUAAUUAUGUCUUGUGUGGCAUAACUAGUGAAGUUAAAUCAAAGGGAGAAUUAAUGGAAAGUAUUAAAAGAAAAUAAAUGGUGAGUUAAUAAAUAAUUGAUAUUAAUUAUCAUUAUGAUAAUUGAGGGUAUUUGAGGUAAUAAAGUUUAUGGAAAAUGAUGGAUUGAGAAUAUCCAACUAUUUUAUAUUUAGCCCAAUAAAAAUAUUAAUUGAAAUAAACCAAUGUACAUAGAUUAUAUAAAUUCUAUGUGUAAUGUAUAAGUGAGUGUAUAUGUAUGAUCAUUUUUGGACAAAUAUCAAAUAAACCUAAGUAUGCUAAUAGUAAUACAAAAUGUUGAGUUUUAAGGGUAGUGUCCCAAAUUGUGUGUCAUUUCUCCAUACACGUGAAAUGCAAAAAGGAUAGCUAGCUAGCUUGCUUCUUCUUCUCCAAAAUCCAUAGCUUCCAAAUGAUGAAAAGGGGAGUGAGUUGAUUUGAUUUUCCACCAACUUCUCAUGAACCAUUAGUUUCUUCUUCAUUCCAUUGAGCAAAGUUCCAAUGUUGGUCAAAAAGUUUUCCUAUAAAUGAAGCAAGUUUCAUUCUUGUACUUCUUGUUGAUCACUCUGUGAAGUUCAAAAAUUUGUGUGUGUGAGUGUUGUUGAGUUGGAGAGGAAACUUGAGAUUGAAAGCAAAGAGUUUACUUCACAACUUUAGAAGGUAAUAUCCCUCUAUAUGUUAUUGAAUUCAAGUUUUGCAAAGUUCUUAAAAAAGUACUAAAAUACUUGUUUUGAGUUGAAAAGUUUAUGGUUGAAGCAUGAUAAAGUGUGUCAAUUGAUGCUAGACACUGAUAAUAUAGUCAUAUGCGAAAACAGCGAGAGUUAAACGGACCAAUUUGGUUUAGAAACGAAUUCGUAGUGAAUGAAUUCACUAAACUUUUCAAAACAUGAAAAUUAGUAUGAACAUGAGUUUUGGAUUAAGAAUUAGGUUAGUUAGGGUUUCUGUAAAUUGUUAUAAUUCUAGUAUGUUGUAGUUCUAUGAAUUACGAAUCCAUAGAAUCAAAAACGGACUAAUUUGGACAUGUAUAACUCAAAUUAUGAAGGUUAGAAAGAGGUUUGGCAUGAUAUCUCGUAGCAGGGGAAAUGAAAAUUUUCAAUUUCAACAGCUAUGCCCGCCCCGGCGGGGGUCUUGCUGUGAAAAAGGCCCGCCCCGGCGGAAGAGGUGGGGGGGGNNNNNNNNNNNNNNNNNNNNNNNNNNNNNNNNNNNNNNNNNNNNNNNNNNNNNNNNNNNNNNNNNNNNNNNNNNNNNNNNNNNNNNNNNNNNNNNNNNNNNNNNNNNNNNNNNNNNNNNNNNNNNNNNNNNNNNNNNNNNNNNNNNNNNNNNNNNNNNNNNNNNNNNNNNNNNNNNNNNNNNNNNNNNNNNNNNNNNNNNNNNNNNNNNNNNNNNNNNNNNNNNNNNNNNNNNNNNNNNNNNNNNNNNNNNNNNNNNNNNNNNNNNNNNNNNNNNNNNNNNNNNNNNNNNNNNNNNNNNNNNNNNNNNNNNNNNNNNNNNNNNNNNNNNNNNNNNNNNNNNNNNNNNNNNNNNNNNNNNNNNNNNNNNNNNNNNNNNNNNNNNNNNNNNNNNNNNNNNNNNNNNNNNNNNNNNNNNNNNNNNNNNNNNNNNNNNNNNNNNNNNNGUGUCCUGCAAUGACUUAUUUUAUCUGUUUUGGUAAAACGGAUAUAACGUUUUCAUACAAACUCCGAUUGAGGAGAUUCAAGAUGAUCCGGAACGAGAAUGAAUAGACCCUCAACUUUUGUUCUUUACAUUUUUCAUUUUGAGGUUGUUAGAAUGGGUCAAAACAGUCAUCUUUGUGACUGUUACGUAUAUGUUAUUCUAAGUUAUUAAACAUAAAUAUGUAUGAUAAUAGACAUGUCAUAUAGCUAAGAUUUCUUUACUCAUAAUGAAAUGCGUUAACAUGAUUUUCUAAAAAACACUUAAAAGUUUUUGAGAAACGAAAGUUGAUGAAAUUGGUGUCCAUUGAGUUCUGAGCUUGGACCCUAUGUACGCAUAUCAAUGGACAUGAAAUUUAGUUUUAAAGUUACCUUGCAUAUACUAGAUUGAUAUAGCUUGGUUUAAAGUGUUUUGAAAGAAAAACUUGAAGUUUUGAAAAUGAAACUUGACGAACUUUGUGUCUUUUAAGCUUCGACUUUGGGAACAUGUGAUUGUGGCCUAGUUAUGCGUGUGGAUGGACAAGGAAUGUAAUUUCAAGAUAUAUUGCACAUAAAAGGUUGUCAAGCUCGGUUUAGUAUGUGUUUUAAAUUUUUUUUAAAAGUUUUAGAAACUAACUUUGAUGAGCAUUGUAUUACUUGCAUUAUGACCUUAUAAGCAAGCAUGAUAGAGUUGUCUAUGACUUUGAACAUGAAUGAUAUGUGCACUCAACUAGUCAAGCAUGACCUAAGUUAUUUAAGCAUGUUUUAAAAGUAUGAACUAUGCUAUGUCUAUGUAAAUGAGAUAGAUACAUGUGAUCAUGCUAUUAGAGGCUUAUUAGUACCAAUAUAUAGUUUAAAAGCUUAUAACAUUGAAUCUUGUUAAAGAAAGUUGUUAAGCCUUAUUGAUUAAAAUAAAUCAUUAUGGAGCUAAGUAGUUUGAAUAUGAACUUGAAAAUAGAUCACAACCUAUUUAAUGUCAAGUACGGAUGGUUAAGAUAUACUUAUACAUGCCUAGCUAUUCAAAGAUUAGGAAGAGAAAGUGAAAUGAAGGUUUUACAAACCUAGUUAGGAAACGAUAUAAUAUUUAUUAUUAUAUUAAGAGCAUAUGAAAUGUAUGACUGAUGGAUAUGAAUCCAUGAUUAUAUAACUAUGUAGGAAUACACGCAGUGCAGAUAAGCUUUAAGCAGUUAAGUCAUAGUUGAUAAACUAUGAAUCAGGGUCUUUCAGUUCUUAUUUGAUAUAUGAAUUUGAUAAUUGUUAGUUGAGCUAUAUUAUGCUAUGAGAAUGUUGAUGUAUAUAUAUGAAAUGCAUAUGAGAUAUGUAUGAAAUUGAAAGUUGAUCUUUGAUGAUAUGCUUGUGAAGUAAAUGUCUAUGCCUGUUAUGUGAGAAGUAACAUGUGUAGUAAAUAUUAAUUGAUUAUGAAUGCAUGAACUGAGUAUGUUAUUAUAUGCUAUGUGCUGCAUGAAAACUGUUAGAAUUGCUGGGUUGUCGAGCUCACCCUUGCAAAUAACCACUUUUACAGGUUAAGGACUCACGAUAAAGAUUACGUGCUACUUGAUACAUAAAGUUCAAUAGCAUCAAAGGAGAUUUAUUUAUUUAUUUAAAUAUAUGACCUUGAACCAUGUUUAGGUUCUAGGAGAUGUACAUAAUAGUAGUUUACGAUAAGUAAUACAUGUUAAGUUGUACUAUGUGAUACAUAGAGGAAUUCGAAUCGAGAUGUAAAGAUUUUUACAGUAAUUCGAAUAGAAUGAAUCAUAACAUAAUUUGAUUCAAGGAGAUCUAAUUGAUUCAAGUUAAGACAUCAAUAAAAGAUUUUUUUUAAGAGAUUGAAAAAGUUUAAAUUAUUCUGCAUAUUUUUAUAACAUCGAAUAUGAUAUAAGACAAGAAUGGUAAAUGACCAAGAUUAGAAACUUAUAAAAGUUUGGGGUCAUUACACAGAUCCUGGCAAUAGAAAGAAUUUAUUUUCUAAAUUGUAAUAAGCUAAGUUAUAUUCAUUAAGUUAUGAAUAAAAGAUAUAAAUAGUUUGACGAUAGUAGUAUCAUGGCGGACUGGAUCCGAGGUUCGAAGGGACCCGGAUUUGGGGGCGUCACAAUCACUAUUCAAAUACAUACAUAUAUCACCUGCUUAAUAUUGUAUACAUUCUUCAUUUAUUCCACACGUGUCUCAUAAAAAAUAAUAGAAACAUCCAUUCAUUCUUCUAUAGGCCUUAACCUCACAUAUUCAACAUUUGCCUAUAAUAUAAAUUAGGAUUACUUGAGAUUUCACGUAUAUGAAAUUACAUAUUUUCACAUCUCGACUCUUUACACAAUUUAAUACUUCAUAAUAUCAUAACGUAUCUUAUAUUAUUACAAAAAAUUAAUACAACAUCCUAAUCUAUUACAUCAACAUUAUUCAUUCUUUCUAACAACCGUUUCUUUCUCUUUUAUCUAUAUCUUUUGGACCCUUUUGAUCCUUCUGCCUUUUCUAAAAAUUUGAAAUAAAAUGCAAGAGCGAACAACAGAUUUGCUUAACAAGUUUAAAAAUAGUUUAGAAUAAUAAGCACAAGUAUAAAUCCCAGUCACUGAAUUAACAUUACAGAUAAUAAUCUUAAAAAUUCUGAAACACUCAGCAUCAACAACGUAGCAUAACAAAAUGUCACUACAGGAAAAAGACUUAUCUAUAACCACCUAUUAGUGACUGUACUUGGUCGCAGAUGCAUAUCAGCGAUUGAAUGCGGUCGCUGAUAAUAGUCACAUAUAAUCUGGCCGUUGUGUGGAUCCCAACGACCACUAUUAGUGACCGAUAUAUCAGCGACCGCCCUAUAGCGACCGAUGUCGUCGCUAACCUGAGUCACUGUGAGUCAGGUCUCAGGGGUGACGUGGCCCAAUUUUUGCGACCAACAUUAUCGAUCGACGUGGUCACUAAAAACCUCAAGUCAUUUUUUAGCGGUCGCUGAUACGUAUUAGUGACCGCCUGCGGUUGUUGAUACUUAAAUUUUUUUUUUUAAAAAAAGAUUGUUUUGGGGAUUUAAUUCCCUACACAUAUUAGUGUCUAUUUGUACCUGCUUUAUAUCUUAAAACACAGCUGUAUCAAUAAAUAAACCAACAUCCAUACAAAUACAUCGAUCCAUAUAUAUACACAUCCACACAUGUAUAAACAUAUAUAAACAAAUACCAUCCGACUAAAUUUUUUAUACAAAUAAAAUGUCAUAACAUACAAUAUAAACUCCGUACAUUCAUUCGGUAAAAAAAGAAUAAUACAAAUGUUCACAUAAAAGAGAAGAGAACAAUACAAAUGUCUGCAUGCAUCAAAUAUCGUCCAAAUGAAGUUGUAACAAAAUAUGUUAAAUAUAAAGUAUACAUGUUGAUACUGGCGUGACUUAUGCAAAGCAAAAAAUGACCAUUUAUGAUGUAUUACAAUAACAAAAAGCUAAACAUAAAUAAAAAACUAAACAUGUAUUAUUGAAUGUAAAACUAAACUAAGCAUCAAAGCUAAACAUAAAGGUAAACAAUGACAAGAUUACCUCGACAUCAUUAGCAUGUUGUUAUGAUGUUUUCACCACUACAUAAGCUAACUCUUUAGGACUCAGAGAUUGUAAAUAUCCGCCAAUUAUAAAGUCGGUCGUCGUUAAUAAAGCUUGUCCCCAAUACUCCUUGAGAAGUGUAAUCUAGUUAUGGCUCACCUCUCCAUGAAAUCAAGAAACAUCCUCGGUUUGAAAGCCCUAUGCAUUUCAGUUGUUACUCCUGUUUUUGCAAAAUCAACUGCCAUAGAGUGAAGGGUUGCCAACUGAAGAUAUUUUUUACUCAUAACUUUAUUUGACUCAAGGUCUGUAUGUACCAAAUGUGCAAUAGAGAUUGUACCUAAGGUAUCAUUAAUCAGAUAAUUAAUUAACAGAGAACUUUUGAAUUUCCUGCAAAAUUAGACUUAUUGGAAAAUCUCAGACUAUUAUGAACAUAAAUAAAAUAAAAUUUAGCUUUAAACUACCUCUAAUGUCAUAUCAUGAUCCAUCAAGCGUGGUCUUCGUCUAGUAUAGUUCAUGGGGGGGGGGGUACAGUUCAACGUGGGAUGAGAUUAUCAUCCCAACUUAUGAAAUUGAGCUCAACCAUAUAGACCUAGCUCUUCCAUUCCCAAAUCAACUGCUACAGUUCAUUGUAAUUGAACUAAUUAAGGAAGUAACAGUUCAAUAGAUAGAGAGGAAAAGCGGGCCAGGACUGGAAACUGGAAGGGAGUUAAUGAGAAUACAAAGUGUCACCAUUCUUAGAUGUUUCUUUUGCAUUUUUUGUGUAUAGACAAAUAUAUAAAAAUAAAUGUGGCUAUUUUUCAAUACACUCAUUAUUUCUUGAUGUAAAUCAUAUAUUCUCGAUGCAGAAGAUCAACUAGACACUUUCUAUGACGCCCCUAAAAUUAGUCCACACAACCCAUUUUGGGUCGCCAAAUACACACUACAGAAUCUAAAUACAAAUCUUUCAAUUUAUAACUAUUAAAAUGUUGUGUAAAAUACAACAACACAUAAACUGGGAGUUUCAAUAAAAAUAACAGUACUCACACUCCAAACUAAUGAUACUUUACAUAAGGGUAAAAUGCAAAGCAAAUCUGACGUCAGCAUUUUUUAUUUUAUUUUACAUAGUGGACAGGCUGACAUGGCAAAUAUUGAAUUUACCUAGCAAAAAUUAUGUUUGCUGCCAAGAUUUGAACUUGAGACCUCUAGCUUAAAACUUGAACCCAAUAACCAACUAAGCAAACAAGACUAGUUGUUAUAAUUUUGCAAGGAUUAAUAUUUAUAACUGAACAAAUUAUUUUCCCCAAUAAUAACAACAACAACAACAACAACAACAACAACAACAAUAAUAAUAAUAAUAAUAACAAUAAUAAUAAUAAUAAUAAUAAUAACAAUAAUAAUAAUAAUAAUAAUAAUAACAAUAAUAAUAAUAAUAAUAAUAACAAUAAUAAUAAUAAUAAUAACAACAAUGAUAAUAAUGAUGAUGAUAAUAAUAAUAAUAAUGAUAAUGAUAAUAACAAUAAUAAUAAUAAUAAUAAUAACAACAACAACAACAACAACAACAACAACAACAACAACAAUAAUAAUAAUAAUAAUAAUAAUAAUAAUAAUAAUAAUAAAAGACGUUAUUAAAGACAUCAAAGACUCCUACAAAGACAUCGGAUUAUUAUUCAAAUUAUAAUCCAUCAAAGACAUCAGGAAUAGUGGGGAUGUUUAUUCAAAUUUUAUUUUUAUUUUAUUAUUAUUAUUAUUAUUAUUAUUAUUUUGAAAAACUCCUACAAGAUCUGUUAGUUAUAAUCAGUCCAGAACAGAUCCAAAAUUCAGCCAAAAAUCCCACAACAUUUAUAUGAUUCAAAAUCCCACAACAUUUAUAUAAUCCAAGGACAGAGUAACAGUUUUAUAGAUCUAGAUCUAUAUCAACUAAACCCAUAACAGACUAAAUUAACACUCAAAAUAAGAUCUAGGCCUCCGUCGACUACUCCGUUACCAAAAGAAUCGCCGGCGAAACGACGUCCCACAAGAUCCGCCUCUUUCAUCUUUCAUCUUCCUCUCCAAUCCCAAUUAAAUUGAAAAUACAAAACAUUAAUUAAAUUAAAAGGAAAAAAAUAGCCUUCAUCAGAAUCCACCUCUUUCAUCUUCCUGGAUGGUGUUUUCAGUUCAGUCUUGUCCAUCACCUGUGGAAAGAAAAAAUAAUAAAGAGAAGAGAAAGGCACUAGUGGUCCGGUUAAGAACACGUGAUUAAUGACUGCUACAACAUCUCUGACGAACUUCACAAGAUUUUCUCCUAUAUGUUCACCUGUAAAUGAGAAACUCUACUUAUGUUUCGAUUGUCAUAAUAUUUUGAAAUUGUACAAGUAAUUGAUGAAUUCUCGGUCGAAUUCGACUUGGGGUUUUGUUCAACCAUUUUCAAACUUACUAAAUCUCCCCUUUUAUUUUAUUAUAAUUGUUUGUAAGCUUUUAUAAUUGUUUGUAAACUUUUAUAAUUUGUUUUAUAAUUUCUGGAAAUGUCUAAUAUUUUGAAUAUGGGAUAUUUUUAAGUUUUAAUUUUAAGCUUAUUUUUAAAUAUAUUCUUUUUAAAUUUGUAAAUUAGUUUUAAUUUAAAAUUUUUAAUUUUAAUCUAUAAAUUUGCUAAUGUUAAUUGUUUAAUUUUUUAAUUAAUGUUGAUUGUUUAAUUUGUUAUCCUUUUAAUAUUAUGUCGAGGGAAAUGAACUGAUUUAGUAUAAAUCUUAAUUCUUUUGUUAAAAUAAUUGAAAGUUUUAUGUAGCUCAGGUGGUUUAAUGGUCAAAGUUUCAAAAUUGAGAUUUUGGGUUCGAUUCUUGGGGAACUAAGUUUUUUAACAAUUAAUUGAAAAAUGCAUAGAUAAGUAGCUCCACAUGACAAAAAUAUCCACGUCAUCGGUGCCACGUGUGCCACGUAGGCAGGUCAACGCACCUGGGGGCUCAAUAUCCAAAUUUUCAAACAGAAAAAGGGCUCAAUUUGCGUUGACAAAAAAAAAAGGGCUCAAUACCCAAAAACACCUAAAGUUCAGUGAUCACAUUUGCAUUUACAUAAAGGUACAAUCAAUAUAACGAUCGAGAAAUUUGAAAUUUAAUUUUAAUAUUUAUGGAAUUAAAUAAAUAUUUAAAAUUAUUGAGGAAAAUAAAUAUUUGAUGAAUUGUCAUAAAUUAAUUUAGUAGCUAAAUUAAUUAAUGUUAAUUGAAUCGAGUAAUGAUAAUUUUAUUUGUUGGAUUUAAUUUAAGGAGAUAAUUAAAUUAAAUCAAUUGCUUAAUAUUUAAGAAAUUAGUUAAAUUAAAUGAAUUGUUUAAUUUAAAGGAAAUAAAUAAAUUAAAUAUAGUGAUGUGUCUAAUUUAUUAAUUAAAUUAGAUAUAUAAUUAUUUAUUAAUGAUAAUAAGAUUUUUAUUAUUAGUAUUAUAAGUUAUUUAAAUUAACUAAACUAAGUUAUUUAAAUUAAUUAACUAAAAGUGUGAUAUAAAACUAUGUAAUAUAAAUGUUAUUAAAAUAAUUUAGUUUGGGGAAAGUUGGUUAGCCAAACCAGGCCUUAUGGCCUUUGGCAUUAUUCCAACUGACGAGUCUUUUUAUUUUUCUAACGUAAGGGAACGUGGGAGCAGCUAGCUUAUAUUUUUCCUACGCAUAUUAUUUUCUAAGGCUAGCAUUCAGUUUCUUUUAUUAUUCACGUAUUUGACUAAGGAGGAAGAGCAGAGUUGAGAGAAAAGAGAGAGCGUAAGAAUUGAGAGAGAAGAAGAAUUACAAGGAACUUGAGAGAUUGAGAGGAAACCUAAGCAAUUUCAGUGUUAACAAGGGUUAAACAUAUUGAAGGUAUUCUAUCUAACCCUUGUAUUAUAUAUAUAUAUAUAUAUAUAUAUAUAUAUAUAUAUAUAUGAACUUACGGCAAAUUUGUUAUGUUUUGUUAAUUGUAAUUCUUUCAAAAUUGUUGUGUAACUAAAGUAUGGUGGAUGUGUGGUAUAAUGCUAGAGUUUAUGUUUAAAACGAGAAGUUUGUAUGCUAAAUUCGUUGACAGUAGGAAGAAAAUUUUGACAGUAUAUGUGUUUCAUAUGGUUCAUGGAAAAGUAUUAAUUUUGAUGGCCAAUUCUUAUGUUAAACUAUAAAUUUAAGCUUGUAUAUGUUAGUUCGUUGAGAUACGAGCAUAACGUAAUUUGAAGGAGGUGAUUUGGUCAAAUAAUGAAUUCACAGUGAUGAUUUUUGGGAUAGACUAUCAAAAAUGGAGUUUUAUAUAAAAAACAUGAAAAUUGAGAAAUUAAAAUAGUUUUAGUUGUUGUUAAUUUGUGCUAAGUGGUUGAAUAUGUUAGCAAUCAUGUUUAUGAUAGUUGUAUAUUUAUUUUUCAUGUUGUUAUCACCGUUUGAUGGAUGAAAUUGGUGUUUGUUGGGCUAAAGUCGGCUACUGUUCAUUAGCCUUCUCUGCGUCUGUCUGAACACCGACGCAACUGCGCCGGUGCCAAGGCAAAAAACGACGCAGCUGCGCCGGUCCCAGGCUUAAGUAUGGCGCAGCUGUGCCAUACCCUGGUCUGAGACAGUGAAGUCUGCUUAUUUGCAGAUCAUGUGUAAUGGACUUAUAUUAGUUUAGCAUGCAUGUUAAUGAUGUUGAGGCAUAAUAUAAACUACAAUAACAGAUUGUCAUGCGUUGUUAUAUAAAGUGUAAAAGAAUUUAAGUGAUUACUUGAAUAAGUUUUGUAAUGAACCAAAUGUGACGUUUUCAAAAGUUAAAUAUAAAUGAUAAGGUUUAUAGUGUGAUUGCAGAAUUGUUAAGGUGUUAACCAACGUGGUUAGGUGCUAGGUUAGGGUUAUGACCUAAAUGUUGGUUUAAACCCUAAAAGCUAAUAUUCAUACAAUUAAUUGUUGUUGUGAUUUCAAUGAUAUGUGUAGGGUAAUUGGAGAUUAUCUUACAUUUGUGUAGCUUACAAAAAAGGCAAGUUUUCUAACUCUACCUUGUUAUUAUUGAGCAAGUUCUUAAAUCUUAACUCUUUACAUUGAGCAAAACUUUCUAACUUCAUUAUUUUCAUAUUAAAUGCAAGUUUCCAUUCCUAAAUUAUUAUUGUGCAAGUUCCUAACAUUCUUUAUGAAGUUGAGCAAGCUUAACCUAUCUUGCGUAUGUUUGUACAAGCUUAUAUAACCUAAUUCGUUACGUUGAGCGAGAUUUAGUUUCCUAAUUAUUAUUUAAAGCAUAUAUUGUUCUAAAACAUUGAUUCAAGGGAGAUUGUUUUAACUCUUCUAUAGCGCUUUGCAUGUAUAUCAUGUUUACUCAAUUAUAUAUUAUUGUUAUUCAAUAUUUGACUUUGAUAACCUUGUUCAAAGCUUUAUCGUUGUAUUAAACCUUCAAUUAGUAAGAAAACAUUUAUUAAUUGAAUUAAUCUAUAUUCGAAUAGUGUUCUAAAAUUCUAGAAACACUGAUAAGCUAGUUCCAAACUAAACUUUCUUUAGUGCGGAAAUUCUAAAUCCAAACUGAGACGAACAACCCUAACAUAGGGGAUUUUGUACGUGUAACAUUUAGAUGUUUGUACACAAUACAUGGUACAAAGGGCUGAUCCCCCUAAGUACGUUAAGAAGGGUCCGUAUAGUCUAAAUGACUGUUAAGGUUGGGUAAUAAUACCUAAGUACCGGGGACAUAGUCCAUGGUCUUAAGACCCUCAGAUAAUUAAAGUUCGAACUUUUUUUCUAGUUUGAUUUGUAGAACAAAUUCCUUAUUGUUCAGCUUUUGUUGUUCACUCUCAUGUUACUACCAUUGCUACUUUCUAUAUUAGUGAGCAUUUGUUUGCUCACUCUUGCAAUUAACACUGUAGCUAAAGUGGAGAAAGUUGAUGAGUCAUCGACUAGCAAAGGCAAGGGCAAGAUGUCCAAAUGAUGAAGACUUAUGAGAAUUUUAUUUUAAUGAAUUAUGUUAAAGACUUGUUUUAAUAUGUGAUGUAUUCCGCAAACUUAUGUAAUAAUUUUAAGGUUAGAUUAUCUGGGAUUUAUUUUGAGAUGAUGAUGUAACCCUUUAAUGGGGAAAAUUAUUGUUUAAGUUAUUUAAAAUUAUGUCUUUAUCCUUUAUUAUGGGUAGUUAGAUGUAAUAGUUUGUGAUAAGUGAGCACCAAAUCCUGUGGGAAUGGAGUACCUGGAUUUGGGGGUGUCACAAUCAAUAACUAUUUUAGGAAUUAAAAUUUUUAAAAAAUGCUCAAGGAAGCCUUCAUACAUGGGAGGCCAUGCAUUUAUGUUAUGAUAGAUAUCAUUUGACUUGAGAAUUAACCUUGGUUGACUCAAUAGACCCCAAAGAAGAACGAGAAUAUUACUAUCCUGUUCAUUCCAAUGGUGUGUAUCUUUUUGCCAUAUAAUUAUCUCCAUUGACUCAAACUGAGGAUUAUAUUCUAACCAUACUCCAAGAUUAUAUAGAUAAUGUUCAUAGAUAUAGUCAGCAAGUGGAUGCACACAACUAUAUCUUAUGAUAACACGGAUUUGUAUGUGGUUAAACAUCAUAUAUGAUAGUAUAUGAUAUAUGAUAUGUCCUCCCAGUAUAAUUAUGUCCUCCUCAUUAUAAUGGUGUGCAUUUUUGAUGCUUCAAAAGUCGGAUUCUCAUCACCUUAUUGUUGUUCACCAAAAUUAACUAUUAAAUGACGUAUAAAAUACGACACACACAUUUUAAGUCCUCAAUACAAUUAUAUAUUAUCAUGCUAUUUUAUAAUGUAUUGAGAAACUUCAACAGACACAGACUAUAACUCUAUUCCCCUGUUAUCCCUGCUCAAUCCAGCUACACUUUUAUUACCUGAAAGAAAUUGUGAAGCAAAAGGGUGAGCACAAAUAGACCAGUAAAGAAUAUUAUGACUAAAGAUAAUUAAAUUAUCAAUAGUCGUCAUCAGUAAUAAUAUAUAAAAUAUUUAGAACAUAUGGUAGAUGAUAAAAGUUUUCAAGCAUAAUUACAGCGGAAUCAACAAUCUAUUAGAAGAGUCAAGUAGAACAUAAUGUCUACUAUCUCCUCCAAAUUAAAAGUCCAUCAUUAAUAUUUCAUUCCUGUAAUACCCAUCAAUGGUUCUUUGUUGUACCCAAAACAAAGAGAACUUUUAUCACCUUUCUUCACCUGAACCACCAAAGAUUAUAGUUAAAAUCAUAAUUCAUGUUUAUAAUAAUGUAAAUCAAUAGUUUCUCCUUGCCACAAAGGGUUAAUAGAACUUUCACUCAAUGUUCUUGUCAUAAAGGCUAAAGACACUCAAUAAUCAUAUCGUCUUUACACCUUGCACUAAAGACAUUCAAUUGUAACAAUAAUUGUCAUGAUCAUACCAAUCAAUUAUCUAUCUUUGCACUACGUGCCAAAGAUAUUCAACUGUAAUAUCAGUGGUCAUGAUCAUACCAAUCAAUUGUCUAUCUUUGCACUACGGGCCAAAGAUGUUCAGCUGUAAAACUAAUAAUCAACAGUCCAUCUUUUCACUAUGAACCAAAGAUAUAUAACUGUAAAAUCAAUAAUCAACAGUCCAUCAUUGCACUACGGGCCAAAGAUAUACAACUGUAAAAUCAAUAAUCAAUAGUUUAUCUUUGCACUACGGGCCAAAGACAUAACCUUGUAAAUCCAAUAAUCAGCUGUUCAUCUUUGCACUACAGGCUAAAGACAUACAACUGCAACACCAAUGAUCAUGAUUAUACCAAUACACAAUUCCGUUCAUGGUUAUACCAAUACACAAUUCAUGUUCAUAAUCAUACCAAUCAAUAGUUCAUCUUUGUACUAUGGGCCAACGAUAACUUUCCAACAUAAAUUUAAGUCUGAGGAUGAUAACAAUGAUAUAAAGAAUGAAUCAAGUGAGAUCAAGAAUAAAUAUUAAAAAUUUAUAAUUCAAUUUAUCCAAAGUUCAGGAAUGUCCAAAUUGUUAACAUGAUAACUAAUUGUAGAGUAAAAUUCAAGAAUGAUAUUCAUGUAUCAAAAAUAAUUUGGACAGAAAAAAAUAAAUUUUGUCGUGAAUAGUACCCCGAAUAUUCAAUACACUCAUUAUUUUUUGAUGUACAUCAUAUAUUCUUGAUGUAGAAGAUCAACCACACUUUCACUCAAUAGAAAUAUUAAUCACCUGAGUCUCUCUGAAAUUUUCAACUACUCCAUGAGAGUACAUUGCAAGCAAAGGUUUUUAGCGAUUAAUUCCUAGUGAAUUAAGAGUUCAUUGCUUAAAAGGGUUGUUUCCUUGAGAGAUGAACACUGAAAACCUUUGCAAGCAAUGAACGCUCGGGGUUGGGAGUGUGGUCAACUUACAGAGUUAGAUCUAUGAGUCCCUAACAUCUCUAAUUGAAAUUUCUAAAUUAUCCGGUCCUUGUAUAUUUUUCGGUGGACAGUUUCUACCAAAACAAGACAAAGCUGAAAAAACCGAAAAACCCUACUGCCCUAAAAUUUUUGUGGGUUGUUUGGGCCACUUAAACAUUGAAAUAAAUUUAGGCCUUUUGGGAAAUGAAAAUAUAUGAUAUAAUGAAACUCUGGUCAGAAGAUGAACAAAUUCCUACAUCAGACGAAGGAGUUAUGACCAAUUCAAUAUUAGGAUUUUUCAGAUAAAAACUGUCAUAACUUGAGUUCUACAACUCUGAUGACCACAAAAUUAAAAAUGGAAAUUCAUGUUAAUAUGUAUAAAAUUCUUCCAAGACUUGGGAAUUUUUGGAGUUGAGCAUGAUAUAGUUCAUUUUACUAAGUUACGUACUAAAAUGGCUCUUUGAAAAAUAAGAAAAUUGAAAAAUUGUAAUACAAUUAUUUUUUUGUGGAAAAUAUAUAGGUAUGUGUGUCCAGGCAGAGAAAAAAAAUAAUAUAAUGGUUAAGGAGGCCUAAUGAAGAAAAUAAAGUUACGAGAAGGUAAAAUAAUUACUUACCGACAAGUCUGGAAUUAUUAAAAUAAUUUAUAUCGGCUAGAAUAUGUUGACAUUUGACGUAUGAGUUUAUGUAAAGGUUAAUCACAUAUUUUUAUGAGAAUCUUAUAAUUAUCACGUUUAUGUUUGUUUAAGUCGAAAGAUUAAUUAUCAGAAUAGGUUACGAUAAUUACCGGCGAUAUAUAAUUAUUAUAAAGUGAUGAUUAGUUUAAUCAUAUAAAUUGUCAUGAAUAAUGUAGCUUAUCAUUUGAAGGAAGUUAUCAUUGCGUUUCCACGGGGUAGAACCUCCUCAGGGGGGGGGGGAGACCCGGGGAAAUCCCCUGAGGGGCAUCCGGAGCGCCGGAGGAAAGAAGCGCAAGGGCGUGAAGCUUUCCGUGGACAGGACAGGGUCCGUCAACUAGCUUAGCUACCGAUUGGGGGAUGCUUUCACCUUGAAGGUAUUAACGGGCUUGAGCCAGGCCACGCAAGCAAAGGAAAGAUUAAUUAUAGNNNNNNNNNNNNNNNNNNNNNNNNNNNNNNNNNNNNNNNNNNNNNNNNNNNNNNNNNNNNNNNNNNNNNNNNNNNNNNNNNNNNNNNNNNNNNNNNNNNNUCUGCUCUUUCCGGUAAGUGAGUAGGGCCAGUCCCACACGAUUAGCAUAGAUAAGACAAGUCAGGUAGGAUUGGUCGGAGAAGGAUUGGACAUUUCCAUUGAUCAGCUCAUCCAAUCCAGUCUAUGAUCAGGCAAGGGGGCCUAAAAGUAGACGUAACUAUAGGCUUAAGCUCGCUUAAAUGCAAUUUAUCCUUAGGCCGAAUACCUAGUUGAGAGGGGUCCCUAAUGUGAGACCCUUCGUCCAUUCAUUCAGGAUCAAAAGCGGGCCUAAUUGAAUCAUCUCAUCGAGGAUUGCAUGUGAAAAGAUCGGAUCUUCGAAAUCCCCAAUCGUUCGUUACUGAACCUAAAAACUCGCCGCUUCUCAUGUAAAGUAGUGUUCUCGCUAGCUGGAACGGAACUCUCAAAUGGAGGAACAAGCGUAGGCCUUCUUUGAGUAUAGCUUCAAGUAGCUCUAAGAAGUUUACGUCUCGGUUCGGCACUCGGCUUUCUGAAGUUCUUCCAUUCCAGGGCGUGAAGCUUUCCGUGGACAGGACAGGGUCCGUCAACUAGCUUAGCUACCGAUUGGGGGAUGCUUUCACCUUGAAGGUAUUAACGGGCUUGAGCCAGGCCACGCAAGAAAAGGAAAGAUUAAUUCUAGGCCAGUGAAAUGAAUUAGAUGGAAAAACACCGAUACAGAUAAGUUUUUCAGAACUUUUUUUUAUGUGUAAACUUAUUAAUUGUUAUGGGGAAGUACUUUAUGUAUUAUAUGUAAUUCUUAUGAAUUGUUUAAGAGGUGCACUAUGUGUUUUAGUGUGAUACGAAUUUAUUGAAAUUAAUUGAUGAUUGAAGUUAGUUUAGUUAUGAAAACUUACUAUAUUGUGAUAUGAGGAAUAUGAUAUGUGAUGCCCCCAAAUUCGGGUACUUGAAACCCUUAUUUAGUGCUUCAUGAUAUCAAGUAUUCAACAUAAUAUAAUAUCAAACAUAAUAAAUUUAUUACAUCAGAGUACUUCUAAUCCCAGGUACGUAGACCUAUAAGUGCUUAUUACAUGAUAGUUAAAUAUUUACAACAUAUAUAAACUAUCUACUACAUAAUAUUCCAGUUAUGACAUAACUUUUCCCUUUCCCCUGUCCUUACUAGACCCCUCUGCCUGAGCCUUAUUAGCUGAAAACAUUUAUAAAAAAAAGUAAGAAUGAGCAUUCAAUUGCUCAAUAAGUAAUAACAUUCUUUAAUAGCUCAACAAUAAAUAAAUGUUUUCUUUGAAGCAUGCUUUGACAGUGAAACAAAUAUGUAAACCAAAUAAAUCUUAAAUUAUCCAUACUCUUGGAAUCAUCAUAUCAAUUUUGAAUAGCUGAGAGGUCAUAAGACCAUGAACAUGAAUUUUUUUUCUUGAAAAGGUUCUAUCAGAAAUUUAUAUAUGAACCGUCUUAUCUUAUGGGCAUGGUGGGUGAUCAGCCCUUUAUGCCCUGUAUUGAUCAAUAUUCUUAUCCAAAAUAAUUUUUAUGUUCAACGUCACCACUCCUAGAGUGAAAUAAAAAUAUCCCACAAUAUAGUUGGAUAGCUUAAAUCAUGGCACAAUAAUAUUUUAAGAAUUAUUAUAAAGAAAUUGAAAUAUUUUACAUCUGUGUUUGGCCAGAACAAAUGGCUCAGACUUCCUUGUAAUCUGUUCAUGCAUAUUGAAUUUCAUUUGAUAUACAUGAAAAUACAUAACCCAAUCUUUUGAAGCUGAUUGGAAUAAAAAGGUUAUUUAACCUUGUAUUAUUCAUAAAGAAUGAGAGACAGUUCAAAAUUUAGAGAACAUAUCCAUAUAUGAAUAAUCCCAGAAUACUUGUGUUAGUUCCCAGUAGGCGCGAUAAAUAUCUAGAAGGGGGGGUUGAAUAGAUAAUUAAAUCUUUUUCUUUUAAUCUUUUUAAGUUGAUGGUAUUCAAUGCACAGCGGAAUGAGUAUAUGUGAAAAACCUUCUGUUAUAUAUCUUAAGUUAAUGAGAUUGAGGCAGUUAUGACAGUUAUAGCAGAUAUUGCAGUUAUAGCAGUUAGUGAACACAAUAGUUGUAAGUGGUUCAGAGCACUAAAAGCUCAUAGUCCACUCUUUUACUCCUUGAGUAGGAAAUCCACUAAGGAUGUCUGUUACACUUCUUGAAUCUCACAGAUUCUUUCUAGACCAGCAGUCUAGGUACUUCUUAGUUCACUCUUGAACUCUUCAAGUCCAGCAGACUUGGUCUCUCAUAGUUCACUUAGAACUCUUCAAGUCCUUCAGACCUGGAACUCUUACUUCAGUUGAUUGAAUGUUGUUUAGAUCGUGAUUGAUGCUAUUCAGUUUCUAGUAAGCACUUGUUUGAAAGAACUGAAUAGCUGAGCAAGCUUCCUUUUUCUCAGAUCGUAGAGUUGAGCGUUGAGUGUUCUUAUGCAUUUUUUUUGUUUAAUACUUGCUUCUUCUUUCUUAUCUGUCUUUGAUCUGUAUAUAUGUGAUCUUGAAAUCUAUCCGUUGAAGUCAUCUGAUGAGCCAUUAAAUGCAUUUGACAUUUCUGAGCUUUGAUGGAGACUUUUUUGCACAUCUUCUGAAUUACACUCUAGCCCACUGACACAGUAGACUGCUUUUUCCCCUAACACCUUAAAAGGUGUUUUCCUCUGCCCAAUGGUCCUUUUCUUAGCUUAUUGAGUACGUUUCUUUUGAUCAAUACUAAGGAUAUCUUUUGUACGUUGGGACUGGUGAGAGCUUCAACGUUCAAAACCCAUUCCAUAUUUGUUGGAGUCCAUCUUCAGAUGAACGAUAGGGCUUGAUGUUUCUGACACAAAACAGAUGACACUCUACUAUCAAUAUCAUAGUGUCUUCUCAUAUUGGUGCCUGUUCGUAAGAGAUCACUACGAUUUCUCACAAGGAUUUUCACACUAUGUUCUUCACUUACUCGUCUUGCAAACUCUACAUUUUCGAGAGCACACUACGAUAUUUUAACACUACGAUCUUCACUUGCUCGUCUUGCAGAUUCUGCAUUUUCGAGAGCACACUACGAUCUCUAGUUUCGGCAAAAGUCUGGACCACACUUCGAUUCGUGGAGAGGCCCUUCAAGGCAGAUACACUACGAUCAUCUCAGCACUACGAUCCUGCCUUAGCUUCUGCAUUCUAUUGAUCAACCGGAUAGACUGCGAGUCUAUCUAUUUCUUUCUAGCCAUAGAUCAACCUAACAGAUUUGAUCUCUUUAUCUAUACAAGUGAACAUUAAAGACUAAGAUCAACCUAACACUUUUGAUCUAUCACUAAGUCCUUGUACAUAUAUUCUUUGAAGGACUUUACAUAAUCAUGAGUAGUUUCAUAAAACAUCAAAUCACAAUAUGCAUUCUUCCAACAAUCUCCCCCUAUUUGAUGUUGACAUAACCAAGGAGAUUUGUUGUCAUGAUUAUAAAGUUUUAUAUGCAGUUGCAGAAAAAUAAACAUGACUUAGCAUUUCAGUGAGCAGCUGAAAUUUUUAAAGAAUAAGCAUGAAUUUAUUGAUGUAUGGAGACAAAUUUUACAUUUAAGAAUGACUACAUCAAUACAAUUUGAAAUUCAACUUAUCUCUAUUUCUUUGGCCUUUUGCUUCUUGGAGGAUUUGCAUAUUCCUCAGCUCUCCUCUUUCUGCUUGCUUCAUCUCUUCUGGCCAUAUCUUCCAGCUCACUUGGGCUUAGCCUUGGAUUGUGAUCAUGUCUAUUCAUGAAUGCAGGAUCUCUAAUUGGCAUUCUUAGACCUGUUGUUGUUACCGUAUGAGAGCUGGUGGCUGGCCCUAGACUCCUUAAGGGUUGAGCCAUUAAUAUUUCCUGCUGAUCAGAUCAUUGAGUCUGAUGGCUGGAUUGUGGAGUCUGCUGGUGGAUUUUCCUUACAGAAGGAUUCCUUGAGGAUUGAGGUUGGAGACCUCUACCUUUUCCUUUGCCUCCUGAUCUCCUCCUUUACCUUUAUUCUCCCCCUUUAUGUCAACAUCAAGGGUUCGAAUGUCAUCUGAAAGACGAUUAAGGCCUUGAACAAGCUCGUUGAGCUGACUCUUGGUCUGAGCAAUGUCUUCUCUAUUUUCUUUGAUUAGAGCUUCAGACCUAGCUUCCCUUUGCUGAAGGAUGGAGAGAAUGUUGUCUGUUUGCUCGCCAUUGCUGACAUAGAAUUGUUGAAAUUCUUUGACAGCAGUCUGAAGAUUUUGGAUGCUUUGUAUCAUUAGUUGGUUCUGAGAUUCUUGAGUUUUCUAUAGAAUCAAGACAACAUCCCGAUGUCUUUUAGCUGUGAGGAAGUGAAUAUCAUCCCUGUCCUUUAUGCUUUGUAGCAUUUCUUUGAUAAUCUCUUUGAGUGUUUUAGACAGUUCGGAGCUCAGGGAGCUUGGAAGAUUGUUUGCAGCAUUGAUCAUUGAUGUCAAUCUUAGCUGUAUCAAUGCAGUAUGAUCUUCAAGGCUCUCAUCUAGUUUUUUGAUCACUUUCUCAGACAUGGCUGACAAAUCAGCCUUUGUGGAUAGUUCUGAUAGGAAUUCAUCUAGAUUUGGAAUCUGUGAGGGAGGUGGCGUGCUCUUGAAUUUAUAUUGCAGUGAGUAGAGAGAAAGUUCAAGAUUGAAGCAUUCAUUUCUAGAUGAGGAGGGAAUAUCUGAAGGAGGGGCCUGUGUUUGGAUGUUGGAGCUUAGUGACUCUACGAUUUGUGGUGGAUACUCUACCAGGGGUCUAGAGUGAGGGAUCGUAGAGGUAGUAGGCUGAGUGAGCAUUAGGGAGUUAAUCUUAUUUGGUUCCUCAGUUACAGAAUUUUGAGAUUCUGUAACUAGAAUUGAUUCAGUUGAUGAAGAAUUACUUCCAACCAUUGCGGGAAUUCAUAGAAUUGAUUAAAUGAGGGUGGUGGCAAGUGAUUAAUUCUGACAGGAGUGGGGAUAUAUAAUACCUCAAGUGUGUUCUCUGAGGAAGGGCUGUUGGAGAGAAGCUUCUUGGCAAAAUUGAAUUUCCCUGGGAAUCCAUUUGCAAGUACUGAGAUAGCUGGAUACUCUUUGAAACUCCAGAACAUGUGAUCCCAAGAGUUCAGAAUUUGAGCUCGGUGGAAAGGCAUCAUAGGAAGAUAUGCAAAUAGUUGCUCAUAGGUGGAUCUUCUGUGCCCAUGAAUGCCUACAGCUAUAAUCUCAAUCUCAUCAUCUUCUUCUCUGUUUUCACUAGAGGAUUCCAUUAUGUCGAUUGCUUUAGGUUCUUCAUUAUCUCCUCCAGGAAUUUCUUUUUCAGCUAUUGAGGUGUCAUGAUCCUCCCCCUCAGCUUGAUCAUUCUUUUGAAAUGUCAAUAGCUCCCCCUCAACUGGAGCAUCCUCUGGUGGAAGAUCUUUAGGCAUCUCCCCCUCAGUAUGAGCACCUUCUAUCAUUAGAUCUUUAGGUGUCUCUCCCUCAGCAGGAGCCAUGACUACUUGACAUUCACUUGCUGGUUCCUUUUUAGCACUCAGUUCUUUUGCUUCCCUUCUUAGCACUUCUUCAUUGGCAAGAAUAUACUUCUUAACUAGUUUCCUUCUUGGCCUUUUAGGCUGUGCUACAGCCUCAGGACUCUCUUUAGUUGUGUCCUUCAGAUCAGCUAAGAUAUUUGAUGCAGUUGCUUCCUUGUUUGGUCUAGGCUCUACGAUCGGAGGAGACUUGACGAUCGAAGAGACUUGACGAUCGAAGAGGCUGAUGGCUUUUUACUUUUGUGGCUGGUCUUACUCAUCUUCAGCAACUGAGAUAUAGUUGCUCUAUCUUCUUCUGCCUCUGCUUGCUGUUCCUUUCUCCUUAGGAUCCUUAGAGUCUCAAUUUCUGAGGACUCUACAGGCUUGUUGGUGGUGGAUCCUUGAGGUUCUUCUGUAGUUCUGGCUUUCCUUUUCCCUUUGCUCUUUCUGAUUAAAGCAAUGGGUUCUCCCUGGUUAGUUUCUUCUUCUUCUUCCUCAGUUUCCUUGACAACAGACAUAUUCUCUGGCACUCCUGUUCCUUUUAUCUCACCAGUUCGACCACUGGAUUCAGACAUCAACUUCACAUUUUCAGCUGGAUUUCUCUUCCAGUUUUCAAACAACUGUUGGGUCAUUCGUCGAUUUGGGUUUAUGGCUUCUCCUUCAUCAUCCUCAAUCAGGUCACCAAGAGUAGCCUAUAGGAUAAUGAUGAUAAAUCGUCCGUAGAGCAUCUUCUGAGAGCUCUUUGUCUUCUUGGAGCUAACCAACCAUUUUCUAAUCCAUUCAAGUAAUAAAGCCCCAUAGUUUAGUUAAAUUUUAUAGCAUAUGGAAGUCAUGAGUUUGAGUUGUAUUUCAUUCACAGAGUCAUGACCUGAGCUUUUACAACAUAUGCAUUUUCCAACAAUGUUAGCCAAAAACUCAUACCUCUAUGGAAACUCCUUCUUUUUGUAUCCUUUGACAGAGGGUGAUUUCUUGUGAUGCAUUUUCUUGAGACCUUUAUGGAAGUCUAUUCCAUCUAAGGAUGGAUACCCUUCAGAUUUGAGCCCUAGGGCUAGAUUGAUGUCUUCAGCUCUUAAUUUGAUUUGGACGUUCCUUACUUUCAUGGUGAUGGUGUUGUUUUCAAACACUCCGUUAUUUUAGAAUUCUUUUACCAGCUUUGGGUAGAUCAAUGUGUCAGUACCCAAGGCUUCUUCGAGACCUGCCUUCUUUAGUAGCGACAAUGUCUUGUGAAAUUGGGGUUCAACCAUUUUAAACUCGUCGAAACACAGUCUGUAGCAGGAGACAACACUAGAAGCUGCCAUUGAUUUCUUUGUAGGAAGUGAGGCUGACAGAGCUUGCUACUGAUUUAGGGUUUCUGCUUGAGAGAGGAAGAGAGAGAUGGUCUUUUGAACUUCAUAUUUCAAAAAGGCGAUUUUAAUUUGUACCUGAAACUUCCCUCUCUUUAUUUUGCUUAGUGGGACAGGUGUCAAACUUUGCUUGGCUGUACGAAUUCUUGACAGAGAAGGAUUGUACUGAAUUGCCCUUAACUUCUUCUGGGAUGAUGUAUUCAUUAGUGGGACUACGAUCGUUGAGAUGGUCCUUGGAGUCGUCGAGUCUGUUCUACCAUCGUUGAGUCUGUGUAGCAGUCGUCGUGUCUGAGCUGUAAACGUAGAGUCUGAACUACGAUCAUUGAGUCUGACUGGCAAUCGCAGAGUUUGAAAAAGUCCUUGUGAUGAAUCUUUUUGACUUGGCAUUUUCCUUAAAUUAAGGUAGCUCAGGAAGGGCCAACCUCUUGAAAGAAACAAGGGUUAGGUUUGUUCCUGAGGAACUUAUCAGAGAGAAUGCUUUGAUUUAAUCUUGAUCAUCAUAGGGAGCUCCUUUUGUUUUGUUGAUGUAGUUCUAUUAUCGUUGAGUCUGCACUAUGAUCGUUGAUUCUGUUCAGCAUUCGUUGAGUUUUAUAUACUUUGGCUCUACGAUCGUGGACUUCCUUUGAUCAUGUCUUUUAUUUCAAAUACAACCUUUAAAUCUAUAUGGUUAGCAUAAAAUAAAGCAUAAUAUUUCAUGUUUGCAAGUUAAGCAUGCCUAGCUCACUUAUCAGUUUGUUGAAUCUGGAUUCAUCUAAAGGUUUUGUAAAAACAUCAGCAAGUUGAUUUUCAGUAGGGAUAUAUUGUAAAGAUAUUGUUCCAUUUUGUACAUGAUCCCUAAUGAAGUGAUACCUUAUUUCUAUAUGCUUAGUCCUAGAAUGCAUGACAGGAUUAUGAGUUAUAACAAUUGCACUUGUGUUAUCAUAAUGAAUAGGUAUGGAUUUGAAUUCAAACCCAUAAUCUGCUAGCUGAUUUUUUAUCCAUAGAAUCUGCGCACAGCAACUACCAGUAGCAAUGUAUUCAGCUUCUGCAGUUGAGGUAGAUACUGAGUUUUGCUUCUUGCUAAACCAGGACACAAGUCUGUUACCUAGUAAUUGACAAGUGCCACUGGUACUUUUUCUAUCUAUUUUGUAGCCUGCAAAAUCAGCAUCUGUAUAACCUGUUAGCUCAAAUGAGGAUUCCUUGGGAUACCAAAGCCCCAAGUGGGGUGUACCUUUGAGGUACCUGAAAAUCCUCUUUACAGUAGUUAAAUGAGAUUCUUUAGGACAUGCCUAAAAUCUAGCACAAAUGCAUGUUGCAAAUAUUAUAUCUGGUCUACUGGCAGUAAGAUAUAAAAGAGAACCUAUCAUACCUCUGUAUUGAGUUAUAUCAAUACUUUUACCUUUUUCAUCUUUGUUAAGCUUGGUUGCAGGAGCAAUUGGGGUUUUCAUGGGAGAGGCUGAUUCCAUACCGUACUUCUUGAGUAAGUCUUUAAUGUACUUGGCUUGGUUUAUGAAAAUUCCUUCAUCAGUCUGCUUUACUUGCAGUCCAAGAAAGAAGUUUAGCUUACCCAUCAUGCUCAUUUCGAAUUUGCUCUGCAUAAGCUUGGAGAAUCUCUUGCAUAACUUUUCAUUAGUAGAACCAAAGAUAAUAUCAUCAACAUAAAUUUGAACUAAUAGGACCUUAUCUUUAUGCUUUCUAAGAAAUAGUGUGGUAUCUAAUUUACCUCUAGUAAAUCCAUUUUCAAUAAGAAAGUUAGUCAGUGUUUCAUACCAUGCUCUAGGUGCUUGUUUGAGACCAUAUAAGGCUUUGUCUAAUCUAAAGACAUAAUUAGAAAGAAAUGGAUUGAUGAAACCUAGAGGCUUCUCUACAUUGACUUCUUCUUGAAGUUCACCAUUCAAGAAUGCACUUUUGACAUCCAUCUGAAAGACUUUGAACUUCAUGUGAGCAGCAAAGGCAAGGAAUAUUCUGAUGGCUUCUAGUCUGGCAAUAGGUGCAAAUGUCUCAUCAUAGUCAAUACCUUCUUUCUGAGAGUAGCCCUUGGCUACUAGUCUAGCCUUAUUCCUUGUUAUCACCCCAUCUUCAUCCAUCUUGUUUCUGAAGACCCACUUGGUUCCAAUUACAUGAUGGUUCUUUGGUCUUGGGACCAAUUUCCAAACUUUGCUUCUCUCGAACUGAUUAAGUUCUUCCUACAUGGCCUCUAUCCAGCUGGAAUCUUCCAUAGCAUCCUCUAUCUUCUUUGGUUCUAUUUGAGAUAGGAAGCUUAGAUAGAAGCAUUCAUUUUGAGUAGCAACUCUUGUCUUGAUUCUUGCGUUCGGAUCUCUAAUGAUUAGAUCUUGAGUGUGAUCUCUUGCCCAUCUGCUUCCUGUUGGAACAUCCAUUUUUAUGCCUUCUUGUCUCAGAUCUUCAAGAUUUAUUUCUUCUUCUUGAUGUGGAGGUUCAUUGUCUGGCAUAGGCCUCUCUACGAUCUCAUUCUCUUGCUUAACGAUUUCAUUAUUGGGCACUACGAUCAUAGUAUUGGGCUCGACGACCUCGUUCGCAUUGUCUUGGAGCACUAUUUUGUCUAAGUCUGUUUCAUCAAAGAUGAUGUGAAUUGAGACUUCUACACUCAGUGUCUUCUUGUUGAACACUCUGUAGGCAUUGCUGUCUGUGGCAUAUCCAAGAAAGAUUCCUUCGUCUGAUUUCGGUUGAAACUUUGUCAAGUACUUCUUUCCAUUGUUGAGUAUAUAGCAUGCACAGCCGAACACAUGAAAGUAGCUGACAUUUGGCUUUCUUCCUUUCCAAAGUUUAUAAGGAGUCUUCUUCAUCGUAGAGAGUAUGAGUGAUCUGUUCUGAGUAUAACAUGUAGUGUUGACCGCUUCUGCCCAGAAGUACUCCGGUAGAUGAGCUGCAGCUAGUAGAGUCCUUCCAGCCUCUAUUAAUGUCCUGUUCUUUCUCUCAGCAACUCGAUUUUGUUGGGGAGUUCAUGGAACUGAGAAGUUGUGACUAAUCCCAUUGUUUGUGCAGAACUGAUCCAUUUUUGAGAAAUCGAAUUCUCUGCCAUGAUCACUUCUUAUGUUCUUGAUUUUCUCUCCUUUCUCAUUCAUCACCAGCUUGAACAUCUUGAUUAGUUGGGGGCUUGUUUCAUUUUUUGAGGUUAGAAAAAAUACCCAUGUAAAUGUGGUGUAGUCGUCGACUACGACCAGUGAGUAUCUCUUUCCCCCAUGGCUCAUCAUUGGAAUUGAUCCAAAAAGAUCCAUAUGUAGUAAUUACAGAGGCUUGUCAAUUGAGUUGAUGGUUUUUCUCUUAAAUAAGCUUCUGGUCUGUUUCCUAAGUUGACAGGCAUUGCAGGGCCUUUCUUUAACGAAGUUGAAUUUGGGUAGGCCUGCAACUAGAUCUUUUGAAGCUAAUUUGGACAUGCUUUUGAAGUUGAGAUGAGAUAAUCUUCAAUGCCAUAGCCAGCUCAUUUCUUCAGAUGCUUUAGUCAUAAAGCAUAUUGUCUCGUCUGAGCUUAGUUGUCCAAGAUUUACUGUGUAGACAUUUCCUUCUCUUGUUCCGGUUAGCUUUACUGCAGAUGUCUUCAGGUCUCGGACUUGACAUUGAUUGUUGAUGAAUGUUACUUGAUGACCCUUGUCAUAGAGUUGGCUAAUGCUUGGAAGGUUGUGCUGUAGUCCUUCCACAUAGGCCAAUUUACUGAAUGAUACUGCACCAUUUUCGGCUGAGCCAUAGCCUCUUGUCUUGCCAGUGCCAUUAUCUCCAAAUAUGACUGAGGGACCUUCCUUCUCUAUGAAGUUAGACAGAAGGGCUUUGUUCCCAGUCAUGUGCCUUGAACAUCCACUAUCCAGAUACCAGGUUGUGUUUGUGGAGCUCCUUUCCUGAGGUAACAUUAAGCCUUCAUUUUGGUACCCAUAUUUGCAUGGGUCCUACUAUGUUAGUACCCUUGGGGACCCAAAUCUGCUUUAUUUUGGGUCUCACGUGCAUGGAAUUAUAAUGAUAAUUCGCAGCCUUAUGACCAACUUUGUGGCAUUCAAAGCAUUUGAUAUGAUGCAUGUAAGUGUGUUUGUGAAAGUUCUUCCUCCAUUUGGACUUUUGUGGGUUAUUGGUCAUCCUUCUACUAGGUUGAUAUCCCCUUUUCCAUGUGUUCUCUUGUUUCAUUAAUUGAGGAGAGUAUAUCUCACUUCUACUGUGUCUUCCUGGUUGGUUCGUAGAGUUGAUUUUAUUGGACUCUACGAUCCUUCGAGGUUGAUAAGUAGUAGCUAGAUUACUUCUCUUUUCUGAAACCUAGACCAGCAUGAGAUCCCUUACUCUUGGGAAUAUGAAUUGAAUUAUCCAGACAGGGUUUGACAAGCUCAUCAUUCUGUGAGGAUUUCACAAAUAUAAUGCCUUUACUAAAACCUGAGGCAUUACUAGUGUUAACAUCCUUUGUUUUUUCCACACAUGACUCUGAGAUAGAUCCCCCAAAGCCUAGCCAUGUUCUAUCAGAGACAUUUCUCUGAUUAGAGAUUAAAGAAUCCAUGAUUGAAGAAGAUUUAUUCUAUGUGGAGAUGGUCUUUUUUAGAUCCUCAAUUUUUGAGGUUAGACUAGACUCUUGUUUUGCACUAAGCUCAUUUGUUUAUCUUAAGAGCUUAUUCUCAGCUUCAAGCUCAGAGAAAGAAUUAGCACUGAGAAGGGUUGUUUCCAGUUCUUCUUGAACCUUUUCUUUCUCCUUUUUAAGAAGUGAAUAAUCCUUAGACAGAACUCUAAACCACUUCAUGUAUUGGUGUAGAUCAGAUGUUAUGCCAUGCAAUGUAGUUCUAAGAUCAUCAAUAUCUACAUCAGGAGAGUUAAAGUCAAAUACCUCAUCGAUACUUACUUCGUGUAUGUUAGAGUUCUGUUUGUCCCUUGCAUUUUUGACCAUCAAGCAGAGAUUUGCUAUUUGAGGGUCUUCAUCAUCCCCAGAUUCAGGAGUUGAGUCAUUGUCUAAGUCACUCCACGAUCCUCCAGCUACAAGACCUUUUUCUUUCUUCUGUGGCCCUUUGUUGCCUCUGUAUUCUUUCUUUGAAUGAGAUUUCUUCUUGAGUUCUUCUCUAAGAGGUUUGUUACAAUUUGCAAUAAAGUGGCCUGAUUUCUUGUAAUUGUAGCAUAGGUCAUUCAUUUGCUCCUGGCUGCUGUAGUUGCUGACUUUCUUUGGCUUGUUGGUUUUGCCUCGUCGCAUGAACCUUCUUAGCCUUUUCACUAGCAUUACAAGGUCCUCAUCAUCAUCUUCAUCAUAAUCAGAAUCAACUUCAGUGCUGACUUUGGAGGCGUUAUCUGUUGCUUUAAGGGCUACACCUUUAUCCUUCUGCCUACCUUCAGAUAAGGUUUCUGCUCGUUGAGUCAGCUCCAGUUCAUAUGUGAGAAGGUUGCCAUACAACUGUUGAACAGUCAUUUCAUGUAGAUUUUUGGAUUCUCUAAUGGCAGUGGUUUUGGCAUCCCACUUGCUUGGUAAGGCUCUCAUGAACUUUAUGAUUAGAUCUUUGUUAGGAUAGAUCUUCCCAUAGGCUCGUAGAGAGUUGAGCAGUACAUUAAAUCUUUCGUAAGUGGCAGUAACGUUCUCUCCUUGAACGUGAGCGAACAUCUCAUAUUGCUGAGUCAAGAGAGAUUGUUUGUUUUCUCUGACUUCUUCUGUUCCUUCAUGCAUGAUGAGCAGUGUUUCCCAAACCUCCUUCACUAUUUUGCUGCUGACCACAUUUUUGAACAGAUCAUCUUUUAAAGAUUGGAACAAGAUGUUUUUGGCCUUUUUCUCGAGCUGGAUAGCUCUCUUCUCGUUCUCUGUCCAUUCUUCCUUGACCUUGAUCUGUACUCUGUUUGGGUCAUCUGUAGUUGGUGCAAGCUUUGUAGGAACAUAGGGUCCAUUCUGAACAGUUUCAAAUAGAUCUUCAUCUAUUUCAUCUAUGUAAGCUUGUAUCCUAACCUUCCAGUUAGCAAAUUUUUCUUUGUUGCACAUUGGUGGCUUGCUGCCUCCUCCAGUCUUUGAUUCGCUUGGUAAGUGUGCCAUUGGAUCUACUUAAGCUUUGUAGGUUGUAUUAUAGAACCUUCUUUGAUACCAAUUGUUAGUUCCCAGUAGGCACGAUAGAUAUCUAGAAGGGGGGUUGAAUAGAUAAUUAAAACUUUUCUUUUAAUCUUUUUAAGUUGAUGGCAAUCAAUGCACAGUGGAAUGAGUAUAUGUGAAAAACCUUCUGUUAUAUAUCUUGAGUUAAUGAGAUUAAGACAGUUAUGACAGUUAUAGCAAAUAUUGCAGUUAUAGCAGUUAAUGAACACAAUAGUUUUAAGUGGUUCAGAGCACUAAAAGCUCCUAGUCCACUCUUCUACCCCGUGAGUAGGAAAUCCACUAAGUAUGUCUGUUACACUUCUUGAAUCUCACAGAUUCCUUCUAGACCAGCAGUCUAGAUACUUCUUAGUUCACUCUUGAACUCUUCAAGUCCAGUAGACUUGGUUUCUCACAGUUCACUUAGAACUCUUCAAGUCCUUCAGACCUGGAACUCUUACUUCAGUUGAUUGAAUGUUGUUUAGAUCGUGAUUGAUGCUAUUCAGUUUCUAGUAAGCACUUGUUCGAAAGAACUGAAUAGCUGAGCAAGCUUUUCCUUUUUCUCAGAUCGUAGAGUUGAGUGUUGAGUGUUCUUAUGCGUUUUUUUCGUUCAAUACUUGCUUCUUCUUUCUCAUCUGUCUUUGAUCUGUAUAUAUAUGAUCUUGAAAUCUAUCUGUUGAAGUCAUCUGAUGAGCCAUUAAAUGUGUUUGACAUUUUUGAACUUUGAUGGAAACUUUUCUGCACAUCUUCUGAAUUACACUCUGGCCCACUGACACAGCAGACUGCUUUCUCACCUAACACCUCAAAAGGUGUUUUCCUCUGCCCAAUGGUCCUUUUCUUAGCUUCUUGAGUACAUUUCUUUUGAUCAAUACUAAGGAUAUCUUUUGUACGUUGGGACUGGUGAGAGCUUCAAUGUUCAAAACCCAUUCCAUAUUUGUUGGAGUCCAUCUUCAGAUGAACGAUAGGGCUUGAUGUUUCUGACACAAAGCAGAUGACACUCUACUAUCAAUAUCAUAAUGUCUUGUCAUAUUGGUGCCUGUUCGUAAGAGAUCACUACGAUUUCUCACAAGGAUUUGCACACUACGUUCUUCACUUGCUCGUCUUGUAAACUCUACAUUUCCGAGAGCACACUAAAAUAUUUUAACACUACGAUCUUCACUUGCUCGUCUUGCAGAUUCUGUGUUUCCGAGAGCACACUACGAUCUCUGAGUUAGUUUCGGCAAAAGUCUGGACCACACCUCAAUUCGUGGAGAGGCCCUUCAAGGCAGAUACACUACGAUCAUCUCAGCACUACGAUCCUGCCUUAGCUUUUGCAUUCUGUUGAUCAGCCGGAUAGACUGCGAGUGAACAUUAAAGACUAAGAUCAACCUAACACUUUUGAUCUAUCACUAAGUCUUUGUACAUAUAUUCUUUGAAGGACUUUACAUAAUCAUGAGUAGUUUCAUAAAACAUCAAAUCAUAAUAUGCAUUCUUCCAACAACUUGCUUAAUAAAGAUUAAGAUUUAGAUGUUUGGCUUGUUCGUAGACUAUUGACACAAUUAAGCUUAACUUGUUCUCACAAAGCCUACAUAAUUAUAUUCGCAUUCAUAAGCAUAUUAGUCCAAUAUUCAAGUCACAUAGCUUGUAUAUUCACAUAUCAUAUAAUCACAUUGAUUAUAUUUUUAGUUUGGGUUUUUACUUUUGAGUUACUUGUAUACAUUUUUCAAACACCUCAUCCAUAUUCUUACCAUAACCAUUUUCUUCUUUAAUAGGUUUGACAUAAUCUCAGUUCAUGAAUCUCAUACAAUUUUAAUUCAUAUUGAUCCUUUUGUAUUUUACUAUAUGAAUAUUUCAUAAUUUCCUUUAUAACUUAAGUAUUCCAGGUGAAUACAUAAGAUAUUUUAUGACUUGACUAUGAUUGCGUAUCAUAGGAAUAGAAUCAUAGUUUUCAAUUUACUUUCCAACUCAUAGUAACCAACUAAUCACUUAAACUUAUUACAUUCCUAAGGUAUUCCAAAACAGUCCUCUUGUAACAUUAGCAAUCCUUUAAGGUACUAACAAUUUUAACUUGACUUAAUAGUUCCAUUUUGUUAUACCAAUGCAUCAAUUAUUUUUGCUUUCUUCUAUGAUGUCAAAACAGCCAUUUGAGACUUAAACAGUCCCAACUUGGCUUAAUACAUCCAAUCCAUCCAUGUUAGCUUCUAUUUCAAAGCUUACUAACUUACUUAUACAACCCUUGAGUCCAUUCAAGAUUUAUUCAUAUAAUCUAAUGUGUUAAAGCUAACAUGUAUUAACAUCCCACUAAACAGUACCCUCCAUGUUUCAUGCUUAAAAAAAUAAUUUUAACCUUUUUAUUUGUUAUUUAGAAACUUUUAAAUCCAAACCUUAUGGACAGAUCUUCAACCUAAUCCUAAAGUUAAAGUAACUAGUCUAAAACUAUUAUAACAGCCACUUGUUGUCAACUGCUACUACCCAUAGGCAGCAGCCCCCAUCCCUUGCCCAUUAUUUCAUGCGAUUAUAUUCAUUUACAAUGACAUUUUUAAUAAUAUAGGGAUGAUUUAUACAUAUAUAAUAGUAUGCCAAUAGCUGGGCACUUAGAGCAACAUAAGUGCAAUGAAUGAAAACUCAGGAAGAGCUCCCAGCCCAUGCCACUCAUGCUCACUGCUACUGCCGAGGCAACUGCCCUGUCCCCCUAGUUCCAAACUAUAACUUAUUUACUCUUAUAUGAUACUAUUUUGGGAGACAAGGCACUUUGCCUACCUCUCUAUUUAACAAAUGUUAAACAAGUUGUUUAAACAUCUUAAAUUAAAUCAACUGAGAGCCCCCAACUAAUGCUAUACACAUCCAUUGCUGCUGCUAUGGGCAGCAUCUCUAUUCCUUUUCUCAGGCCAUUUUUGGUACUUCAUUUAGUAAUCCAUUCAUAUCCCACCUUUUCGUUUCCAUUUAAUAAGCUUACACACUCUAACUAUCAUCAUGUAUUGCAUACAUAUUCAGUCCAAGCUUUAACUCCAUCACAUAAUCAAUUUUUAAGCAAAACAGUCCAUUUGGAACUUUUAUCGAACAGUUAGUGUGCACAGUUUUGAUACACAACCUUUAUAGCUAUAGGUUUGCUCUUCCAUCCCAUGUAAGCCUCUUUAUUCCUCCACACAACCAACCUAUCUCCUCUAUUCUAAUUUCACAAACAUGGUUUCAUAUCAGCCACAUAUAUAUGUACAUAUGUAAUCAACAAUUAGCACACUGAGUAGUUUUAUAUAUUAAAGAAUACAAUUCCUUUGACUUACAAAGUUUUAGGGAAAAACCUCCUAUUUGGGUAUUUUACCGAAUACUUCAUCAUUUCAGAACUUUAAUUUCCAUAAACAUAUAGCACAUACCAGAUUUUAUACGGAAGUUACGUGCAACAAACACAGAGACCCAAUUUCCUUUAAACCUAAUACAUACAAAUGAUUUAACACCUAAUAGUAAAGUAACAUUACCUCUUUGGUUUACUUCACUAUUAUCCAAAUUUGGAGCUUAGUUCAACUUCUUUUCUCCCAGUUAUUGAAUAUCAACCCAAUUCUUCAAAGAUCAUCAAAGUUUCAAGCCUUUUCCAUUCAUGGAAUUAGAGAAGUAGGAGGUAAAUAUACAUAAAUUUGUUAUUUGGAGAACUCUGAACAUGAAGAGCAAAGUUUUGAAUUAUAGGAGACCCAGGGGUGAGCAUGGUGCGGUUUGAAGUCCAAACCGCACCUGAAACCGCUUAGAUGCGGUUUAAAAAAUUCAAGAUCGCACACAAAACCGCUUGUGAUUGAUGCGAUGCGGUUUUAAACUGUGCGGUGUGGUUUCAAUUGGUGCGGUUUCGGUUACAAAACCAAUUGAAACAACAAAAAAGUCUAAGUCUUCAAUACAAUUUAACACAAAGCUCACAUCGAGCAUUUAACUUAGUGACAGAGUCGGCAAUGAGAAUUAUAUCUAAAAGAAUAUGAUCCCUUGAUCUUUUCUCAUUCAUCCCUUGGUAAUAUAUACAGAGUAUAGACAAAUAUUAUGCCUACAAGUUAGGCUAAGAAUAAGGAAACGGUAUAAUUUUACAAUAGAAUAAUAUCCUAAAUUAAAUAUAAAAUAUUUACAAUAAUAAUGAGAAUAAUCACAUAUAUUCUAUCACACCCCCGCAGUUGAAGCAGGAGGUUGUCGAACGCUUAGACUGUCCCGGAAGUCAUCAAAAAGUAUGCGCGGGAGCCCUUUGGUAAAUAUGUCAGCAAUCUGAUAACGUGAUGGAACAUGAAAGACACGCACUUUGCCACGUUUUACCUUUUCACGAAAAAAAUGAAUGUCCAUCUCAAUAUGUUUAGUGCGUUGAUGUUGUACUGGAUUGCCGGAGAGGUAUAUCGCACUCAUAUUGUCGCAGUAUACAAGGGUUGUCUUGUGGACCGGACAAUGAAGUUCCAGGAAUAAAUUUUGGAUCCAACAGGAUUCAGAGACAACAUUGGCAACCCCUCGAUAUUCAGCCUCGGCACUUGAUUUAGAUAGUGUGGGUUUCCGUUUAAAGGACCAUGAAAUCAGGUUGUCACCAAUGAAUAGACAAUAACCAGAGGUGGAGCAACGUGUGUCAAGACAGCCACCCCAAUCAGCAUCUGUAUAAGAAAGGAGAUAAUCAAGUUUAGACUUAUACAGAUGCAAACCAUAAUUAAUCGUUCCAUGAAUAUAGCGUAGAAUACACUUGAGAGCAUCCAUGUGCUCGACUUUCGGAUCAUGCAUAUGUAAGCAUACCUGUUGAAUCGCGUAGGAGAUAUCUGGCCUGGUAAAAGUAAGAUAUUGCAAAGCACCAGCUAGACGGCGAUAUUUAGUUGGGUCCUCAUAAGGCUUGCCAGUAGAAACACUGAGUUUCCCUUUUGUGUCAACAAGAGUGGGACAUGGCUUGCAACCUAUCAUACCAGCUCUUUUAAGUAUUUCCUGGGCAUAUUUUGUCUGUGAGAGAAAAAGGCCAUGGGCAGUCCGGGUGACUGCAAUACCCAGAAAAUAACUCAACUGUCCCAAAUCCUUCAUUGCGAACUCAGAACUGAGAAGAGACAUGAUUGAUAAUCGAAGAGCAUCGGAGGAGGCCGUGAGAAUUAUAUCAUCAACAUAUAAUAAAAUAUAAGCAAUGUCAGAUCCAUUUUUGUAGAUGAACAAAGAAUGAUCGGACACACUAUGAGAGAAACCAAUAGUGGCUACAUAGUCUGCAAAGCAUUGAUACCAGGCAUGAGGGGCUUGCUUAAGACCAUAGAGUGAUUUCUUCAACAAGCAGACAUAGUCAGGAUGAACUGCAUCCUUGAAACCUAAAGGUUGAUAUUUAUAAAUAGUUUCAGUUAGAUUACCAUGAAGAAACGCAUUUUUAACAUCCAACUGAUGAAUGGCCCAAGAUUUUGAUAAUGCAAUGCUCAAAACUAUAUGAAUAGUGGCCAGUUUAACAACCGGGCUGAACGUCUCAUCAUAGUCCACUCCAGCUUUUUGAGACCUGCCAUCACCUACAAGAUGGGCUUUAUGCCUCUCAAAAGAACCAUAAGAUUUCUUUUUAUGUCUAAAAAUCCACAUUGAACGAAGAACAUUAACAUCAGAUGGACGAGGUACUAAUUUCCACAUCUUAUUUUGAAUAAGAGCAUCAUAUUCAUCCUGCAUGGCCAAUUUCCAAUUCGGGUCAUUAAGUGCACUCACGGGGUUACGGGGUAUAGGAGAGAUAGAGGUAGUGGUCGAGAGGGCACUUAAGUUAUGGUAUUUAGGGUUGGGCUUGUGUAUACCAUGCUGACUCCUAGUUCCCAUUCGAUGGGCUAAAGGAGGAGGUCGAAUGGAUGUAGUGGAAAUUGGGCCGGGUGGAAUGGAAGUUGGGGUUGGCGUGGCAGUGGGAAAAGGGGAGCGAGUGGGCUGGGGAGUGGGUUGUGUUGCAACGCGGGCUGGGGAGGAAGGGGGGGAUGUUUGUGUGGGCGAAGAGGGAGGCUUAGCAAGUGAAGUGGGUGGCUAAGUCUGUAGAUCUAAUGAGGUAGUCGCAUGCAAUUGAUGAAGGAUAUGGGGAUGCAAACCAUCAUCUAAAAUUCAUAGGAGGAAGGAGAGGGAGUAUGAAGUGUCAAAAAAGGAAAUUUAGAUUCAUUAAAAAGAACAUGUUGGGAAAUAAUAAUUUUCCGAUUCGAAAUAUCAUAGCAUUUAUAACCCCGAUGGUUUGACGGAUAGCCUAAGAAGACACAUAGAGUCAAACAGGCUUGUAAUUUAUUAAUGGUGGUGGAAGGACAUAAAGGGUAACACAAACAUCCAAAAACUCGAAGAUGGGUGUAAUCUGGAGUUUUUCCAUAAAGAAUUUGAGUAGGAGAGUACUAGCUUAAUGUCUUUGAAGGAAGAAUAUUGAGAAGGUAUGUUGCUAUUUCGAGAGCAUGAGGCCAAAAGGAGGGUGGCAUGGAAGCAUGAGCAAGUAAAGUACGAACCAUGUUAUUGAUAGUUUUUAUUUUUCGUUCGGCUUUACCAUUUUGAGGAGAGGUAUGGGGACAUGAGAAGCGAAAAUACAUACCAUUUAAUUCACAAAAUUUUCUAAAGGGACCAUUGUCAUACUCGCGGCCAUUAUCACAUUGAAAUUGUUUAAUUUCUUUUUCGAAUUGAGUUUUGAUAUAUGCUCUAAAUGAUAAAAAAAAAAAUAGAAUAAACUUGUGAUUUUCUAGACAUAGGAAAAGUCCACAAGAAAUUACUAUAAUUAUCAAGAAAAAGAGCAUAGUAACGAUGACCGGAUGAGCUUAAUAUAGGAGAUGUCCAUAAGUCACUGUGAAUUAUAUCAAAUGGCAUAAUAGUAAAAGAACGAGAAUCAUUAAAUGGAAACUUAAUGUGUUUUCCAAGAGGACAAGAUUCACAAAAAGAAUUGUGAACCUUAUUAUAUUUAAUAAAAUUGCUACUACGAAGAGAAUUCAAAACGACAUUUCCAGGGUGCCUUAAACGAGAAUGCCACAAAUCAAAAGAACUAACAGGAAAAGUAGAAGGUAGAGCUGAAGGUGGUGGGCCCCGAAGUUUGGUGAAGGGAUAGAGAUCGCCCGAGCUAUCACAUCUCAGUAGGUGCUUCCCCGUCUGUAAAUCCUUCACAGAAAAUUCAAAAGGAUCAAAUUCAACAGACACCAUAUUAUCAUUAGUAAAUUUGCGAACUAAGAUGAGGUUUUUAAUAAGUUGAGGUGCAUGCAACACAUUUUUAAGCUUCAAAGGUGGAUUUGUUUGGGUUAGUGAGGCACUUCCAUAACCAAGAAUCGAGAUUGUAUGACCAUUACCAAUAAUAAUGCCAUUAUGUUUGCUCAAAUUAAAAUAAGACGAGAGAGUACCAUGAUUAGCAGUCAUGAGGUGGCACCGGUAUCCAUGUACCAAUUUUCAUCCAGUUGAUGGAGGGAGAGAGUGUGCAUAGCUGCAUCAAUAUCUGUAGGUUCGUAGUUCACACUUAGGGAGGCUGCCGUGUAGUGGGCUUGGGAAGGUUGAGGCCCAAGAACUCCUUUUGUAGAUGAUGGACGGAUCUUCCCUAUAGUGGGAAAUGGGCAAGGUGGGUUGGACCAAGUGUGAGGUGACCAGGGAGCCCAAGGAGGCAUGGAAGCCCAUUGUUAUGGCCAUAAUGGUGCUAAAGGUCACUGCUGUCCCCCGCCACGAGAUCCACCAUGGUUGCCACUACGGCCACCACGACCAUCGCUGUAGUGGCCGCGCCGCCCACCACGGCCACCAUAAUUUCGGCUACCGGAAUUAUUAUGCCCAUUUGCAUUUGCUUGCUACUGUUUGGAAUUAUUGCCACCAGAAACAUUAUCAUUUGUUGAAUUCAUAAGCAAAGCAGAAUCCGAACCUGAUUCAAGAGCGGCACAUUAUUUCAUGCUUUCCACUUCUAAUGAAAACAUCGAACGGGAUUGUGCAAAGGUCGGAAGAGGAAUGCGGUGUUGAAUGAUGGUGACGAACCCCACAUAAGCUUCUGUCAAACCACGAAUCAUUUUGAGAACCAUACGCUCGUCGGAUACUUUUGCUCCCACGUUGGCUAAUUGAUCAGCCAACACUUUAAGUUGCUGGAAAUAUGCAACAACAUUAAGAAAGUCUCGAAGGAGAGUGUUGGUAAAUUGGGUUUCAAGGUGAAUGGCCCUCGUAUUGUUGUUGUCUUGGAAUAAAUCUGCUACACGGUUCCAAGCAUCUUUUGCUUCAUCAUUCGGAUCAAAGAUAGUGUUGAGAAUAUCCAAAGAAACCAUGCUAUAAAUCCAUUGCAUGACAAUGGCAUCCAUCCUCUUCGAAGUCGUUGUUUCGGCAUCCGUCUUGGCGGCGGCAGCUUCUGUAGGAGGGAUGAGGUGGUCAAGGACGAGGUUGGCGCGAGCAUGGAGCUUGAAGAGAGUUUCCCAGUUAUUGUAUUGGUCGUUUUCGAGAUCGAGAGUGAUGGGGAUGGCUGUUUUGAUAUUGGUGACGGUGGUGGUGGGAUGGAUUUUUGAGUCAGCCAUGGAUACAAGGAAGAAGAAGAUGGCAGAAGGUAGGGAGAGGAAGAAAACUAGGGCUUUGAUACCAUAAAAGAAUAUGUUCCCUUGAUCUUUUCUCAUUCAUCCCUUGGUAAUAUAUACAGAGUAUAGACAAAUAUUAUGCCUACAAGUUAGGCUAAGAAUAAGGAAACAGUAUGAUUUUACAACAGAAUAAUAUCCUAAAUUAAAUAUAAAAUAUUUACAAUAAUAAUGAGAAUAACCACAUAUAUUCUAUCAAUAUCAAGUAUAGAAACAAAGCUCCUUCUGCCAAACAUGUCAAACUCACCAUGAAAUCAUAGAACAGUGAGACAUAUAAAAUAACUUUAGUUUAUAAUAAAGGAAUGAUGUUUUAAAACUAAAAUAUACGUUAUAUAAAACACCGGAGACCAUAUAUUCGAUAACAAGUAAGAAGAUUUAUCUAGUUCCCCAAAAAUUAAAAGUAUAUACUGGAGAUAGAAUGAAAUUCUAUAUAUCUUAUAUAUUGCAGGGAGGACUUAUAGAAUAUAAUCAUAACUGUACCUAAUUUAAAAAAUAAUCUAUUAGACCAUUACUACUAUAGCAUAGACCUUAACCAAUGCAUCAAGUGCUCGAACCAAUGAAUUUGGCCCCUCAGCUAUAAGCCCCUCCAGUAACGCAUCAAACAAAUUCGAAUUUCCAAAACCCAAAUGUUUAAUUUUUGACUCAAUAACCUCUAACCAUCUUCUUUCAAUUGGUGAAAAAAUGACAAUGCAAGACUGGGGUUUUCUCUGAGCGUGUUCAAGUGAAAAGUAACUUUAGAAUUUACUAGAAAUAAUACAUACAUACAUACAUACAUACAUACAUACAUACAUAGUGUUGUUUUGGUUUUAUGCGUGCGGUUUUGGCUAGUAACCAAAUCGGAACCAUAAAUUUGGUUAUUCAACCCACUUAAAACCGCCACAUACACCGAAACCGUUGGUGCGGUUCGUGUGAUUUUUGGUGCGGUUUUGGUUCCAAUUUAAUUACUUGCUCAGCCCUAAGGAGAUCCAUACUUGGGUAAUAUAUUUUAUAGCUAUGAUUAGUAAUCUACAUAUUAUCCUAAUAAUACUCUAGCUCUAGCUUGAAAUAUUGAAUCAGCUUUACUUAACAUAAUGUAUACGUGGCUUAUUCUAGUCCUUCACAGCUCAGCUCUUUUAAACAUAAGGUUUGUUUAGUUUAUAAUAAUGAGUAUAACUCAUUUUAUUACCUCUUAGUACAUAUCGCAUCAUAUAUUAUGCAUUUUAAAUACAUACAAUGUAGUCCAAAAAAAUUCGGAUAAAAUAUCCAUAAAUUAGAUCCAUCAAAACGGAAGCUAUUUAUUAAAUAAAAAUAUUUUAUUUAAUAAAUAAAUCUUAUUAUAUUAAAAUAAUUUAUUUACCAUAAAUUACCAAUAUCCACUUAAAACAUCCAUUGCAAAAUAAUUUGCUUCCAUAAUUUAUUUAUGCAAUAUAUAUAUAUAUAUAUAUAUAUAUAUAUAUAUAUUGUGACGCCCCCAAAGUAGGUAUACAUUACCUAUUCUGAGUCGCCAAAUACAUAGUACAGAAUACAAAUACAAUCUUAAAUAUACAACAUGAGCUGUGAGUUUUAAUACAAAUAUUGUCUUCUAGACAGUAUUCAAACUCAAAAUAAGUCCUCAAUACAUUUAUUANNNNNNNNNNNNNNNNNNNNNNNNNNNNNNNNNNNNNNNNNNNNNNNNNNNNNNNNNNNNNNNNNNNNNNNNNNNNNNNNNNNNNNNNNNNNNNNNNNNNNNNNNNNNNNNNNNNNNNNNNNNNNNNNNNNNNNNNNNNNNNNNNNNNNNNNNNNNNNNNNNNNNNNNNNNNNNNNNNNNNNNNNNNNNNNNNNNNNNNNNNNNNNNNNNNNNNNNNNNNNNNNNNNNNNNNNNNNNNNNNNNNNNNNNNNNNNNNNNNNNNNNNNNNNNNNNNNNNNNNNNNNNNNNNNNNNNNNNNNNNNNNNNNNNNNNNNNNNNNNNNNNNNNNNNNNNNNNNNNNNNNNNNNNNNNNNNNNNNNNNNNNNNNNNNNNNNNNNNNNNNNNNNNNNNNNNNNNGCUGUGAGUUUUAAUACAAAUAUUGUCAUCUAGACAAUAUCCACACUCAAUUGAGUCCUCAUUACAUUUAUUAUCACACUAUUUAACAGAAUAGUGAGGACUACUAAUACUAUCAUCUGGACCGUCACUCCGUUCCCCGACUAGUCCCUGUUACGUUCUCAUUUCCUGAAGAGAACAAUGAAAGUAAAAGGGCGAGCUCAACUAGCCCAGUAAGAAAUAAUAUGACUAAGAUAAUACAGAAUAAAUUAUUGUUAGCCUUCAACAGUGUUAAACUGAUAUAACAAACAUCAAGUUUAACUGCAGCGGAACAAGCAAUCCAUUAAAAGAGUCAAGUAGAGAAUAAAAUCUAAUAUCUUCUAUGAUUUAAAAGGUUUUUCAUCACUUUUAUUGUUGAGACUCAGCUUAAUAAAUAAACCACAUCAUCCCUACACUACGGCCAAGGAUAUUCAUUAGUAUCACAACCACAAAUUAUCCAUGCACUACGGGCCAAGGAUAUUUGUGUAUUCAUCAAUGGUCAUGAUCAUGCCAAUAACUGUCCAUCAAUGCACUACGGGCCAAUAAGAAUUUUUACCACAUCAUUUGUAACUUUACGGUCAUGAUUAUACCGAAUAAUCCCUGGUCAUAAUCGUACCAAGUCCAUCUAUGCACUAUAGGCCACAGAUGACUUUCAACAUAAUAUAAACAUGAGGAUGAUGACAAUGACAUAAUAAUUCAAUAAAACAAGUUCAAGAAUAAAUUUUAAAGAUUUAUAAGUUAAUUUAUCCUGAACUCAUUAAUGUCCAAAUUGUCAACAUGAUAUUGCUUUGUGGAGUAAAAUUCAAGAAUGCUCAGAAGAAUAUUUCCAUCAAAAGAUACUAGAUGAAGCGCAAAUAUCCAGGAUAUUCUACUAAUUUCAUGGAGUAUAGAAGCCAAAACUUAAACCAAUUGAGUAUAAUAGAAUAUAUGAAACUGCAAAUGGAUUUUCGUCCGCCAUGCGGUAAUCCACGUAAAUAGAUCAUUUCCACAGUUUAAUAAGGAAUGAAUACAAAGGAUCAUUCACCAUGCAUGCGGUAAUCCACAUAGACAGGUUAUUCCAACAGAAUAAUAAAGAAUAGAACCAGAUCAUGCGUAAUCCGCACAGACAGGAUAUUCCAACAGAAUAAUAAAGAAUGGAACCAGACAGGAUGUUCCAAUAAAAUAAUAAUGAAUGGAACCAGGUCAUGCGAUAGACCGCACAGACAGGUUAUUCCAACAGAAUAAUAAAGAAUGGAAUAACAACAGAAUUCACCAGGCAUGCGAUAGACCACACAGACAGGAUGUUCCAACAGAAUAAUAAAGAAUGGAAUAAUAGAAAAAUUUCACCAUGUAUGCGGUACUUCGUAUAAACAGGUUAUUCCAACAUAAUAAUAAAGAAUGGAAUAACAGAAGAAUUUCACCAAGUAUAGGGUAGACCGCGUAUAUAGGUUAUUCCAACAAAAUAAAAAAAUGGAAUAACAGCAGUUCUCUUCAUGAAUACGAAAGAAAUAAUACCCCUUACCUUAGAAAAAACUAGAUAUAGGAGUAGUGAAGUAGCAAAAUACUUUUCUUCUUUCUCUCUAUAGUUUCUCUCUCUAGAGUUUCAGUGAAUUCGUAAGAAAUAAUGAAGGAAUGAGCUUCUAUUUAUAGGAGAAUGGAUUGAAUAGUAACUAAUUCAUGAACGGUCCAGAUUGAUUUACUUUUAAACAGACGAUCCAUAUUAAUUUACUAUGCAGUAUUAAUAAAAUAUUCUAAUAAAACAAAAUCUUUUAAAUNNNNNNNNNNNNNNNNNNNNNNNNNNNNNNNNNNNNNNNNNNNNNNNNNNNNNNNNNNNNNNNNNNNNNNNNNNNNNNNNNNNNNNNNNNNNNNNNNNNNNNNNNNNNNNNNNNNNNNNNNNNNNNNNNNNNNNNNNNNNNNNNNNNNNNNNNNNNNNNNNNNNNNNNNNNNNNNNNNNNNNNNNNNNNNNNNNNNNNNNNNNNNNNNNNNNNNNNNNNNNNNNNNNNNNNNNNNNNNNNNNNNNNNNNNNNNNNNNNNNNNNNNNNNNNNNNNNNNNNNNNNNNNNNNNNNNNNNNNNNNNNNUAUAUAAAAAGUUUUCUGUUUUAUUACAUUUAUAAUAAUAAUAAAACAAAACUUAUCACCUUUAUUAUAAUUCACAAUAUUAAUCGACCAGGUUGUUCCCAGAAAAGAGGGGGCUUUCCAAUAAGGAUUUCUCCCUAUUGGCGCGCAAUAGGUGACCAAACCUCUCCUUAGCAGAACUUCUAGACAUCGCUAAUAUUGCAAAUAAUAAUAUUAAUAACUUUGUUAUCUCAAUUAUUGAUUUAAUAAUAUAUAAAAUAUCGACAAUAAUUGAAUCAAAUAACGUGAGAGAUAUAAUACAGCAAUUACUGUAGCAAUAAUUAAGUAUAACUGAGUGACUUCUCAUGUAAGCAUCAAUAAUCAAUACUGUGUGCUACUAUGCAACCACGCGUAUUACUGUACUUUUACUACCGAGUAGUUCAACAGUUUUAACGGUAAAACUUUCGCCGUUAUUUUCAUAAAAAUAUUUUUGUCGUUUUCUCAAUCCGAUAAUAAUUCCGUUGUGGAGUCCACCAAUGAUUGUACCGUCGUACGAAUAUUCCCUGUUAAAAUGAAUAUUCCCCGACCAAUCGAAUAUAAUACAACAACUUCCAUACUCUGCAAAAUUUAUAAAUAUUACCCACAACUAUAACAUUAUAUCAAAUUCAUUCCAUAAUAUUCAAAAAAAUAUUUCAAGAAAUUUAAAUCUUUAUUCAUAAAAUUUAGAGUCACACACACACACACACACACACACACACACACACACACACACACACACACACACACACAUAUAUAUAUAUAUAUAUAUAUUUAUUUAUCACACCACGUAUCUCACAUACGUACAUUUUAUAUCGCAACAAAUAUGGUAUGCCACAUCAUGUAACUUGUUAAAAUAAAAUUUUAUUUGUUAAACUUCUAUUUUAUUUUUUUAGGAAAAAUGCAAUCACUACUUGAUAAGCAUGAAACAUGUAUAACUGCAUGCUAUGUAUGAACAUUAUGAUGUAUGAAUAAAUGCAAAACAUUAGAAAGUAUGAAGCAUGUAUAAAAUGCGGAACAUGAAAAAUGUAAUGUAUGUACAUUUGAAAUAAGAAUUAAGUGCUAUGUGAUAACUUCUAAAUUUGAUGGGCAACGUAGUUGUUCACCCUUGCUAUAAAUAAAUGUUUUUCAGCUAAGCUAAUGUUGAAGGAUAUGCGUUAAAGUAGAAGAAGACGAAUGCUUUAUGAUAAAAGCAGAUGUGUAUUAAUUGUAAUAUUUUUACAUGAUGUGAUAUUUAUUUGUAACAUAUGAUGUAUUACACUACAAGAAAAAGGGUUAUCUCCAAUGGAAUUAAUUCUGACCGAAUACAUUUCAUCGAUGUUAAUAUAAGUUCGACGGAAUAUUACGUCGACAUUAAUUGCGUCGAGGUUAGACUAAAGUCAACAGAUAUCCGUCGAAAUUAAGCUCAUUUACUUGGCGCGUAGAUUUUCUGCCAGCGCGAGUUUAAUGUCGACGGAAAAUUCGUCGAAAUUAAGCUCAUUUACUUGGUCCGUCGAUAAUAGCAAAAGGGCGACUGAAAUAAAAUCAACCGAAGUCCGUCGAACUUAUUCUUUUUUUAAAAUAAGCGUACCAGUAGCCCUAAUCUCUUUUCAUUCUUUUCCUUUCUUCCCUAAUUAGCAGCAACGGCGGUGAAUUUGGUCCAUAGCUCCUCCAUCUAAUCUCUCCUCCAUAUAUAUUUCUUCUCCUUCUCUCAUCUCAUCCAUAUUUUUUCCUUCUCUAAGCUCCCGCAUUUGGUCCAUAGCUCAUUUAAGGAGGUGAAUUCGACUGGGACUGUUACUGUGUGGUGGUACCGACGGCGGCGGCGGCGGUGACUUGGGUUCGGAGUGGUGGUGUCGGCUGGGGUGUUCUUCUUCCUCCAUAGUUAAGUUCUUUCAAUUUACAAGUUAGAGCUUAAUUUUUUUUGUUAUCAAGUUUAAGAAUUCCAAAAUUAUUUUUAGCCCUAAAUAACGGAAAUUAAAUUAUUGAUUGAUAUGUUCCCUAAAAUUAUCUAUAUUGGUUCAGCAUAUCUAUGUUGGUUUGAAUUAAGAAAUUAAAUUAUUGAUUGAUAUGUUCCUAAAUUGGUUUGAAUAUUCAGUGAAAUGCAUAUGAUUUACCUUAUAUUCAAUGAAAUGAAUUAUCUAUAUUGGUUCAGCAUAUCCAUUUUGGUUUGAAUUAAGGAUUCAUGUUGGUUUGAAUAAUUUGAUUUGUCUUGGUUCAAUAUAUCCAUUUUCUGCCUUUUUAUGUUAUAUGGAUUUGGUUCAAUUUGGUUCAUAUAUAUGAAAUGGUUAAGCAUAUCCAUUUUCUGCCUUAGAAUCAUGGAUUCUAGCAUUGUGAAUUGAAGACUUUGUGUGUCGAAUUAUUUCCGAUGGAAUUUCCAUGGAAGUUAUAGAUGGUAUUAAAUAAAUCAAUACUUAACUAUAAAAGACAAUUAGGACUUAGUUUGACACUAAAAUAAAAUAAAAAAACACAAUAAAGUUAUACAAAAUAAAUAAUAUAAUAAAAAAUAAAUUAAUUAACUAAAAUAAAUUAAUUAAUUAAGGUAAAUUAAAUUAAUAAUAUAAUACAAAAUAAAUAAAUAAAUAAAUAAAAUAAAAUAAAGUAAAAUAAAAUAAUUAAUUAAGGUAAAUUAAAUUAAAUAAUAUUAUUCAAAAUAAAUAAAAUUAAAUAAUAUAAAAUAAUUAAAAUUAAUUAAUUAAUUUAAAUUAAAUAAUAUAAUACAAAAUAAAUAAAUAAAUAAAUAAUAAAAUAAAAUAAUUAAUUAAGGUAUAUUAAAUUAAAUAAUAUUAUACAAAAUAAAUAAAAUUAAAUAAAUUAAAAUAACUAAAAUAAAUUAAUUAAUUACUUUAAAUUAAAUUAAUUAAUAUAAUUCAAAAUAAAUAAAAUUAAAUAAUAUAAAAUAACUAAAAUAAAUAAAUUAAUUAAUUUAAAUUAAAUGAAAUAAUAUAAUACAUAAUAAAUAAAUUAACUAAAAUAAAUUAAUUAAUUAAGGUAAAUUAAAUUAAAUAAUAUUAUACAAAAUAAUUAAUUAAGNNNNNNNNNNNNNNNNNNNNNNNNNNNNNNNNNNNNNNNNNNNNNNNNNNNNNNNNNNNNNNNNNNNNNNNNNNNNNNNNNNNNNNNNNNNNNNNNNNNNNNNNNNNNNNNNNNNNNNNNNNNNNNNNNNNNNNNNNNNNNNNNNNNNNNNNNNNNNNNNNNNNNNNNNNNNNNNNNNNNNNNNNNNNNNNNNNNNNNNNNGGAAGUUAUAGAUGGUAUUAAAUAAAUCAAUACUUAACUAUAAAAGACAAUUAGGACUUAGUUUGACACUAAAAUAAAAUAAAAAAACACAAUAAAGUUAUACAAAAUAAAUAAUAUAAUAAAAAAUAAAUUAAUUAACUAAAAUAAAUUAAUUAAUUAAGGUAAAUUAAAUUAAUAAUAUAAUACAAAAUAAAUAAAUAAAUAAAUAAAAUAAAAUAAAGUAAAAUAAAAUAAUUAAUUAAGGUAAAUUAAAUUAAAUAAUAUUAUUCAAAAUAAAUAAAAUUAAAUAAUAUAAAAUAACUAAAAUAAAUAAAUUAAUUAAUUUAAAUUAAAUGAAAUAAUAUAAUACAUAAUAAAUAAAUUAAUUAAUUAAGGUAAAUUAAAUUAAAUAAUAUUAUACAAAAUAAUUAAUUAAGGACUUCCUUGUAUGCAGGGUUCGACAUAGCAGUUGCAGCUAAUAGUACUCCAACCGGUUCCUCGACAGCAAUUAAAAAAAAGGGUCGUAGUUUCUGUUUAUGUCUUAUACUCGAAUAAUAAAGUUAAUUGAAUUAUUACAGACAUUCCUCACUGUUCCAUCACAACAGAUGCCAACAUACGGAAGAAGUGCCAUUAAGUUGUUGAACAAAGUUCUAGGUUAAGCAACCCUCUAGAUGAGCGAACGAUCACUUCUCUACUAGGAAUGAAUCAUUGCCUGAUAUGGGUCUAAUCCAUGACAUAGACAGUUUCUCACCACUCAAAAUCCCUCACGUGUCAUGAUUAUGAUCGACCGAAUUUCCUCGACAGACUAUUUUCAGUCGGAAUUAUACUAAGACCGACUGAAUAUUCGGUCGAUGAUAAGUCCGUCGACAGUAAGUAUCCCCGACCGAAAGACCGACAGACCGACAGACUUAAUUUCGACCUGCUUAUAUACGACCGAAGUUCCGACCGAAUAUUCCGUCGGAAAUGAGGUUAACCUCAACGGAAUAUCCUUAUUACCGACGAAAUAUUCCGUCGGAAAUAAGCCUUUUUAUUGUAGUGUUAGUAAAUGUCUUAGAACCUAAGUUUAGAUGAGAUGUAUUGUAAUAAAUAUAGAGAUUAUAUUUAUGAUGUUAAAGUUAUGAUGGAUGAUUAGCAUCGUGAAGCAUCGGAUCCGGACUUGAAGAUAGACCCAGAGUUUAGGGGCUUUACAAUUAGCUCGACUAAAAAACAAGUCGAGUCAAAUCAAACUCGAUCGAGUAAAAUAAAACGAGUGAAAUUCAAAUUUGAGUAAAAAUUGUGAAAUCAUAAUUCGACGAAUCAAAAUAUUUUAAAUAGCUGCAAGUAGAAUCUGAAUAAAGUAUUGCUUAACUCUACUCAAGAUCAUUUAAAUCUUGAUGUUGGAGUAAAUAAUAAAAGUGCAUCUGUUAUUGUCAAAAUUUUAGAGAUUGGUAGUAACAAAUGGUAAAAUAGAGUAUAUGUUUUAGACACAAAUUUAUAAUAAUUUGUGGUAUAUUUUAUUAAGAUCUAGCGACGUUUCAUAUAUUACGGUUUUGUCAAUUCACCAAUUUCAUUAAUAAUUAUUUUGACAAUUUACUAAUUUAACAAUUAAAAUUACGUCAUAUUAAGUAUAGUACAUACAUAAACUUGUAUAUAUUUAAUACACACAUUCCAUUUCCCUUUAAUAAUAAUAAAAAAUUGCUUGCGAUAACUAAAAUAUGUACCACUAGAUGUGUCAAUAGUACAUAAUCUGUACUUGAGUAUAUAAGGAGUACCAAAAUACUUCUUCUGGAGAAAUAAUAUUUUUUUUGGGUCCAAAUAUAAGAUUAAUUUCAUUUUAAAAAAUCAUUUUAAGACAUUCUUAAAUUCAAAAUUGAUACGAUUUACUUAAAUUCAAAAAUAAUAAAUAGUUUUAUUAAUAGUAGUUAAUACUUUUUAAAUAAUUUAAAAUAUCUAUAAUUGUAUUGACUAAAUGUAAUAACAUAACUAAAAAACGGACACAAUAAUAGAAGAUAAUAUUUACAAAAUACCUUUCCUUUUUAAGGAAUAUAUAAUUUAAACUUUAUAAUAAAUGCUUUUAAUAACUAUUAUUAAAUUAUGGUCAACUUUAGAUAGAUUGAAGGGCAAUUUAGUUUUGAAAUAUUAUUAUUCUAUAUAUGUGAAUUUCAAAUGCUGUCAUUUGAUUGUGUUUUUUUCCUUUUUCUUCAUUUAACUAUGUUUAAGUUAAUAUUAUCGAGUUUCAUAAUCUCCAAAAUACAAAAAAUACUAAUUUUUUUGAACGAGAGUUAAUUAUGGAGAAUUAAGUCAUUAAUCUCCCUCUUAUCAAAAAAUUGAUUAGAAUAAUAUAUUUCUCUUUGACUUUUCUUGCAAAAUUUAAAUUUGUGUAGUAUAUAAUUAACAUUUUGAUAACAAAUUUUAAAACUAUAACUCAUUAUCUAAAAAUGAUGUUUAAACUCAUACUUUAGCAUUAUGCCAUUUGCAAAACAAUACAAAAUGAUCCAAUUUUUUGAUUGUCCAAAAAUUUAGGGUUAGUCUUCCCGCCUCCAAACUGUCUCUUAUUAGACAAUCUAUACCCUACAUUCACUUUAAAAAUCCACGUGGACGGUAAACAUUAAAGAGUUGUAUAUUUUCCAUUUUUUGUCAUCUUAUGAUUUGAAACUAGAUUCUGCUUACAUAAACAACUACGGUAUUGCUUGGUAGAAGCUCUUGUUUGAUUGAUUGUAAUUGAGGAUCAGAAAUAUUUGUAUGAAAUGUCCUACCUGAGGAGGAGGGAGGGAUAUCCUAACCCUACUAUCAUUUUGCCUUUGCAAUGUUACUUGGUUGAACUCUAUUUGAGAAAUCCUUCUCUAUACAAGUUCUUGAAUUUCAUCACCUCGUAUCCAUUCGCUUCGUAAUGGGAUCAAGUAGCGGAGGCAUUGGCUUGGUAUGAACAUGCAUCUUUCCGUUUCGACGAGUCUUCAUUCUCGAUGACGGAUGAGUAAAUCCUUUAGCGGCAUACCUGGAAUGCAAUGUGAUAGAUGGUAGAGGGCUGCUUGCGUCCAAAAGGGAUGAUUCACUUGUCCCCUUGUUCAUAGAGAUCUUGUGGCAUACAACCGAAACGAUUCCCGCUAGAUAGCCGCCCAUUUCUCUCUUUUUAUAGCCAUGUAGACGGACGAAAGAAGGGAUGAAACAAAAUUUAAUACGAGAAAUGCUAUUUAUAAUAGAAUGUAUAAUAAAUUUAAGUUUUUGUAUCUUGCUUGAAAUUAAAAUGUAUCUGUUGAUCGAUUUCGCAAUCAAUGAAUACGUGCAAGUAUACAUGGUCAACAAGUAAUAAAGUGAAAGUAGAGUAUCGUUCCCACGAGGAAUUAUUUAAUAAAAAUUACCAAUUACUAACUCUUAACCAAAUCAAUUUUAUUUAAACAAUAGCAAAUUAUGAAUUUUCUAAUUAAGAAAACUAAAUUAAACAAUUAAAACUAAGAUUUUAACGAAUGAAUUCAGGUAAAUAAAGAUUAAGACUCCAAUAUCCCCAAUUAUGAACUAUAAACCAAUUAUCCAAUUAUCCCAAUUAUUAUGUCUACUGAAUUGUUAACAGGAAUUCUCAAAUGCCAAAAGCCUUUUUCCAAGUGAUCAAUUGCCUUCUAUUUAAUCCAGAUUAAUUUUGCUAUAUUUCUAUGCAAAACAAUUGAAUUAAACUCGUUACAAUCCCAAUUCCUUAUGUGUUACAUGCGGCAAAUAGAUAUUCUCAUUCUAUUCACAAACCUAAUUAUUCACUGUGCAAAUAACUAAGUCACAUGUCACCAUGCCCAGUUCUAACCCUAGAAUUCCUUUCUCAAUUCCUUCUAGAGUAACAAGGUAAUUACUGAUCAGAUAAUUAAUCAAUAAGCACAAAGCAAGAUGAACAAUUCACUUCAACAUAAAUAAUUAGAAUAAAUCAAAUAAUCAAUUCAUAAUCAUAAAAAGUUCAAUUGAAAUCUUAAUGAAAGAGUUAGUUCAUAAUUAAUGAAUUAAAAUCAAGAAUCCACAAUUGAAUAGACAUUAAAAGAUAAAAGUAAGAGAAGAGAAGAGAAUAUAAUCUAUUGUCAGUAGCCUUGAGACUCCUCUUUCGCUCCUGCUUUGAAUCUUCAAUGGUCUCCAAGUUGCUUCAAUCUCCAAAACUAAUAAGAACUAGGGUUAUGUUCUAAUCUAAAGGAGUGUUUAAUCUAGUCUAAUCUAUGUAAUCUCCUCUUAUUUUAUGCCUUACAUCAUGUAUUUAUAGGUUACAAGUCCAAUUUUUAGUUUAGGAACAAACCCAAUCCAAUUUGGAGUCAAAAAGGUGUCAAAAUUCGCCCAAAACGCGUCCAGGCCAUCACCAAGCCCUUCCCCAGCGCCCCAGCGCUGGGAACGACGCUCAGACACUGCCUUAUAGCGCCCUGGCGCUGGAAAAUGAACUAAGAAUAGCGCCCCGGCGCUGUUACAAGUUUUGACAUUUUUUGCUCCGACGUCCUUUGGAAAAAUGGCCAUAACUUCUUCGUCCGAACUCCGAUUUCGAUGAUUCAAGAUGUUCCGGAAAGAGGAAACAUAGAUCUACAACUUUUAUUCUUUGAGUGUUUCGAAAUAAGGUAUUUAGCGAUACUCAAAUUGGCUCUAAAGUGACUGCUGUGUAAAUGGCAAGCCGAAAACGCGAAUCUAGCCACCCCAAACAUCGAUCCAUGUAACUUUUGUCCCAAUUCCUAUAAAAUAACAUAAAACAUGCAUGAAUAGACACAAACACAUAAAAACAUCCUAAAAGACUUAAGAACAACAAUAAAUUAAGCCCGAAUGUAUCCAAUUCAUGGGUAUAAAACUCACUCAUCAAAUACCCCCAAACUUAAAUCUUUGCUUGUCCUCAAGCAAAAACACAAAAAUGUUAUGCAAUGCAAUGUAAUGAAACUAAUCUAUAUGCCUACGAAUCCAACAGUAAUGACAGAAACAAGUCUAUUCAACCGGCCUUAGAGAAAUCAAGUAAACAUGAUAAUACAUCAUAUUAAAACAAAUCAGUAAUUUCCCAAUCAAUCAUCAAAUCUUAGACUGUUAUCACUGAUAUAGUGCGUGUGUGCUCCACAACAAUGUUAACUGAUAUAAAAUCAAAUUUAAGACAUAAUAGAUAUCUUUGAAGGCAUCAUACAGUGCAAAUUCACAAAAUUCACGAACAAGCUAUAUCCAACUAAAGUCAAACAUCCACCAAGUUCAAGAGUCCAAUCUGGGAUACUUAUGCUUUACUUUUCAUUACGGGGGCUUUUUGCUCUUUUCCCGUUUUUUUUUUUUUUUUUUAACCAUAACUGUGCAAUGUCUCAUUCCAUUAGGCUAACAGUGUCACCCCUUAGCGAGCUUUCGACCAACGACUCCCAGACCAUAUAAGACCUUAGGGCGCUAGGUUUUAAGAUACCCCUUCGGGCGUACUUACUCAAGUAACAAAGGCCCCGAAACAAAACUAGCCACGGUAAUUUUUUUUUUCUUUUUCUCUUUUUUUUAUAGAUGGUUGGUGAGUGCGUUUUACGCUCCAUCUCACGCUUGUGUUUAUGGGGAGUGUUUCUCCUCAACCCACCACAAGACUCAACAUGUUUUUUUUUUUUUUUUUUUAAAGCUUAUAUACCCCAAAAUUUCCCCCCAAACUUAAGUUUUUAUCAAAAUUUAGCCAUCUCCGCCUAUUCAUGUCUUUCAUUCCUUCACACUAGUAUUAUACUUAAGAAAUCCAUUAUGUAUCAAUUUAAACUUAAUCAGUUAACAUAGCUGUUAUUAACGUGCUAACCUUGAUUAUACCAGUUUCAAACAGGAAAAGAUUCAAUUCAUAACAAGAAAUCACAUCAAAGCCUGAAUAUUCAAUACUAUACUUAUCUACUUAACUCCAGUCUCAUCAUUGGCCAAAAUAGACUUUUACUAUCUAACAGUUGGAAUCAUGCAAAUAUAAACUAACUGCAACAAACAUAGUAAACUAACUACUAUUUUUGCGAUUUUAAAAUUUUUUUUUUUAAAAAAAAAAAAAAAAAAAAACGAAUGCAACAACUAAAUGUAAAUAACCCGAAAACAUAACGAACUACAAUGUAAAUAACUAACUAUAUGCAAUACGACACUAAAAUGCCCCCAAACUUAAACUAGACAUUGUCCUCAAUGACUGAAAUAGAAAAAAUUAAAGCAGAGGACUUCCCUGAAAAUAUAGCAAUCUUCCUCCUUGCCCGCUAAGUUUGGAGAAUAGGCUAAGCACAUGGAACAAAUUGGGCACCACACUUGAAUUUGACUUGAAUAACCUGUAAAACCAUGAUAGAAGCAAUUUUAUUAAAUCCUAAAUAAAUGCAAAUUCAAAACUACUAAUAUAAAACUUAAUAAAAACUAAAAAUAAAAAUUAAACUUGGGUUGCCUCCCAAUAAGCGCUUGUUUUAUAGUCUCAGCCUGACUUCUUCAAUUCUCUAUCCAAUUCCCCUACGAAAGUUGAGGAACCCUCCAUCCAUCGGAAAUAAUAUAGCUUUUGGUAGGUUCCCAUUUGUAAUAGCCAUUGUAUUAAAGUCACCUAGAAUGCUUUCUUGAGAUAAGAUCACAUUCAAGAACGUCCAGCAUCUAGGUGGUUUCUCCAUUGUGUCUGCGAAUAUAUUCUGGCAUAGAGGCUUGUCAGACACAACAAUUUCUUCUUCUAUCUUCUCUAGCUCAUCGCACCAUGGUUUCGAAGGUGUACUUGCUUUUACAUCACAGAGAGUAUUGCCGACGACAUGACUACCAAUCGGACAAGGUUUUGCAAAUCUAACCGGACUCUUGAACUGUGGAGGAGAAGGCACUUGAGGCAUAAAUAACAUUGGCUCAUCAUCAUUGGUUCUCACAAUUAGUUCUUCACCGACCUUGUUGUCAUUAUCCCCACUUGUCUCCUCUUUUUCAUCUCGUGGCUCAUCCAGUUGUAGAUUUGGCUCGGGCUCACCAUCGGGCUCGGAAUCCAUGUCAUAGGGCCAGGUGUAUUGAGGACGGUUGUUCAACGCAUGUGCUAUCUGUUCCACUUGAUUUUCCAAAUUCUUGAUCAACGCCCCUUGGCUUUGCAAAUUCAGCUCUACUUGAUUCAUUUUCUUGUCUUGUUCCUCAUUCCUUUUUUCAGAAGCUUUAAUAAAUUUUUCCAAGGCUUCCUCCCAAUUUGAAUGUUCUUCCUGUUGUAGUGGAGGUGGACACAAGAAAUCCUGUGGGUAUGUUGGACUUGGAGCAUAAAAUUGAUCUUGAUUGUUACUCCAUGAAAAAUCCGGGUGAUACCCCCAAUCCUGAUGAUAGUUGUUGGGAUAGACAUAAUUAUUGGGGUAAUCACCACUAUACUGUACCGGCUCGAAACUGAUGGUGCAUUGAUGACUCAUAUGAUUUCCAGCACAAUAAUCACAAGUAACCACCAUACUUUGACGACGCUGAGCUUCAAAAGCUUCAAACAUCCUCGAAAGUGUCUCAAUCUGUGCUGACAAUGCAGAAAGUUUCUCGAGUCUUUCAAUCUCCACUCCCCUUGGUUGAGUCAUGUUCGUGUAUGGCCAUUGAUACACAAAGUCAUCCAUGGUACCUGAAAAGAGAGAAAUAUAGAAAGAGAAUUAAAAAUAAAAAUAAAAAUGUUUAAAUUAAGACUAAUUUGAUUGAAAUUAAUAUUGGUAAAUAAUUAUUAAAUUAAUUCCCCGGCAACGGCGCCAAAAACUUGUUGAUCGAUUUCGCAAUCAAUGAAUACGUGCAAGUAUACACGGUCAACAAGUAAUAAAGUGAAAGUAGAGUAUCGUUCCCACGAGGAAUUAUUUAAUAAAAAUUACCAAAUACUAACUCUUAACCAAAUCAAUUUUAUUUAAACAAUUACAAAUUGUGAAUUUUCUAAUUAAGAAAACUAAAUUAAACAAUUAAAAGAGAUUAGUCUAAAAGAAAGCAAAUAAACAAAACUAAGAUUUGAUUGAAUUCAGGUAAAUAAGGAUUAAGACUCCAAUAUCCCCAAUUAUGAACUAUAAAUCAAUUAUCCAAUUAUCCCAAUUAUUAUGUCUACUGAAUUGUUAACAGGAAUUCUCAAAUGCCAAAAGCCCUUUUCCAAGUGAUCAAUUGCCUUCUAUUUAAUCCAGAUUAAUUUUGCUAUAUUCCUAUGCAAAACAAUUGAAUUAAACUCGUUACAAUCCCAAUUCCUUAUGUGUUACAUGCGGCGAAAAGAUAUUUCCAUUCUAUUCACAAACCUAAUUAUUCACUGUGCAAAUAACUAAGUCACAUGAUAUCAUGCCCAGUUCUAACCCUAGAAUUCCUCUUUCAAUUCCUUCUAGAGUAACAAGGUAAUUACUGAUCAGAUAAUUAAUCAAUAAGCAUAAGGCAAGAUAAACAACUCACUUUGACACAAAUAAUUGGAAUAUAAUGAAUAACUAAUUCAUAGCCAUAAAAAGUUCAAUUGAAAUCUUAAUAAAAGAGUUAGUUCAUAAUUAAUGAAUUAAAACCAAGAAUCCACAAUUGAAUAGACAUUAAAAGAUAAAAGUAUGAUAAGAGAAGAGAAUAGAAUCUGUUGUCAGCAAAUCUGAUGCUCCCCUCUUGCUCUUGCUCUUGAUCUUCAAUGGUCUCCAAGUUGCUUCAAUCUCCAAAACUAAUAAGAACUAGGGUUAUGUUCUAAUCUAAUGGAGUGUAUCUCUAGUCUAAUCUAUGUAAUCCCCCAUUAUUUUAUGCCUUACAUCAUGUAUUUAUAGGUUACAAGUCUAAUUUUUAGUUUAGGAACAAACCCAAUCCAAUUUGGAGUCAAAAAAGGUGUCAAAAUUCACCCAAAACGCGUCCAGGCCAUCACCAAGCCCUUCCCCAGCACCCCAUCGCUGGGAACGACACUCAGACACUUCCGUAUAGCGCCCCGGCGCUGGAAAAUGAACUAAGAAUAGCGCGCCGGCGCUGUUACAAGUUCUGACAUUUUCUGCUCCGACAUCCUUUGGGAAAAUGGCCAUAACGUCUUCGUCCGAACUUAGAUUUCAAUGAUUCAAGAUGUUCCGGAAAGAGGAAAAGUAGAUCUAAAACUUUUGUUCUUUGAGCGUUCUGAAAUAAGGUCUGUAGCAAUACUCAAAUUGGCUAUGAAGUGACUGAUGUGUAAAUGACAAGCCGAAAACGCGAAUCUAGCCACCCCGAACGUCGAUCUAAGUAACUUUUGUCCCAAUUCCUACAAAACAACAUAAAACAUGCUUGAAUAGACAUAAACACUUAAAAACUAAUCUAAAAGACUUGAGAACAACAAUAAAUUAAGCUUGAAUGUAUCCAAUUCAUGUGUAUAAAACUCACUCAUCAGUAUCUCUAGUUUAUUACAUUGUAAUUUUGAGAAAGAUAUUCUCAGUAUUAAUUUCUACUAAAUAAACUCAUUUGUAAAUAUUAAAAAAAUAAUAAUUUUAUUUCAUAAUUACUUUUAGAUUACUAGUUGCAUAGAUUAUCGUAUUGAAAUUAUAAUAAAAUUGCCAUGAUAAAUUUAAAGAUAUAUAGUCACAUUAUAUAGCACUAGUUGAUAACCCAUGUAAUGCAUGAACUAAUUUGAAUAACAAAUUGUAUAACUUGUUAAAAUUUCGAUGCAAAAAAUAUUUUUUUUAUAAUAAGUUAUUUUCAUAUAAAUUUUUCAAUUCAUUUUUGCAUGAAAUGAUCAUCAUAUGUAAAAUAUUGUAAAUUAGAGUUGGUGCAAAGGACCCUAUAAGCAAUGAAUUCAUAACUGUAGUUUUUAAAUUAAUUAGAGUCAAACAUUAUGAUAGGAUCUUAUCCUCCUUCUGCCAUAGACUUAAUGAUGCAAGAACCCCAUGGAAUCAAUCCAACAAAAACUUGAUGAUUUUCUAUUUAACCCUAGAAAUAAAAUUAAGAGAUUGAAAAACAUAUGGUUUUCGUAUGUAUCCGUGUGUGGAGAGAUGUGGGGGAGGGACGUGGCUUACCUCCACUUAAAUUCAACUAUCAAAUUUAUAGAAAUAUUCUAAUUGUUGCGAAAAUAGCAAAUAGACUCCAUCAAUUUUUUAAGUCUAGACAAUAAAUAUAAGUAAACAGAUUUUCACUUUAAUGAAAAUUAAACACAACACACAAAUUCAAAGUUAAAACUACACGCAUACAUGAACUCUUAGCUUACUCUCAAGGCUUCUACAUACUCUUUUUUGAUAUUCUAUUUUUCACUAUGCAAUACAACUUAUGAGAUAAUUUCACUUUAUAAGACUAUCAUAUUAUGCAUUCAAUUGACAUUGUCGACUGAAAGCUGAAAUAGAACUUACCAAUAUUCAAUUUUAAAAGAAAAAUAAAUUUGUCAUUUCACUCCAAAAUUUUGCACGUCAUAUGACAAUAAUCUGCCUUACUCAAGUUUUGGAGCACAAAUUCCCACCUGGUAUAAUCAGAGAACAAAAAAUUACAAAAAGCAACUAUAUUAAGGUGCAGUUUAUCAUGACAUGAAAACUAUGAAGUUCAACAGUAAAUCUGAGAAGGAUUCCAAUAACUAUAAAUGCACGAUCAAUAACAAAAAUAAUCUAGAAUAUCAACUACAAAAUAUAAAUUGAAUUCAAAGAAAUAAAUAACUUACACAUUGAAAAUUAAACAGUGUAUGACCCUUAACAUUUGUUAGUCCGUGUAUGUAUACAUCUAUAUUUAUACAUGCGUACGUGUGUGUGUGUGUGUGUAUAUAUAUAUAUAUAUAUAUAUAUAUAUACACACACACACACACACACAAAUGUAUUGCAGCUUUAAGAGCAACAAAACACUUUUGAAAAAAAAUGGUUGCUCAGGUAAGACUCCAACUUUUAUGAAUAAAAAUGAAUUUUCUAUAAAUAUCAUUUUUGAAUAUUAUGGAGUGAAUUUAAUAUAAUGUUAUAGUUGAGGGUAAUAUUUAUAAAUUUUGUAAAGUACGCAAGUUGUUAUAUUAUAUUCGAUUGGUCAGGGAAUAUUCGUACGACGGCACAAUCAUUGGUGGACCCCACAACGAAAUUAUUGUCGGAUUGAUAAAACGACAAAAAUAUCUUUUUAUAAAAAUAAUGGCGAAAGUUUUUACCGUUAACACUGUUGGAAUACCUGGUGGUUAAAAUACAGUAAUACGCGUUGUUGCAUAGUAACACACGGUAUUGCACAGUAUUUUUGAAUUAUUGAUUCUUACGUAAGAAGGCACUACUCAAUAAUUGUUACAGUAAUUACUGUUAAAUAUUUUAUUUUAUUGAUUCAAUAAUUGCUGCGUUGAUAUAGUAUAUUACUAUUGUUUCAAUAAUUGUCACUGCACAGUAUUUUUCAUUAUCAGAUCAAUAAUUCAUAUUAUUUAAAUAAUAUUAUUAGAUAGUAUGAUUGGCAAUGUCUAAAAAGUUUAGUCAAUGAGAGGUUUGGUCACCUAAUUGCGCGCCAGUAAGGAGAAAUUCUUAUUGGAAAACCCCCUCUUUCUUGGGAACGGCCUGGUUGUCAUAAUUAUGAUUCUGUAAUAUUAUUUGUGAAUAAUUAAUUAUUGAUUUAUAUGAUAAGGAAAUAUAAAUUUUUUUGUGGAUAUAAAGGAAGGAAUUUAAUGUUGAGGUGUUUUGUCGGAAUGGAGGUAUUAAAAAAUCAAAUCACUGUUCUUAAAGCUCUAUUGCGUGAGUUAUAAUUUUGAUCCGACCGUUGGAUCGUUGUGAUUUUUGGAUAUGUUAUACAUAUAUAAGUUGAGUAUAUGUCCACAAAUUUUGAACCGUUAAAAAUUAGCGUAUGAUUUGUUAUGAAUUUUAAGAGGUGUUGAAAAUUGUUCGUUUGUGAAAUUCGGAUAUUUUCUGUUUGGAAUUUGGAAAAACUUUCUUCUGCAAAGUUGUAGAGAAUUUGAUUUCGUGUGGAAUGGACAUAAAAUUCGUAUUUUUCUGAUAAAAGGGCUAUUUAUUAUGAAUUAUUGAAGUUUCAAAAAAUAAAAUAUUUUUUUAUUAAAAUUGGGUGGGACCCACUUUUGUUUUUCAAACUUGUGGGCUGAAAUUUUUGUUCCAAGUUGGCUGCUCGUUUGGUGGGUGGACGUAAAGAUUUAAAAAAAAUAAUAAUAUUAUUAUUUUAUUAUUUUAGUCUCCUAUGGCGUUUUAGCAUUUUCCUAUAAAUAAGCGCUUAAGUUAGAAUUGAAAAUCACACCAGAAUCAAAGAAUUUUUCUUCUAUAAUCUUGAGCGUAUUUAUUUCGAGUUUUAGAAAGUUUUGAGCGUAGAAAAUAGUGAAAGUUUUCUUCAAGAAUAUCCCCGCUAUACCAGUUGGAAUACUCUUCUUUUUAAGGUAAGUGAUGUUAUUUUUGUUCAAUAUUUGCUUGAAAUAAUAUUUUCUUCCAUACUCUGUAGUAUGUAAGUAAUAUUAUUUUGUUUCAAAUUUCAAAUUAUAUACUCGUUUUGUUAAAAUUUUGGCUUUUAUACUCCAUGAAAUUAGUAGAAUAUCCUUGAUAUUUGCGCUUCAUCUAGUAUCUUUUCAUGGAAAUAUUAUUCUGAGCAUUCUUAAAAAGUUUUAACUUUUUCAUGCCGGAAUUAUAUUCACGGGGUUACUAUUCCCGAAGUACUAUUCACGAGAUACUAUUCACUCGAGUACUAUUCACCCGGGGUACUAUUCAUGAUAAAAAUUGAUUCGUUUUCGGUCCAAAUUAUUUUUGGUACAAUAUUAUUCUUGAAUUUUACUCCACAAAGCAGUAUCAUGUUGACAAUUUGGACGUUAUUGAUUUCUGGAUAAAUUAAAUUAUAAAUCUUUAAAAAUUUAUCCUUGAACUUGUUUUAUUGAAUUCUUAUAUCAUUGUCAUCAUCCUCAUGUUUAUAUUAUGUUGAAAGUCAUCUGUGGCCAGUAGUGAAUAGAUGGACUUUGUAUGAUUAUGACUAGGGAUUAUUCGGUAUAAUCAUGAUCGUAAUGUUACAAAUGAUGUGGUAGAAGUCCUCAUUGGCCCAUAGUGCAUUGAUGGAUAGUUGUUGGCAUGAUCAUAACCAUUGAUGAAUACACGAACAUCCUUGGCCCGUAGUGCAUGGACAAUUUGUGGUCGUGAUACUAAAGAAUAUCCUUGGUCGUAGUGCAGGGGUGAUUCGAUGAUGUGGAUUAUUUAUUAAGCUGAGUCUCAACGAUAAAAGUGAUGAAAAACCUUUUAAAUCAUAGAAGAUAGUAGAUUUUAUGCUCUACUUGACUCUUCUAAUGGAUUAUUUGUUUCGCUGCAGUUAAACUUGAUGUUUAUUAUAUUUUAUCAGUUUAACAUUGUUGAAGGCUAACGAUAAAUUAUUCUGCAUUAUCUUAGUCAUAAUAUUUCUUACUGGGCUAGUUGAGCUCACCCUUUUGCUUUCAUCGUCCUCUUUAGGAAAUGAGAACGUAGCCGGGACUAGUCGGGGAACGGGGUGACGGUCCAGAUGAUAGCAUUAGUAGUCCUCACUAUUCUAUGAAAUGAUGUGAUAAUAAAUGUAUUGAGGACUCCAUUUGAGUUGAAUAAUGUCUAAAAGACAAUAUUCGUUUUAAAACUCUCAGUUUAUGUUUUGUCGUAUUUUACACGAAAAUUGUAUUAUUAAGUUGUAUUUGAAUUUUGUACCAUGUAUUUGUCGACUCAAGAUGGGUGAUGUAUACCUAUUUUGGGGGCGUCACAGUUGGUAUAAAAGCUUAGGGAUAUGAUCCCUAGCUGAGAUAUGAGACAAGAACUAGGAGGGGAGAGACGGGAAAUUCCUUCGCUAGUAUGACCUACCUAAGUUUAUUUGGUAUUUAAUUGGUCGGUCAGAGUAUAGGGAUAAUAUGUGAUAUGUUAAUUAACCCUUGUUUUGUGGCAGUAUUUGAAAAUGACAUCCGAGAAUGUUGAGAAUAGCAAUGGAGCACAGGAGACCGUUGAGUCUCCACAGAUCAAUAAUCAGGAUAAUGUGCAUCAGGAAGGCGACAAUCCUCAUGCAAACAACAAAACUGACCAAAUGAUGAACGAUAGAAUGUUCAGAGGCUUUCUACAAUUCAUGCAACAUCAGGCAAGAGAGACUCAUGUCCGAAAUGUAGGUGGAAACACUGGCAACUCUCGGACGAUCACUGCUAAACAGUUGAAGGAGCUGGGACCACCGGAGUUUUUUGGAAAGCCAAAACCACUUAAGGCCGAGACGUGGAUAAACCAGAUCAACAAGAUAUUUGAUGUCUUGGGAUGCUCCGAGGAGCAAAAGGUUCCCUUUGCCACCUUCAUGUUGCGGGCAAAAACAGAUUACUGGUGGGAAUUUGUAAAGCGUACUUAACCUACCGCACUGAAGAUGUCUUGGGUGAAGUUCCAAGAACUGUUCAACGACAAGUACUUUCCCGAAAGUAUUCGUCACAUGAAAGAGGUAGAGUUCAUUAAACUGGAGCAAAACAACAUGACCGUGUCACAGUACGAAGCUAAGUUUGCUGAGUUGUCCCGGUUUGCACCCCACUUAGUUGAUAAUGAGGAGAGAAUGACACGGAUGUUUCUAAGAGGUUUGAAACCCGAGAUACGUCAAUACCUUAUCUCUCACAAACUUUGCUUCUAUUCAAAUGUUGUGAAUAGGGCUCAGUUAUUGGAAUGUGAUAAUGAGUCAACCCAACCAAGAGAGAGCAGCCAACAAAAUGAUAAUACCAGUGGUAGCAGUCAUCGAAGCGGUGACAACAAACAUUGAGGGAAUCAACAUGUCAGAAAUGGUAACCACAUCGGUGGUAAUCAUAGCCAAGACAAUAAGAGUGGACAUUUCAAGUAGAGGAGAUUCAACAAUGAUGGAAAGACGUCAGCACCAGCACCCAUUGUUAAGGAAGGAGAGCAGCCACCUAUCAUAUGCUUCAAAUACGGAGGGGAGGGACACAUCAGUCCAAACUAUGCAAUGCAGUCCAAAGCGUGUUAUAAUUGUGGAAGAGAAGGUCACCUAGUCCGAUUUUGUCGUGCACUGAAGAUAAGUCCAGCUGGGAUGGAGGCACCAAAGGCCGUCCCAGAAAAGUCAAAGCCGGUAGUUCAAGGGAGAGCGUUUGCCGUGACCUCCCAGAAAGUAAGGAACCCGAACGAGGUCAUCACGAGUAAGCUUAUCAUAAACUCUAGCGAAGUCUAUACCUUAUUUGAUACCGGUUCUAUCCAUUCUUUUAUUUCUCCUACCUGCGCUCAACGUUUAAAUUUGACUCCGGAAAAAUUAGACUUUGACUUAUCUGUUGAAACUUCGUUGGGAGAAACCUUCAUUACAUCCACUGUUUAUAAGUCUUGUUUGGUUUAAAUCGGUACCCUCACAUUACCUGUCGAUCUAAUUUCAUUGAAAAUACUUGCAUUUAACGUNNNNNNNNNNNNNNNNNNNNNNNNNNNNNNNNNNNNNNNNNNNNNNNNNNNNNNNNNNNNNNNNNNNNNNNNNNNNNNNNNNNNNNNNNNNNNNNNNNNNAUAGACAUUAAAAGAUAAAAGUAAGAGAAGAGAAGAGAAUAUAAUCUGUUGUCAGCAAAUUUGAUGCUCCCCUCUUGCUCCUGCUUUGACUCUUCAAUGGUCUCCAAGUUGCUUCAAUCUCCAAAACUAAUAAGAACUAAGGUUAUUUUCUAAUCUAAUGGAGUGUAUCUCUAAUCUAAUCUAUGUAAUCUCCCCUUAUUUUAUGUCUUACAUCAUGUAUUUAUAGAUUACAAGUCCAAUUUUGAGCUUAGGAACAAACCUAAUCCAAUUUGGAGUCAAAAAGGUGUCAAAAUUAGCCCAAAACGCGUUCAGGCCGCACCCAACCUCUUCCCCAGCGCCCCAGCACUGGGCACGAUGCUUAGACAUUGCCUUAUAGCGCCCCGGCGCUGCAAAUAGGCUUAAAAUGGGCGCCCCGGCGCUGCCCCAUUUUCUAACAUUUUCUGCUCCGACGUCCUUUGGUAAAAUGGCCAUAACUUCUUCGUCCGAACUCCAAUUUUGAUGAUUCAAGAUGAUCCGGAAAGAGGAAAAGUAUAUCUACAACUUUCGUUCUUUGCGUUUUGCGAAAUAAUGUCCGGAGCUAUAGUCAAAUUGGCUCUGAAGUGACUGCUGUGUAAAUGGCAAGCCGAGAACGCGAAUCUAGCCACCCCAAACGUCGAUCCAAGUAACUUUUGUCCCAAUUCCUACAAAACAAUAUAAAACAUGCAUGAAUGGACACAAACACAUAAAAACAUCCUAAAAGACUUAAGAACAACAAUAAAUUAAGCCCGAAUGUAUCCAAUUCAUGAGUAUAUUACCCAUUCAUCAAAUACCCCAAACUUAAACCUUUGCUUGUCCUCAAGCAAAAACAUAAAAGAACUAAAAAUAAAUAAAAUAACUCAACUAAAUGAAUGCAUAUGCAUAAUCUACUUCCUAAUAUACCUACGAACCCAGUAAUAAAUCAGUAUGAUAUAUAGCAACAGGCCUCAAAGAUACCAUUGAUACUCAAACAAUAUAUCCGAUCAAGUCAAAAUCCAUAACUCUAACCAAUUAGUCAAUCCAAACCUGUCAUCACCCAUGUUGUGCGUGUGUGCUUGUUAACCAUUCUAACCAACCAUAAUUCAAGAUAAUCACAUAACAAACUUCUUAAAAGGAAAAUUUCAGUUCCAAUUCAAUUACUUUCGUGAACAUGACAACUCCAGUUAAAACUAAGCAAUUACCAAGUCUUACGGUAAAUACAGGAUUUAUUUACACUCUUAUUCAACCACGAGGGAAUUUUAGCUCUUUCUCGUGUUUUAUUCAUUUUUUUCUCAUGGCUGUGCAAUGUCUUAUUCCCUUAGGCUUUUCAGUGCUACCUUAACGAGCUUUCGACCAACGACUUCCAGACCAUAUAAGACCUUAGGGCGCUAGGUGUUAAGACACCCCUUCGAGCGUACUUGCUCAAGUAACAAAGGCCCCGAAACAAAACUAACCAUGGUUUUUCUAUUUUUUUUUCAUCAUCUCUUUUCUUUUUUUUUCUUUUUUCUGGAUUUUCUAUUUUUUUUUCUCUUCAUCAAUUUUUCUUUAGUAUAUAUAUCCCAUAGACUCUCCCAAACUCAAGCUUUUACGUCAUUCCAACCUUUACCGCCAGUUCGCUAAUUUCCUUAAAUUUUAACAAAGAUUUUCCCUCAGAAACAAAUUAUGAAACCCUUGAACCAAGUGGAUUAAAACAGUUAAACUUUAAGUGCUAACCGGUUACAUAAGUUUUACACAGGCUCAGAUUAUCUUCAUGAUUAAAAUUAGAACUCAUCAUCAAUUAUCAACACUGUUCAAGUUAACAUGCAAAACCAAUCUUAUCAUAGGCCGAGCUAAGACCACACCAACCUAUCACACAGAUUCAUGCAAAAAUAAGAAAAAAAUGCAAUUAUACUACAUGAACACAUAUAUGAAAAUGCAAAAAAAAAAUACCAUGUAUUAUAUGCAACCUAAAAAAAACACAAUGCUAACACAUAAAAAAAAAUAAACUACUAUGCAGAUAACUAACUAUAUGAAGUACGACACUGAAAUGCCCCCAAACUUAAACUAGACAUUGUCCUCAAUGGCUACAAUAGAAAAAAUUAAAGCAGAGGACUUCCCUAAAAAUAUAGCAAUCUUCCUCCUUGUCCGCUAAGUUUGGAGAAUAGGCUAAGCACAUGGAACAAAUUGGGCACCACACUUGAAUUUGACUUGAAUAACCUGUAAAACCAUGAUAGAAGCAAUUUUAUUAAAUCCUAAAUAAAUGCAAAUUCAAAACUACUAAAAUAAAACUUAAUAAAAACUAAAAAUAAAAAUUAAACUUGGGUUGCCUCCCAAUAAUCACUUGUUUUAUAGUCUCAGCCUGACUUCUUCAAUUCUCUAUCCAAUUCCCCUACGAAAGUUGAGGAACCCUCCAUCCAUCAGAAGCAAUGUCUCUUUUGGGAGGUUCCCAUUAGCAAAAACCCUUGAAUUGAAGUCGCCUAGCAUGCUCUUUGUAGAUAGGAUCCCCAUUAAGAACGGCAAACCACUAGGUGUUUCCUCCAUUAUGCCGAUGAUCAGAUUAGGGCAUUGAAGCUUAAUAAACAUAAUGAAAUCUUCCUCUAUCUUCUCCUUUUCAUCCCACCAUGACUCCACAACUGUACUAGCUCUUACGUUACCAAGAGCUUUGCCGACGACAUGACUUCCAAUUGGGCAUGGUUUUGCAAAACUGCCCGGAUUCUUGAACUUUGGUGGAGAAGUUACAUGGGACACUAAUGAAAUCGCUUCAUCUUCGUUGCUACUCAAAGUUAGAUCUUCUCCGAUCUCCUUUUCUUGGUCUCCAAGUCUUUCCUCUCUUUCAACAUCUAUAUCAUUUGGCACAUCCGGUUGCAGAUUUGGUUUGGGCUCACCAUCAGUCUCGGCAUCCAUGUCAUAGAGCCAAGUGUAUUGAAGAUGGAUGUUCAACGCAUGUGCUAUCUGCCCCAAUUGAUUUUCCAAAUUUUUUAUCGAUGCAUUUUGACUCUGUAUACUCAGCUCCAUUUGAUUAAAUCUCUUAUCACUCUCAUCAUUCCUUUUCUCAGUUACUUUAACAAAUCUUUCCAAGGCUUCUUCCCAACUUGCUUUUCGCACAGGUUGUUGUGUCUGGUUUUGAAACCCGGGAUUGUUUUGUUGUCUCGGCGCUUGUUCUGUAGCUUGGUUAUUACUCCAUGAAAAAUCCGGGUGAUACCCCCAAUCAUGAUGAUAGUUGUUGGGAUAGACAUAAUUAUUGGGGUAAUCACCACCAUACUGUACCGGUUCGAAACUGAUGGCGCAUUGAUGACUCAUAUGAUUUCCAGCACAAUAAUCACAAACCAUUGCUACUUGCUGUGUGGAUGGUGGACUCCAUGUUUUCAUUGGUUGAGUCAUGUUCGUGUAUGGCCAUUGAUACGCAAAGUCAUCCAUGGUAUCUAAAAAGAGAGAAAUAUAGGAAGAGAAUUAAAAAUAAAAAUAAAAAUGUUUAAAUUAAGACUAAUUUGAUGGAAAUUAAUAUUGGUAAAUAAUUAUUAAAUUAAUUCUCCGGCAACGGCGCCAAAACCUUGUUGAUCGAUUUCGCAAUCAAUGAAUACAUGCAAGUAUACACGGUCAAUAAGUAAUAAAGUGAAAGUAGAGUAUCGUUCCCACGAGGAAUUAUUUAAUAAAAAUNNNNNNNNNNNNNNNNNNNNNNNNNNNNNNNNNNNNNNNNNNNNNNNNNNNNNNNNNNNNNNNNNNNNNNNNNNNNNNNNNNNNNNNNNNNNNNNNNNNNNNNNNNNNNNNNNNNNNNNNNNNNNNNNNNNNNNNNNNNNNNNNNNNNNNNNNNNNNNNNNNNNNNNNNNNNNNNNNNNNNNNNNNNNNNNNNNNNNNNNNNNNNNNNNNNNNNNNNNNNNNNNNNNNNNNNNNNNNNNNNNNNNNNNNNNNNNNNNNNNNNNNNNNNNNNNNNNAAGAUGAACAAUUCACUUCAACAUAAAUAAUUAGAAUAAAUCAAAUAAUCAAUUCAUAAUCAUAAAAAGUUCAAUUGAAAUCUUAAUGAAAGAGUUAGUUCAUAAUUAAUGAAUUAAAAUCAAGAAUCCAAAAUUGAAUAGACAUUAAAAGAUAAAAGUAAGAGAAGAGAAGAGAAUAUAAUCUGUUGUCAGCAAAUUUGAUGCUCCCCUCUUGCUCCUGCUUUGAAUCUUCAAUGGUCUCCAAGUUGCUUCAAUCUCCAAAACUAAUAAGAACUAGGGUUAUUUUCUAAUCUAAUGGAGUGUAUCUCUAAUCUAAUCUAUGUAAUCUCCCCUUAUUUUAUGUCUUACAUCAUGUAUUUAUAGAUUACAAGUCCAAUUUUGAGCUUAGGAACAAACCUAAUCCAAUUUGGAGUCAAAAAGGUGUCAAAAUUUGCCCAAAACGCGUCCAGGCCGCACCCAACCUCUUCCCCAGUGCCCCAGCGCUGGGCACGAUGCUCAGACACUGCCUUAUAGUUCCCCAGCGCUACAAAUAGGCUUAAAAUGGGCGCCCCGGCGCUGCCCCAUUUUCUGACAUUUUCUGCUCCGACGUCCUUUAGGAAAAUGGCCAUAACUUCUUCGUCCGAACUUCGAUUUUGAUGAUUCAAGAUGAUCCGGAAAGAGGAAAAGUAUAUCUACCACUUUCAUUCUUUGAGUUGUUCGAAAUAAUAUCCGGAGCUAUAGUCAAAUUGGCUCUGAAGUGACCGCUGUGUAAAUGGCAAGCCGAAAACGUGAAUCUAGCCACCCCAAACGUCGAUCCAAGUAACUUUUGUCCCAAUUCCUACAAAACAAUAUAAAACAUGCAUGAAUAGACACAAACACAUAAAAACAUCCUAAAAGACUUGAGAACAACAAUAAAUUUAGCCCGAAUGUAUCCAAUUCAUGAGUAUAUUACCCAUUCAUCAGACACCCCAUUAUACCUGAAGGUGUCACAAAUCUCCAAAAAGUUGACCAAAUGUUCGUUCGGAUCAUCAUUUCCUAAUCCCCCAAACUGAACUGAGUUUUGAAUCAUCUGAAUAGUCCCAGGCUUAAUCUCAAAUGUAUUCGCAGCUAUAGCAGGCCUGGUAAUACUUGAUUGAAGUUCAGUCACCUUAAGAGUAGCAAAGUCUCUCAACGCUUUUUGGUCUUCGGCAACCAUUGCUUCUUCUUUUUAAAAAAUCUCGAAGUUUUUCCUUGUAUCCUUGAUCCACUUACUUAGCCUUUGAAACCGUCUCUCAAUGUCGUCCUCAAAAGGAAGCAAGUCUGGAUUUUUGGACCAGUUUGCAUAAACCAACUUCAAAAACCUGAAAUAAGAACGAACAAAACAAAAAAGAAAAAAAUAUUUAAGUAAAACUGGAUUAAUUAAAGUGAUAUUGCAAAAUUAUUAAAAUCUAUACUAAUAUUCCCCGGCAACGGCUGUGACGCCCCCAAAUCCAGGUAUUUUCCAACCCGACAUAUGAUGCUCCACGGUGUACAGUUCACACAAAUAUUCAAUUGAAAUACCUCAAAAGAACGAAUAUGUCUUAUAUAUAUUGCAAAUCAAUAUUAACAUUCCCCAGGUUCUUUAUAACCGUUACAUUUGUUCUUAUCAUAAUAUCAAAUAUUAUCAUUACAAACCUGUCGACGUCGGGAUUUUUGGUGUCCCUUUUCGUUACUUGUUCUUUGGUGUUCUCAUGUUAAUCUGAGAUUUAUUUGAAAAACAAGUGAAAAAGGUUCGAUAUGUAUAAUGUCGACGAUUGACUUUAAGAGUCGCCAGUUGGUGUAUUUAACUGGUUGCACCAA